rnacentral:lncRNA from 1 species
AACUAAUUUGAGGAUGAACACUGUGUUCCUGAAAGUCUUACUCUAAUGAUACUUAAAGAAGCAAUGAGAAUGGAUGUUGCAGCAGCUUUGCCUGAACUCAACCCCAGUUCCAAACAUGGAACAUGUGAAAACCAAAAAUGCUUUGUUUUUUUCUCUUUAUGACUUCUCUAGUUGGGGAAUGUAUUAGAUAUUCACCUAAUCAGUAGGCCUUGAAGGGAUCCCAUGUUAGCCCCUUGAUGUUGGUCUGUAACUAAGUAAAUACUUGACCUUGAAAAAGCUUUUGGAUCUGUUGAUUUGGUCAUUUGCUGAUUUAUAGCUUGUUUUCUGAUUCAGGAUGGGAUAUGGCUCCAUACAUAGAGGCAAUUGAUUCACAGCAGUCGUCAUGCUUCAUUGUAAGUAUAUAUACAAUACAGUGUCAGUUUUUCUUGAUGUUAAAUUUCAUAUCUUGAAGUGGUACUUCUGAUUCUCACAUGAUUUUUCCAUCUUUCAGCUAAAGGUUUUCUGUGAUCUCUUACGUGUUAGAUGGGAGUCCACCCGUAGUCGCACAAAAGGGCGUGCUUUAGAGAUGUUGGACAAACUGGUAUGAUCUGUGAGCCUUUUCUUCUUAAAUAUUUUGUUGCCUAAACAUUUACAUUCAAAUCGACAAGAGUUGCUUAUCCAUCUAUAGAAGAUUCCAAACUUUCUGCAGCUAGUACUUUAUUGGACCCAAAAGCUUUUUUGCUUUUUCUAAGCUGCUAAUCAAGACUAGAUUUCUCUCCCUUAUAUCGCUAGAUAUCCCAUUAAUUGUUAGAUUUAAUUGUCUAGAGACAUUAUGUACUGUGAAAAUUCAGAUUUCCUCUGUUUUAAUCUCUAUUUUCUCUUAUUAUACAAUAGAGAAGAAUACCUAUUUAUAUACAUUACACCCUAAGAACAAAAUGGUAAAAACAGUUAGGAUAUUGCAAAUCAGUAUCCCUGAAAAUUAGGGAUUGUAUCUCCUAAAAUCUAGUAUUUAAGUCAACACAUAACUGUAAAAUACAGCUGACAUCUACAACAAUAGUCAACACACAGUUGUAAAAUACAACUGACAUCUGCAACACUCCCCCUCAAGCUGGAGCAUAGAUGUUCUUCAUGCCGAGCUUGCAUACAAACUCUUCAAACUUGUGUCCAAGUAUUCCUUUUGUCAACAUAUCUGCAGUUUGUUGUCUUGUUGGAAUAUACACCAAACAGAUAACUCUAGUUUCCAAUUUCUCUUUAAUAAAAUGUCGGUCUACCUCCACAUGUUUUGUCCUGUCAUGAUGGACAAGAUUAUGAGCAAUAUUAAUUGCUACCUUAUUGUCACAGUAAAGUUGCAUAGGACUGUUUUUGAUUAACUGCAGUUCUUUGAGAACACGUUCUAUCCACAUAAGCUCACAUACCGCAUGUGCUAGUACUCGAAACUCUGCUUCUGUACUGCUUCGUGCCACUACAGUUUGCUUCUCCACGUUACAAGGUUUCCCCACACCUUAGUACAAUAACUUGUUGUAGACUUCCUAUCCAUGACGUUUCCAGCCCAAUCCGCAUCAACAAAAGCUUCUACAUUCUUUUUUUCUCCCUUUUCAAAAUAAAGUCCCUUUCUCGGUGUUGACUUUAGGUAUUGAGCUUUUCUUGGAGAGUGCAUAAAUUGGCUCACUAAGCUAACAACAAAAGUAAUAUUAGGUCUAGUAUGGGAAAGAUAAAUUAAUCUCCUUAUUAGUCUUUGAUAUCUCCCCCUCUCCACGGGUGCACUAUUUUCUUCAAGACCCAACUUGCUAUUUGGUUCAGUUGGUGUGGCAGCAGGUUUACAGUCAAUCAUACCAGUGUCCUUUAGCAAAUCUAGGGUGUAUUUCCGCUGUGUAACUAGAAUACCUUUAGCUGUUCUAGCUACCUCCAUUCCUAAAAAAUAACGUAAUGGUCCAAGAUCCUUGAUUUCAAACUCACAAGCUAAUUUUGCCUUUAAUCCUUCCAGCUCUUCUUUGUCAUCUCUUGUUAGUAUAAUGUCGUCAACAUAUACACGAUCAAAAUAGCUAACUUCCCUUCUUUAGAGCGUUUGUAGAACAUAGUGUGAUCAACUUGCCCUUGAGAAUAACCAUAGUUCUUCAAGACUUUUCCAAAUCGGUCGAACCAGGCCCUAGGGGACUGUUUAAGGCCAUAUAGAGACAUUUUUAACCGACAAACUCUUCUAGCAGGUCCUUUUUCUUCAAAACCAGGCGGCAUAUCCAUGUAAACUUCCUCUUCCAAUUCUCCAUUCAAGAAGGCACUCUUGAUAUCGAGCUGGUUGAGAGGCCAAUCUAAAUUUGCAGCAAGAGAGAGAAAGAUCCUUACAGUAUUAAGUUUUGCCACUGGGGCAAAAGUCUCUAGGUAGUCCACCCCAUAGGUUUGUGUGAAACCCUUCGCCACGAGUCUUGCUUUGUACCGGUCUACACUUCCAUCAGCCUUAUAUUUGACUGUAAAUACCCACUUGCACCCCACAGUCCUCUUGUCUUUACGUCUUGGUACAAGCUUCCAUGUGUUAUUCUUUAUUAAGGCUGCCAUUUCUUCUUGAACAGCUUUCUUCCACUCAUUUGACUCUAAGGCUUUAUGGAUGUUUCUUGGAAUAGUGCUAUGAGAUAGAUUAGCCACAAAAUUUCUAUACUCUUUAGAUAGAUUUGCAUAUGACAAGAACUUGUAGAUAGAAUGUUUGGUGCAAUUUCUUACCCCUUUCCUUAUCGCAAUAGGCAAAUUUGUGGACUUCUGAGCUUCGUUCUCAGCAUAUUCAGUAGGUGGGUUUUGAUCCUCCCUGAGUUCAGAUCUUGGUUCUGCUUGGUCUAUAAGUGGCUGUACCUCUUGAGUUUUAUUCUUCCUUCGUGAAUAAACAUGAAACUCGCCUAUAGGUUCCUCCAAAUGUGAAUUGGCUUUUAUCCCUUCAUUCCUUGGUGACACUAUUGGUUGAUUAAGUUCUAUGGUGUUAGGUAGGUUAGGAUGAAUGUCUGGACUGAGGGAGGAGGUAUUUGGUAGAUUGAGUUGUAGGCUGGAACUGCUGGACAUAUUGGGUUCUAGGCUGGAAUUACUAGGCAUCUUAGGUUCUAAAAUGUCAAGAAGAUCCCAAGAAUUAUCUUCUCUCAAAUUCUGCCCCUGAAGAGAAUUACUCGGGUAAAAAGGCCGAUUUUCAAAGAACUUAACAUCCAUGCUGACAAAUAAUUUUUUUGUAAGAGGAUAAUAGCACUUGUACCCUUUCUUGGUAGGAGAAUAUCCUAGAAAUAGGCACUUGAUGGCUCUAGGAGACAGCUUUGUUCUUUGAAGACUUGGAAGAUAGACAAAGGCUGUACAACCAAAAGUUUUGAGUGCAAGAUUAGAGGUAACAAGGUGAUUUUGUGGGUAGCUGUCAAGAAAAACAUAAAUAGGUGUCUUGAAUUUAAGAACUUGAGAGGGCAUACGAUUUAUGAGAUAAGAUGCUGUAAGAAUGGCCUCUCCCCAAUAUAUUUUUGGUACAUUAGUUGUGAACAUAAUGGCCCUAGCAACCUCUGAAAGGUGUAUGUUUUUACGUUCCGCAACCCCAUUUUGUUGUGGUGUUCCGGAACAAGAACUUUGGUGGACAAUUCCUUGUUGUGAUAGGUAAUUCCCUAAAAUAGAAUUGAAAUACUCAGUUCCAUUAUCUGUACAGAAUACACGAAUGUCAGUUUAAAACUGAUUUUUUACCAUGGCAUGGAACUGUUUAAAAGUUUGUCCAGCUUCAGAUUUUUCCUUCAAAAGGUACACCCAAGUGGUCCUAGAGAGGUCAUCUAUGAAUGUAAUGAACCAUUUUGCUUUUGACAGGUUGUGAACCCUUGAGGGGCCCCAAAUAUCACUAUGAAUCAAAGAGAAAGGUUGGGAUGGUUUAUAAGUACGGGCAGGAAAUGGAACACGUGUUUGUUUACCCAUUUGACAAAAAUCACAAUAUAAUAAACUCAAAUCUUUAUUUUUAAAUAAGGAAGGAAACAAGGUUUUUAGAUAUGGAAAGCUAGGGUGGCCUAACCUAUAGUGCCACAACAUUAUUUCAGAAGAAACAAAUUCACAUUGAGAAACCUAAGCAUGUCCUUUCACGGGUCCUUUAUUCUCGAGAUAAUACAGCCCCUCAUAUUCCUUCGCAUUCCCAAUCAUCCUCCCCAAGAUUGGAUCUUGAAAUAGACAUUUAGAACCACAGAAUUUUGCUACACAGCUUGUGUCCUUGGUAAGUUUAUUAAUUGAAAGAAGAUUACAUUUAAGAUUUGGGACAUAUAAAACUGAAAAAAGAGUCAAACAAUCUGAUAGUUUUAUUGUUCCUUUUCUAGCAAUAGUGGAUAAUGAUCCAUCAGCAAUCCUCACUUUAUAAUUACCUGGACAUGGAGUGUAACUAGAGAAAAAUUGAGAAGACCCUGUCAUAUGGUCUGAGGCCCUUGAAUCAACAAUCUAAGGACCUUUUUCAAGGGAUUGGAUGUUAAGGGCUGAUGGGUUACCUGUAUGGACUGCAUUACAACCAGAGGAGGUCAAGUCAUUUCUUUUUGCUUGCUGAUUUUGUAUGAGAAGCUGUUGCAGCAUCUCAAAUUGAUCUUUUGUGAGGGCAAACUGAUUAGUUUUCUCUGUCACCAUUCCUUUUGCUUCCUGCUGACGUUUUGGUUUCCAAUCUGCUGGCUUUCCAUGAAGCCUCCAGCAUGAGUCUCGAGUAUGUCCUUUCCUGUGGCAAUAGUCACAGUAAGGACGUUCUCCAUGUUUUUGUCCCUUUUGGUCAGCUGACUAGUCUGUCUUUUUGGUCACCAGCGCUGAUCUCUCUGUCUCGGCUUCCUUUACCAGUCCCAUCAUGACUCUUUUUUGACUUUCUUCACGCCUUACCUCAGCAAAAGCUUCUUGGAUGGAGGGUAGAGGAUUCUUUCCCAAUAUUCUGCCACGAACUUCAUCAAGUUCUUUGUUGAGUCCAUAAAGGAAAUCAAAGAGGCGUUCUUUAUUCAACAUCCUCUUAUAUUUAAUGGCAUCCUCGGAGCAAUGCCACUGCGAUUCAUAGUAAAAGUCGAGUUCUUGGCAUAUAUUGUUUAGAGAACUGAAAUAUUGAGUCACUGAAAGACUCCCUUGUUUCUGGUCACGUAAUUGUGACUUGAUUUCAAAGAGCUGAGCUGCAUUCCCAAGGUCAGAGACUCAGAGUAGGUUUCUGUCACAGCUUCCCAAAGCUCCUUCGCAGAUGGUAGGAAGAGAUAAGUCCUACCAAUAUCCACGUCCAUCGAGUUGAUCAACCAAGCUUGCACCAUUGAAUUUUCAGCAUCCCACUGCGGAUAACUAGGAUCUAAGACAUCAGGGGCUUUGGUUUCCCCUGUAAUAUACCCUAAUCGGCCUUUGCCACAAAAAAAUAGGGUGACGGAUUGAGACCAUUGCAAAAGGUUUCUGCCAUUUAACUUGUGCAGAGUUAUUUGCAAAUAGGGGUUUUUGGUACCUAAGGAGACUGAAGAGAUGUCCUGCCUUGUUACAGAACCGGAGGAAAUCUCAGAUUCUUGUGCAGGGUUUGUUGUCUUCUCCAUUGGAUGGUUUGAGACUUUAGAAUUGGAAGAGGAGAAAAUUUCAGAGGCUCAGCUCAAAAGCUGCUCUAAUACCAUGUGAAAAUUCAGAUUUCCUCUGUUUUAAUCUCUAUUUUCUCUUAUUAUACAAUAGAGAAGAAUACCUAUUUAUAUACAUUACACCCUAGGAACAAAAUGGUAAAAACAGCUAGGAUAUUGCAAAUCAGUAUCCCUGAAAAUUAGGGAUUAUAUCUUCUAAAAUCUAGUAUUUAAGUCAACACGUAGCUGUAAAAUACAGCUGACAUCUACAACAAUAGUCAACACACAGCUGUAAAAUACAGCUGACAUCUGCAACAUGUACUUGCAUCUCUGCUUUUCACUUCACAACUGAUUUCAUGUGCUAUCUUGUGUUCUGGUUCAAGAUUUUUGAUGGUUGCUUAACAUCAUAUUUUGCUUUGUUUCAGGUUGAGGGCAUUUCUAAUUCUUCUCCCGGUGUGACUCAAAGGAUUCCCUUUUGUUAUGUGAUUUACGUUCCAACUAUUCCUGCCCUGCGAAAGUAAAACUAUUUCUUCUGCAUCUUUGAAUGAUUGUGAUUUAGUUUUCUUGUCAUUUUGCCAACUAUCAUUAUGCUGUCAUUGUUUCAUAUCUUAGUUGAUAUAUGUUGACUUGGUUAGAGUUUAAUUGCUCUGUUUAUUCUCUUCAUAAUCUGUCUAUUUCGAUUUUUCUUGAUUUUAGGGAAUUUGCUGAACUUUUAGUAAGCUGUGGCUUGAUUGGAGAGGCUAUUAAAAUUUUUGAGGAUCUGGAGUUGUGGGAUAAUCUAAUAUACUGCAACUGGUAUGGUGUCAUAGAUAACCAUUAUCCUAAUCUCUCUCUCUCUCUCUCAUGUUGCUAAUGGGAGUUGGUUUUGUGUAUGAUGUAAAAAACAGCCUAUUGGGGAAGAAAGCAGCAGCUGUUGAACUAAUAAAAGCAAGGCUGUCUGAAAAGCCUAAUGACCCUAGAUUAUGGUUUGUUGAUGAGCCUUUUCUACGAUCCAUUUUAUAGUUACUUCUCAUUUCAGUUAAAUCCAUUGUUGAUGUCACUUAUUGCAAUGUAGGGAUAAUUGUUCAUUGGAUGUGAGGAUAUUGUCAAAAGAAAAUGAAACAUUUUAAUUUUAUCUUUUACUUGCUGUAGCCGAUUUAAAAGCUCACAGUGCGUUCUUACUGAUUGCUUUUGGUCUUGCAUUUGAGUCAAUGGAUUUUAUACUCAUAUUCUGACAUUUAUUGUUAGUCUUCUGACGGUUCUGCACCUUGGUCCUAUAUUAUCUUCAGCAGUAUUAUCUAAAAGAUAAGUUUUUGCCGAAGAAAAUUUGCAUUCUAAACUAGAAAAUGAGGGGCCUGGGGGGGGGGGGGGGCGGGGGCGCAACAGGAGACUGUUUUCCACUUAUCCUCUUCCCUGCCUGCAUUUUAGAUGAUUCUGAUGCACCAGGUGCUGUGAAAUGGUUGAGAAAUACAUACCAUCAAGUGAAUUCUGAAAAUCAUAUCCUUCUUGAAAAUAUUUGGUGCUAGACAUUUGAAUAUAUGGCCACAAUUUAAACAAUAAAGAUUUUCUGCAUUGAUUUCUUAUAAUGGAUAUAUGCAUGUAAGUAAAAUAUGAUAUCUUUUGAUUAUUGGCCCAUUUGUUCAGAAAGAAGGAAAAAAAAAAAUACAUGGUGAUAAUGUAGCCAGAAUGAUGAGUUGAAUUGUGGGUUGCUGACUUGUGAUACAUUUUGUAGGUGUUCAUUAGGUGAUGUUACAAAUAAUGAUGCCUGUUAUGAAAAAGCUUUGGAAGUUUCGAAUGAUAAGUCAGCUCGAGCUAAGGUGAUAUUUGUUGCACAGAGAAAAUGUAGUUCACAUUAUGCUUGUACCGUGAUCAUUUUUUAGUUAACAUAUCUUUAUGUGAAUCAGAGGUCUCUAGCUCGUAGUGCUUACAAUAGAGGGGAGUACGAGACGUCUAAAAUCCUUUGGUAUGUUGCUUUAAUGCUUUACUUCUCUUUCUGCCACACAGUAAUUUGCUGCAUUGACAACUGAGAUGGCUGAAUGACAAUUUACCCUUGGUUUUGUCUCAGGGAGGCUGCCAUGGCCUUGAAUUCUUUGUAUCCAGAUGGCUGGUUUGCUCUUGGUGCUGCUGCAUUGAAGGUAUCAUAUUUUUGUAUUAGUAUGUGUUUAGUGUGGAGAGAUUUCUUAUCCUUUUGCCCCAAGUUUCUGAAACUCUCGGCUGAAAUAUAAAUACAGGCUCGGGAUGUUGAAAAGGCUCUGGAUGGGUUUACUCGGGCUGUUCAACUUGAUCCAGACAAUGGGGAAGCUUGGAACAAUAUUGCUUGCUUGUAUGCUCUUUUCUUUGUCAUCAUGUCAUUCCAUCCUCUUGCUCUGUAUUCUUUAAUAUGGUGUCAAUCACUUUCAUCUUCUAUCUGCAAGAGUAUGCUUCCCAUAUUUGGUUUACUUUGUUUUGACUUUCUUGUUGCAGUUGUUCUAUAUAAAUUUUAUAUGGUUCCAUAUUCCCUUGAUGAGUGAAUUUAGUUGCUGCAAAUGCUAAGAGCUAGAUAGUACUGUUAUAAUUAGGAAUAGGGCAAAUAUUAGCCAGCUCUUUUGAGGAUUAUCCAUAGCAUAUGCCUCCGUCGUUUUCAAAGCAAUUGAAGUUCUCCUUUUCGUCUUAUUUAAAAGAAAAAAGCACAAAUUGCUUCCCUCACAUCUCUCUACAGUCUCUUUUCUCUCUGUUUAAUUUUUUCUUGUGCUUAUUAUUUGUCUUUUAAUGCGUCUUUUCUUCUUAUUUUAUACUGUACUAGAGUUUGUGCAGUCUCAAUUUCAUCUUGUCUGUGACUUACUGUUUUUUUCGCAAUUGUGGAACUUUAUUUAGCAGCAUAAUUAUUAGUUAGUGAGACAUUAAUUGGUAAACACCACUUGUGAAAAGAUACGAAGAGCUACUUAUUCUCUCUACUAGUACAUUUAAAAAAUUCAUGAGAAAAUAUCUGGGAUGGUAAAAUUCUCGUCAAUUAUAACAAUGGAAGUCUUGAGAUUUAUGUAAUCUUGCAGGCAUAUGAUCAAGAAGAAGAGCAAAGAGGCUUUUAUAGCAUUCAAGGAGGCCCUAAAGUUCAAGUUCUGUUUUUUUCCCCCCUGAUCACAACAUUUUUAUUUUCUGUCAUGCACAAUGCAGUCGGACACUAUCUGAUCACUAGAACACUGUCAUACAUAAUUUGUUGCUGCUAGGCAAAAGGUGAUAUCUAAUGUAAUAACCUAUAACAUGAUUUUGUAACAGACGGAACAGUUGGCAAUUGUGGGAAAACUACAGCCAUGUUGCUUUGGAUGUGGGCAAUAUUGGUCAGGUAACCGCGGUUGUGCGCUUAAUUUCGAUCAUUUAUCACUGAAAUCUUUUGAGAUGAAGUUGGCAUUUUCUUAGCCACCCUCUGAUGGUUUUGAUUGCUUCAUGUAUGUUGUCAUCUUUGUCAACUAAUGAAAGCUGCAGAGAUUUUGUCAUCUUUUCAUUUAAAAGAAUUUGAUAGUUUAUAGCCCAUUGUCAUUUUUGCAUAUGUAUGUUAUUGUUCUUUUGACCUUUUUGUACCUCAGCUUCAUCCUUUUAUGCAAGCAAUUCGUUGUCAAGAAAUAUCUGGAUAACAAUUUUUUCCCAUGAAUAUUUUUACGCUCAUCAAGGUCCUUGAACAGUCAUGGUUAAUGGAUUACAGAUUCUCAAAUUUAUAAUUAUUUUUUUCAGGGUCAUUGUCCUUUGAUAUAUGCAACUUGAUGCAUGACUUUCUAAUGAUUAACUCCCUGCCCUCACCAUGGUCGUAUAAAUAUUUUGACAAGUGGGGAUUGUAUGAUUACUUUGUGCUAGGAAUUUUUUUGGUUGGAAAGAAAUGGGAGGAUUUUUCAAGAAGCUAGGGAGGGAAGACACCAAAUUAUUUUUGGUGGAUAAAGCCUGCUGUCACUUUGGGCAUCAAUUUCUAAUGAAUGCAAUAAUGUUCCUUUCUUUGCUAUUCAUUAAAAUUGAGUUGUUCUUCUUGGAUGGCCUUCUUUUUACUUCUCAUUAUUUUGCCAGCUUGUUGAUUGUCAUUUUUGCUUGUUGGCAGUCUUUUCCUGCAGUGUUAAUAAUAUUUAAUUAUAAUAUUAGACAUCAGUGUCCUCAACAUGAUCUCUCUCCCAAAUUUUUACUCUUUUAUUCAUUAUAGUUUUAGCAGUUUCUUUAUUUUUGUUUUAUUUUAUUUUUGCAGGCUCUAGAGGCUGUGCAGACGGUGUUGAACAUGACUAAUAAUAAAAGAAUUGAUACUGAAUUAUUAGAAAGAAUAGUGCUAGAUCUGGAAGGAAGGACUUCAAUUAUAGAAUCUGAGUCUUGCAGGACUACGCAUAAUCUUAACAGAACUAAUAACACUUGUGCAAAAGAUUUACCUGUAGAAUCUGUCCAUGUAUCAUCACCUGAGGAGUCAAUCAUGGGAAGAUCACGAGAAAAUGAGCACUUGAUGGAGUUUCUUGGGAAAAUUCUUCAGCAGGUUGCACAUGUUUCCGUGAUCAUCUUUUUUCCGUCUUUUAAUACUGAGCUAAGGGACAUUCUCUCUCUUUCACGCAUAUCCAAAACACAUGUACAUAUUUCUCAUAUUUCUAUGCGUAUAUAUUAUCAUUUCUGAUCUUUCUUAGUUUAUAUGAUAAUUGUCUUUGGGCAUAUGAUUCAUAUUUGCUGGGCAUCCUAUGGUCUGUGGGUCAAUAAUAAUCCAUAGUAUCUGAAUUUCUUGACAAAAUUGGUCAUUUUGGCAAAUCAUUUGGACGUAUCUAUGCAGCAGUUUACUAUUUUAGUGCUUGCAGGAAUUGGUAUGCUUAAAUUUUGGGCUUAAAUUGUGGGAAAAUAAUCAAAGUGAUAUGCAAAUUAAUUCAAGCCACACGAGGAAAGAAUAUCCUUUCUUUUUUUUUUUUUUUAAGCUUAUGUUACAUGUUUCUCUGUAUGGCAUAGGUAGUUCGAAGUGAGAGUAGUGCAGAUAUGUGGGGAUUAUAUGCAAGGUGGCUUAAAUGUAAAGGAGAUCUUACAAUGUGCUCUGAAGCCCUCUUAAAGCAAGUCAGAUCAUAUCAGGUUUUUCCAUAAAUCUCAUCAUCUUAUAAUAAGUUAGCAUUAUGUUUUACUUUGAUGUUGAUGGAAUUUGUUAAUGCUAAUCAAAUUUUGUUAAUCUCUCUCUCUCUCUCUCUCUUUUAAAAAGAAGGCAAAGAAAAAGCUGUGAUUUCAUUUUUGUUUUCUAAAUUUGUUAAAUAAAGGAAUGACAAGUUGACAACUCAGCCUCUCUCUCUCUCUCUCGCUCUCUCUCUGUGUCUGUGUCAGGGAUCUGAUUUGUGGAAAGAUAGAGAUCGGUUUAAAAGGUUUUCAUAUGCAUCCUUGGAACUUUGUAAGGUUUACACGGAAAUUUCUUCCUCUUCUGGUAGCCGUCGAGAACUCUUUGCUGCUGAGAUGCACCUGAAGAACGUACUUAAACAAGUAAAACACCUUAUAAUUUGAUAUUUAGGACACUUACAGUUGGUUUAAAGAUUGCAUUUUCCGUUUCUGUUUUUGACUGGUUCAGGGUAAAACUUUUUCCCACUGUGUUAGAGUGCAUUUCUGUUAUUAUAUAGUUUCUUAGAAGAGAAUGCGCUUUUUGGAAUCUCAGGCUGAAGGAUUUGCUGACAUGGAAGAGUUCAGGGAUCUUCAAGCUUGCCUUGAUGAAGUGAAGACGAAACUCCAAUCUGGUCCCGUGGCUACCUAAGUAUCAGGAACGUGCUAUUUUUGAAUAUCAGGAAUGUGCUAUUAUUUUAGUUCGUACUGUAGUUGAGACCUUAACCAUGACUGAAUAUCUUGUAUUGCUGUACCACCUUUUCUGUAACAAAACAGUCUAGUUUUAGUAUUUUUAUUAUUUUUGUAUUUUCAGUGCUGUAACUAAUCUCAUUUGACAAUGUAAAUAUAUGGCUUCAAGUUAUUUAAAUGUAAAAUCAAGUGUUGUUUUCAACCUCUGUUCUUUUAUGUAUAGCUUACAUGCCGUGAUUUCAUUAACCUCAAUUUAAGGACAAUUUCAUAUCUUUUUUCUUUCUGCUUUUCUUUUAUCAUUUAAGAACAAAUAUGAAUAUAUUUCAGACAGCAUUUAAACAAAGCAACCGAACGUCGCUGGUUUCUAUUAUUACAUUGACAGCAAUAAAACAAAGAAGCAACUGAAAGUUAUCUUCAUAUGAGAAUGAAAGCUUUUCAGCAGCAUAACACUAUUCAUUUCCAAACGAGUUCCUCAACAUGAGAACAAAUUCGUAGACCUUUUCUGGGUCUGGAAGGAUCCUGGCAACAGUUUCCCUUUGCAUGCACUUGUUCAUCCAAGCGGAGAAUUUGGGGCACUCAUUCGCAUCCUUAAAUCACCCAAAUUUCUCAACCGCGUAAAACCAACAAAUUUCUCAACCCCCAAAUUUGGGACAUCAACGAAUCCAAAGCUAUCCCCGCCAAAGAAAUCCUUCUCCCCUAAAGCUCCCUCUAGUUGCUUCAAUAUCUCUAUAAAUUCAUUCUUUGCCGUCUCCUGUGUUUUAAAAAAUCUAUUGUAAUGGAUCUAUUGUAAAUUUAUCUAACUGCUUGUUAUAAUGCUUCUAUUGCGGUGUUAUUCGAGUUGUCAUUUUCAGUUUUAUUUUAUUUGUUCUUUAAACAUAGUUAAUUUGAAAUGUUCUUUAAUAUCCAUUACACUUGAGAUCAUCAAAUAAGUGAUUCUUGAAUAUAAUUGCUGUUGUUACUCGAAUAAGAAAAGAAAACAAAAAAUAGCUAAGGUAAAAGUAAAUGGAAAUGAGAGCAACGUGAUUUUGCAAAGAGAACUUCACACUAUCAUAAAACCGAAAACAUUACAAUUUAAAGCUUUAAUAACAACACAUCAAAGUCAAAUAACGACCCACUAGAAUCAUGGUCCAAAGAUUGUGCCAUGAUCACAACAUGAACUACAAAAAAAUAACCAACACCAGAAAAGUAGGAACAGUUUGAAACUUUCAACUAAGCAGCAUUUAUGAUUCCACAUCAGCAGCCCUAAACACAUCUUCUAACAAUCGCAACUGCUCAUUUUUGCUUCUGCCAAUAAAGAGUUGAUUGUAACCAAAGAUUGUUGUCUUUAUUGUCAUUUGAGAGUAACAAAUUACUUACGCAGUCACGUAAGUUGUUGGUUGGCCUCGCACAUUUUUGAGAAGUUUGUUUCUGAAGGAAACCAGCUGAGCCGCAACCUCUUCCAUGCUCAUUCGUUCUCUCGGCAACUCUGAAGAGCAAAUGGCUCCGAUUCCCAGUACGGAAACCAAGCACUCUUUACCACUAAAACUUCUGGUCCAUUGUUUGUGAGCAUUGGCGUUGCUUUUCUCCCCUUCUUCUCUUUCUACAAGAAGCACUGGAUCAACAAUUUCAGCGAGUCUUUCAGGAAGAGCUUCCUUGACAAAAUUAUGUAGGGUUAGAUUGCCUGUAAACAUUUCAUUCGUCGGCCUCUUUCCUGUAAACAUUUCCAGCAAGAGUAUUCCAAAACUGUACACAUCUCCACUUGUUGAGACUUCGCUCCCCAUUCCGUACUCUGCAAUUCGAAAACUAAAAUUGUUGGUUCAACUAGUAAAAUCUCAAAGGAUUGAAAGACAAGUUAAUUAAAUAAUAGUAAUUACCUGGAGCAGCAUAACCAACGGUUCCUUUUACUCCAACAGAGCUUGAUUGAUUAGAUGACAAGUUAUUGGUGGCUUCCGGAAGGAAUUUUGCUAAUCCAAAAUCACCUACAUGGGCAGUCAAUUCACUAUCCAGAAGAACAUUGCUUGGCUUGAGAUCACAAUGGACUAUUGGAGUUUCGCAAUAAUGAUGAAGAUAAUCCAAUGCAGAAGCAACAUCAACGGCAAUACUCAGUCUUUGCAGGAGAUUUAGAUUCUUAAGUGCCUCACGGUUUGGAUGCAACCAUUCCUCCAGGCUUCCGUUAACCAUGAACUCAUAAACUAAAGCCUCGAAAUCAUUUCCUUGGAAGUCAACACUUGCACAGGAAGUUAUUAUUUUGACGAGAUUCCGAUGCCUAAUAUUUCUCAAGGCCUGACACUCCGCUAUGAAACUCUUUGAAGCUCCUCGAUGUUGAAGAUUAAGCACCUUAACUGCCACCAGCGUUUCAUGAUCAUCAUGAUUGAGGACUCCUUUAUAGACCGAACCAAAGCUACCGGCACCAAUCAAGUUUUCCAAAGAGAACCCGUCAGUUGCUUUGAACAGAUUCUCAUAGGACACUCGUAAAACCGAAGCCAAGAGAGCUGAUGGAGGAGUGGCCGGCUUCCUUUUUGAUUUGCCCCGCCAGGAAGUAAUUAUCAAACACGACAUCCCUGUUACUAACAAAAUUCCUGUAACAACAGGAAUAAUCAGUUUCAGGAAACGGGAACGUGAUUGCAUUGAUUCUUUGAUGGAACAAGUAGAUAAAUGCAACUCAGAUAUGCCACCACAGAGGUUAUCAUUUCCGUCAAGAGAUAUAGCACUCGAAUUGCUGAAGACUCCUUUUAUUGGUACUUCACCCUCAAAAUGAUUAAAAGACAGAUUUAAAUUCUGCAAAAAGGGAAAGUUUUCCAGAUAUUUUGGAAUUCGGCCAGACAAAUUGUUCCUCGAAAGAUCAAGAUUCUCAAUGCCUCUCAAAGAACUGAAUGAUGAAGGGAUAUUCCCUUGAAAGAAAUUACCAUUCAUGAUGAGUUGUACCAACAUAAUGCAACUUCCUAUACUGCUUGGAAUUUCACCAGACAAUUUGUUCUCCGAUAUGUCUAUAAAACCCAGAUUUUUCAAGAUACCAAAAUUAGAGGGCAAAGGACCAUUCAAAUGGUUUUGAGAUAGAUCAAGAUAGAUUGACAAGGAAGAGAGGCCAAUCACUUCAGUGGGUAUGGUACCACUGAGGUUGUUAUUGGAGAGAUCUAAUAAUAUCAAGUUUUGGCAUUUCCCUAGACUUGAUGGAAUGUUUCCCUCUAACAUGUUUUCCGCAAAAUCUAGUAUAGCUAACGAUGUCAAAUUUCCUAUAGAAGAUGGAAUUUCCCCCCAAAACUUGUUCCCCAGAAGCCACAACGUCUGCAGCUUAUGAAGAUCUCCUAUACUUCCCGGAAUUCGGCCUGUGAAUUGGUUGCCCCCAAGGUGUAAAAGCUCUAAGUUAACAAGAUUUCUUAAUCGAUUUGGGAAAUUUCCGAACAACUGAUUGUUUCCAACUAUUAAUAUUCUAAGUCGGGUUGACAAGUUCCCCACAGCUUCAGGUAACAUUCCACCAAAAUUGUUGUCACUAAUUUGCAGUAGCUCUAGUCUGGAAGCGUUGACCAAAGAAUUGACAAAUUCCAAGUCAUCCUUUUUCCCAUUUCCUAAGUGAUUCAGAUAAAAACUAACCCAUUGGAGUUUAUGUAAAUUUUCCAAACUAGGCACCUUUCCACUGAAUCCAUUCAUUGGGAUUGUAAGUCUCAUUAGAUUUGAGGCAUUGGAUAUUGAAGCAGGAAUAGGCCCAGUAAACUGAUUACCACCAACGUUUAAUCGUUCAAGAUUAGGCAGAGUGAAGCCUAAGUCUGAUGGAAGGCUUCCUUGAAGUUGGUUAUGAGGGAAAUCCAAAUAAUUAAGCGAAGACAAGUUGUAGAUUGAGAAAGGGAUUUCACCUGAUAGCUUAUUUACUCCCAAUAAUAUAUCACGCAUCCUCUUUAGCUGACCCAGUGUUUCAGGAAUUUGUCCCACAAAUUGAUUUGCAGCUGCUGAGAGGACCUCGAGUGAUGACAAAUUGCCCAAGGAAGAUGGGAUUUCUCCCGAAAAAUUGUUGUAGUGUACUGUGAGCAUCCGGAGCUUUGAUAUGGAGCCUAGUAACCCAGGAACUUUCCCCACAAGCUCAUUGACGCCUAACCUGAGGGAUUCAAGGUUAACGCAAUGCGAUAUGUUGUCAGGAAUUUGACCUCCGAAUGUAUUGUUGUUCAGCUCCAAAAUUCGUAACCUGAACAGAUAUCCAAUCUCUUGAGGGAUUUCGUUGCGGAAGCUAUUGUUUUUGAGAUCUAACACUCUGAGAAAACUCAAAUUACCAAUGUGAGGCGACAGAGACCCCUGCAAGAGUAAAGAUGGAAGACGUAAUCCAGUCACCCUUUGGUGCCGUCGACUGCAAGUGACACCUUUCCAUUGACAAAAGUGCCUGGAAUAGUUCCAUGAUCUCAAAACCUCAAGAGGGUCAUGAGUAACUUUGGCCUUGAAUUGAAGCAAUGCAAGUUGAUCAGUUUCAUUGCUUUUGAGCAUAUAAUCGGUUGAUUGCAAGCUGAAGCUGAAGCAACAUAAAAUAAAGAAACAAAUGCUUACAAUGAUUGAACUCAUCAUGUUUACAAAAUUCAUUUAACUGCCGAAGGAAAUUAAAAUGAUAAAACUUUUAUAGAGGUUUGUAAGAUAAAAUAUGUUUGUAUAUAUUUUGCAAUGAUUUAUGGACUCUGUCUUUGAUGCUCAAAUGUGAACCAGGUGGCACCGUGACAGUGAAACUAAUACUUUUUCUUUUUCUAAUAAUAUUAAUUAUCAUAUUUAUUACUAUUGUAAGAAUAAUAUACUGCAGCUUUAAAGAAAGACUCACCAUACUCUCUUUUGAGUUUAAUCACCAAUAUUGAAAAGGAAAAAAAAAGUAGGGCAAGAGAAAGGUAAAUACGAUGGGUGGAGUGUUAAGACUACUGUUAAAUGAGUUGGGAAACGUUCAAAGCACGAUGGGAAUUAAAGAUUCACAACACCUUUUUUCUAAAAUUUUCAAUACAGUCUCCCCCAAAAUUUGCUAGUGCAACAAAGAGACGUCGCGCCGUUAACAAUUUUAAACUGUAAAUGACAUGUCGUUUUCACAGAAUUCGUUUAACUGCCGGAGGAAAUUGAAAUUAUAAACUUUUAUAAAGGUUGGUAAGAAAAAAUAUACUUGCACAUAUUUUUUUUUCAAUGAUUUAUGGACGCUGUACUUGAUGCUGAAAUGUGAACCGGCUGGCACCGGGACAGUGAAAUUAAUGCUUUUUGUUUUUCUAAUAAUAUUAAUUAUCCUUUUCCUUUAAGGAAGACCCGCCACACUCACUUUUGACGCUCUAUCAGUUUCCAGCAUGUUGUCGUUUUGUAUUUUAGUGCAUUAAAGAAAUCCACAAUGAAUAUAAAAUAAUUUAAUCAACAGUAUUAGAAAAAGAAAAAAAGUAGGAUAAGAAAGUUAAGUAUGAUGGAUGGAGUUUCACAUUUCUGUUAAAUGACUUAGGAAAUGUUUAAAGCACCACAGGAAUCAACGUUUCACACGCUUUUUAGAUUUUUUUUCUAAAAGGAAAAAGAUAUUCUCACGAAAGAAAGUACAAAAUUUCACACAAAACGGUGCAUUUAAAUAAAGUAAAAUUGCAAAAAUACUCAAAAUAUAUAAGAUUGAUCAUUUACACCCUCCUUGUUUUUUUUGGGUGAACUAUUUCUGGAAAAUGGGCAGAGCCUAGUUUUGGUUCAAAAUUUGAAAUAACAAAUGGUAUAUUGGUGGAAAACCAACGACAUAUUUUCUAAUGCUUAACCUAAAUGGGAAUUAUAUCGGUUUGUACUGUCAAUAUAACAAACAACUAACUAAAUUAUUUAGAAGUCAUGAAUAAAAAUGGAUAGAACAAGAAGUAUAUUGCUAUUCGAUGCAAGAUGUUGGAUUAUUAAACCAUAAUAAAAUAAUAUAACUACACAUGUGCAAUGUUAUUCACUAAAAAGAUUUAAUUUAGAUAUUAAACAGUUAGUGCAACUGUAUCGAUCUCAUCCUCAUUAAUUUAGAGUUUGAGAACUCAUAAUAAAAGAAAAUAGAAAUUUAAACAUAGAUCCUAUCCUAUUAAGUAGAAUCAGAAAAGAAGUUUAUAGAAAUAAUUUUUCACGGAAGCAAUGAAAUAUUAAUCCGGUUGAUGGAUAUAUUGGUGAACACAUAAUAGAAUAUUAUAAUAGAUUUUUAUCUAUCAAGCAAAGGGAAGAAUAUAAUUGGAAUAACAAAAGAAUUAGAAGUAAAUAGUAAUAUGCUAAUAGGAUAUAAAGGAUUAUUAUUAAUUAUCGUAUUUGUGUAUAUAUAUAUAUAUUUUAAAUGAUUUAGGGACUCUGUACUUGAUGCUGAAAUGUGAACCGGCUGGCACCGGGACAGUGAAACGAGUACUUUUUUUAUUAUUACACGGCCUGUCGUUUUCAAAGAAAAAUUUUAUCAUGGUAUUCUUAUCCCCUAGCUGCCGUUUGUCGUUUGGAAUUUCUCUGUAUAAGAUUUUAAAGCAGCAAAAAUUUCGCCAUCUCGCGCCGGGGGGGUGGGGUGGGGGGAAGAUGAUGAUUCCGUGGAAUAUUAUCUUCGACUUAUCUGCUAUAAUCAGUGCUAACCGAUUUUGACACAUUUGCAGUAACGGAAGGGUUACAAUUACACGAGAUUGACACGAGGUAAUUAGCUAGUCAAGUCUCCGUGGGAAAAUUGUAAGCACUCAAGACUUAAAAAAGACUUUAUAAAGUAAGGCGUAUUAUGGAUGGUGUGGUUUGAUUCUCACUUGCAUCAAUUGUUCUUUUCAUUUUUCAUUGGAGGAAAGGAAAUUCAAGAGCCUGGUGUAUCUAGCAAAUUUUGUAACACGUUCUUGUAAGAUAAAAUAAAUAAAUAAAUAUAUCGGAUCCUAUUUCAUAGUUUAGUUAUAGGGUUAUUCGGAUGUCUGAAUUCAAAACAAGUUAAGUUUAAUCUCUAAAUAAUUUUGAGGAAAUCUUUCUACAAGGAGAGUUUGAAAUCAAUCACUACCCAUGUGUCAUUGGUCAGAUAAAUAGGUUAAGAACUCUAAUCCUAUCCCGACACAAAAAAAAAUCGUAUCGACUCGGACCUAGUCCAUUUUAAAUAACGGUUUAUUUAAAAUAAUUAUUUUUAUAAUAAUAAUUACUACUAUUAGUUGUCCUAUUAUUAUUAUUAACAAUAAUUAUUUUAAAUAAAAAUUGUAAUUAUUAUAAUAAAUGAUGACAAUAAUCAACUAAGAUUAUUUUGGUAUUGUAAUAAUCAAUUCCAAUUCCAAUAAAAAUUAGAUACAUUAGUGACAAUAUAAAUUAGGGUAGGGGUGGGCAAAUUCGGUUUGGAUCGGUUUGGGACAUAUCCUCAAACCGAUCCAAACUAAUCGGUUUGAAAUAUUUUCAAACCGAUAUCAACCUAAAAUUUUUUUAAACCGAACUGAUCCAAACCGAUUGGAUCGGUUUGGAUCCGGUUUGAACUUAUUAGCUAAAAUUUCACUUCUUUUAUAUUAUUUUACCUAAAUUAUUUGUUAUUUUUUUGUGUCCGCAAUCUAAAUUGAUACCUCUUUUAUAUUAUUCAUAUCUACUUUGAUAUCUACAUAACAAUUCAAAGAUACAUCCAUACAAGUUUACAGCAUAAUACAUCCUAAUAAACAAGUUCUUAACCUGUUCAUUCAAAACAAACUCACAAAAUUAAAAUAAACUUAAACCACACUUGACAAUUAAAAUAUUGUGCAUCUUGUCCGUCAAAAUUUAUAGUCCAAUUACUUUUGAUUUGUUAAAAUCUGCAUAAAAUGAUAAAUAUAAUUAUUUAGAUUGAUUAACUUAAAAUAUAAUGUAAUUAUAUAAUAUUUCUGGAUUGGAUCGGUUUGAAUCGGUUUGGAAUCCUUCCAAACCGAGUGAUGUCGGUUUGCAAUCCAAUAAACUGAAACCAGUUUUUUUACUAAUGAAACCGAUCCAAACCGAUCCAAAAGGUCGGUUUGGAUCGGUUCGGUUAAAAUAUGCCCACCCCUAAAUUAGGGGUUAUUUUUAGAAACCUCCCCUGAAGUUUAGUGUAUUGACAGUCGGAUAGAAAGUAUUCAUAUAAUUACAGGGACCUCCCCUGACGUUAGUAUUCCGCUAAGUGGACUGUCAGUUGACUAUUGAAAUUCCAAAAAUGCCCUUGCCGCAAAAAUAUAUUUUUAACAUAGAGGAGGUUGCGCUCUGAUCCUUUGUUCUGAAUUCAUUUUUUAUCCUUUGUUCUUAGUCACGGUAUAUAAGCCCCAUCCUUACCAAACAAAAUUUUAGAUCAAACAUGCUUAAAGAAAAUGGAUAAUGCAACAUCUAAAAUAAUUUUAAAACACAAAACAACAAAUACUCCACAUUUCAAAGUAAUAAAAAAAUAAAUAAUCGUAGUGCAAAUAGAUUAAACCUGAGCAGAUUUAUAGGCAUUAAGAGUAUUCUCAACGGCGACUUUCCUCUCAUCGCCAGUCUUAAACUCAGCCAAGUUAAGCAAACUCAUGUCGAAACCAAAAUUAGAAUUUAGAAAGGAAAAAAACAGAAUUGAGAAUCAAUUUAUUUUUUGGGAGCACGUGAGUGAUGAGUUUUGGAAUCUAAAAUGAUAUCAAGUUAUGAAGUAUUUUUGGUGUAAACGCAACAGCCAUGAGAGGAGAGUGACGAGAAACUUCCAAAAAGAGGUGAAAAAAAAAACAGAAGAGAAAAAGGCCAAAAGGAAAAAGACUCAAAAAAACAAAAACAGAGAGGAGACGCAAGGGCAAUCAAGCAAGCAGACAAACAAUUUAAAACCUGAGCAGAUAAUCACCCUUCAUCUUCAAAUAAAACACCUUGGAAUCGGCAGCGGCAGCGGUGGGAACCAAUUUCUGGUCCAAUAAUUUCAAGAUCCCGCCACAGGAUCUCCAUCAACUCGGCUUCGAUCUUCGAUCUGUACUCCUUAAUCACGGAGACAUGGUCUUGGUUGCCGUGCGACUCGUCCUUCUGCUCGAUGGAGGACACGAUGCACCAAGAGGCGCGCCGUGCGCCGAUGACGUUCUUGUAGGCGACGGAGAGGAGGUUCCUCGCUGGUCGAGGCAGAGACGACGACUUUUUCCAUGUAUUGGACCAUCUCCUCGUACCACUCGGCUUGCUCCGCAAGUUUUUCCAUGUAUACGUUUUCUUCCCGUGGAGAAGGGGCUGCCAUUGUUCCGUUCAGUUAUCUUUGUGUUUGUUUGAAUUUUGUUUUUGUUUAAAUUUUAAAUUUAUUUUUACGUAUUUACCCUUUAUAAUAACGUUAUACGUAUUUUUGUAUUAACGUUAGGGGAGGUCUUUGUAAUUACAUGAAUAUUUUCUAUCCGACUGUUAAUACACUAAACCUCAGGGGAGGUCCCUAAAAAUAACCCUAUAAAUUAUUACAGCUAAAAUAAAUAAUUUAUAAUAAUUCUAAUUCUUUAUUUCAAUUCUAUUUUGAUUCUAUCUUAUUCCGAUUACUGAUUGGUAAGCAUACCACUAAACGAAAUGAAACUGUCCAUACACAAUAAAAUCUCUUUAAUUGAUCAUCUAGCCCAGCUAAAAUCAACGGUCCCGAAAGAAACAAUUUCGGAACUACUCAAGCCUGCAAAUCUUGCACUGUCGUAGUAAGUUACAGGAAUUUGAUUGGACGAUGUAAUAAAGAUGAAGGAUAAGAUCGCCAUUCGCCAAUCAAUUUUCUGUCCGCAUCAAGCAAAUAGGCCAUCUGUGAGGCGCAAAAUGAGUUAAAAAGAUGGAUAAUUUUGGAAUCCAUUAAUCCACAAUGAACAUAAAACAAUUUAAUCAACAGUAUUAGGAAAGAAAAGAAAAGUAGGAGAAGAAAGUUAAGUAUGAUGGAUGGAGGUUCAGAUUACUGUUAAAUGACUUAGGAAAGGCUUAAAGCACCACAGGAAUCAACGUUUCACAAAGCUUUUUUCCCUUUCUGAAAUAUUCGGUGCAGUCUCCCCCAGAUUUUGCCAGUGCAACCAAGAGACGUCAUGCCGUUAUCAAUUAUAAACUGUAAAUGACAUGUUGUUUUUACAAGACAUAUUAUGCGUCGAUACAUACCUAUGAAUGGGUUCAAGAAAUUCAGCAGGUUGCGAAACAAUAAGAUUCAUUCAAUCCGCGUAGAUAUCUGACUGACUGAAAUUAAAUAAACGAUGAUGAUAAGAAAUUUGAAAUCAACAAAUCUCGGCACAUCUAUUCUGCAGUUUGGCCGUACUUCAAAUAACCUUGCGAUAAAAAUUUCAUAAAAAAUCUCAGAAAGAGGACAGAACAACCAAGGCAUCAGCGAAAGCAAUCGAGGCAGGGCACGCUCAAGCCACGAAUUAGAGGAAUUUUAAAUAUCAAAACCUGCUCAGAAUAAUAAGAAAUAAAAUGAAACUACAAAAGGCUCAGAUUUUUGGAUGAGUGAAGGGAAGAUGAGAAGAUGAAAUGCAGAAAGUCAAGAAAUGAAUAAACCAAUAUUAAUAAUCUUGGACCCACAGCUCUAAUUUGGAUUAAGCAUCCAUCUACCUAUGUGGAUAAUAUUUUUGCUAACUUUUCAGCCAUGCAGCAGGAUCAUGUUCGUCCUGUUUUAUUUGAUAGAAGGAAUUUUCCCCUGGAAGAAAAUGAUGAGUCGUUUCAACGUCAUGCAACUGCCUAGACUGCAUGGAAUUUCACCAGACAAUGACAAUUUAUUCUCAGAUAUAUCUAACGCCCCCACAUUUGCCAAAUUUGAAGGCGUCCGUUUUGAGACUGAUAAAAACGUUUUCCAAAAAUUCGGGAUUCAGGUCGAUCAGACCGGUUAUGUUUUGCAAAACUUGUAAAUUUUCAGUGAUCAAAAUUCAAAACUUUGCAAAUAGGUCAAAAUAUGAAAAAUACUUGAUAUAUUAUUGAAUACUCAUUUUGUUUUGCAUUAAUAUACGGCUGUGGGUGCUAUCUAGUUCUAUUAGUAAAAUUCCUUGGGUUGAAAACAAGAAAACUAGCAUUUGAAACUCACCCAUAUGGAUGGGAAAGAAAUUUAGUUACCAUUGGAUUAAAAAAUAAUAAUAACAAUUAGAAAAAAAUUGUAAGGCUUCGACAAGAUUUGCUAAUCAUGUAUAGAUUAAUAUGAAGAUUAAGAACAUCACCUAAGCCAAUUAUUGAAAUUGAAAUUUUAGGAGAAAAAUUUAUGUGGGUUUGGCCACCAAUUUAGCAUUAGGAACUUAUUGUUUAGGAAGCUAUGGUGGGUUUCGUAGUGGGACUUAUCCUCUUUAAUGCAUAUGGUGAUUUUAAACCAACAUUUAUAUAAUCCCAUUAUAAAACUCAUCAAACCUUCUAAAAUAACUCGUUGAGAUAGUGUGCUAGAUCCAUAUAAAUAUUUCUCCAACUUCUUAGCUUGAAGCGAUAUUCAUUUCCAUUGAUAGUUUAAUGGGCAAAGCCUUUUGAAUUCUCCAGGUUAUCAAGUUAUUUUUUGCUGGAAAAUGCAAUCCGGAUAUGAAUAGAUUUUUUUGUGCAAUCAAAUUUUCUAUGUUGACGCAUCCUCUAGAACUUUCAGUAAAUUUUAUGGAGAAGCUUUAAUUUCUUAGUUGUUGAUUUCGAAUAAAAAAUUAAACUUAACUUUAAAAUUACAGUUGUAAUUAUAAAAUAUUUACUGAAUACAUUAGUGUUAAUACUACAAAUUGUUCCAUUAAAAGUCUCUCAAAAAGGAAGAAGUGACUUAAAAAAUUAAAAGAAUGCAGGAGCUGAAGUUGGCAAUUUUGUAAAUUGCAAUGGCAAUUGUGGGCUAGUAAAAUCCCUCAAUGAGUCACAGCACUAGCAAUUUCGUAAUAUACAUUAGUGGCAAUUUUGUAAAAUUGAAGUUGUGAUAGUUUUGCAAAUAAAAGUAAAAGCUUUUUGCCUAAAUUCGGCUGAGCUAAAAGCCAGCUUAGCCCACACUCUCCUUCGCCACCGGUUGACGAGCUCUUCCUUCAAUUUUUGAACUUGAAGUGAUGCCCCAUCGAUGUCCAGAAUUUUUAAAGUCAGAAUGAUGAUCCUAAUGAUUCUUUUUAGAUAGUCACCUGUACGUUGACGUGUUUAAUUGAUGUUUAUUUAAGCAGAAAUUGAAGUUUGAUCCCUGAUUAAUUAGAUGAGAACACACAUUCAUGAGUAAAUACUUAAAAUUAAAUUAAUCAAAAUAGUAUAAAUACAGGAGAAAAUCGAUCAUAUGCGUGCAGACAUCACAAUCGAAUUAUAUAUAUCACCGCCGCACAUAAAUUUGAUUCCCAUGAUAUGUGAUUAAUUAAUUAAUUUUUUUAAUAACAAUUAAAUUGUAAUGUCAAUUGUCCACAUAAGUUUUUUGUUUUUGUUGAUGAAAGUUAGUAAUUUUUUUCCAUCUUUUUAAAUAAAAGUUGUUAAUAAAUAUCAAGAAAAUAUUGGGACUUGAGAUCAGGGUCUACUUAAGUUAGAAUUUUUUAUUAGAAAAGCUAUAGCCAGCGAUGAAAAAUAAAGAAGUAACACAAGAUAAAGAGUAAAAUGAGAGAGCAUAUAUUAUAAAAAGAUUUUACCCAUUUCAAGUGUGCACCAAACAAAGAGACGAACUCUCAUUUUAUAGUUACAUAAUUAUUACAUGAAAUUAAUAAAAAUAUUAAGAAUUAUAAUUCCUUGCGAGAUAGUGGGAGUUAUAGAAAAGUCAAGAGUUGUUAGUGGAAGAUAGCAAGAAGAGUAAAAAAUAUAUGUUAUGAACAUUCACAUUUAUUUUAAUAAAUUUACAGUAUUUUUUUCGUUAAAUAAUAGGGUGUGGAGAACAAUUGGAAGGACUUUACGUGUGUUUAUAUAUUGACAUAAAAAUUGCAGGACGUGUAGUUUAGCGUUUCUUGGUUGUUCAGUGCUAGUUUUCUAAAUCUCGAGCGUGCGGGUUAUUUUUCGUUACCUUUAUCACCGAAAGGCUGUUUUAACCAACUAAGAACUAAAAGCUAAAACCCAAAACCCCCCUCUUGUUCUUUUCCAGGGACUUUACCUUGUCCUUGAUGGCCGAAAAGCAACUGGAAAUCCUCCGCGGGUACGAGCUGCGGCUCUUGCGCUGCACCCUCGCUCCCCCACCGUCCGAUCUUCGCAUUCAAUCGCAACCGUUGAACGAAGAAAGCCAAUGCUCUAUCCUUCCACUCCACGAGCACAUCAACAGCCUCAUCAACUCCAUCGAGUCCGGCCACUAUCUCCAGGCUCUGUCCUCCGACGAGGCUAAACACGCUCUCGACACGCUCGAUUUCGUCGACAUCAACGACUCAGCCGAGUGUGCCGACCGCGUCUACUCCGAGCUGCUCCAGCUUGUCGAAGCGUCUAUAGUGAACGAUUCCGAAAUUGACGUGGAUAAGGCUUGUCGAGUUAUUCUGCUCAUGUGUCUUUCAAUUGCUGCCCUUUUUUGGUUCACUCAGUGUAACGUGACUGGGUGAGUUUCUUAUUUAUAAAUUUUUAAAUAAUUGCAAUUAAUUAAUAAUAAAUAUUAGUAAAAAAUUAAUCAAAAAAAAGGUUUAGUGAUGAACCUUGUCGAGGUGCCUUCUAAUAGAAAAGAGCUCACGGCAAGAUGAAAUGCAAAGUAAGUUGUUUUAUGGUUGGGCGGUGUGUAGCCGUCUUGUUGAAGGCCAUAAGAUGUUAAGCAUAUUGCUGUUUAAUUUUUAAAUCAUUCUCAGUAAUAAUUCCUUUAGUAGAUUGAUGAUAAGAGAUUGCAUUGCAGAUGAUAACUGAGCACAAUUUCUGUAGUUGUAUCCCUGUACAUCCAUCUUAAUAUCCUCAUUAUAUUCACAUGCCUUUUACGGGUGUUAUUUCUGGAUGCAGAAUGCUUUGUUCCACGUCUGGAUACCAAAUGCUUUGUUCCACAAAGCUGAGCUGGUUGAAAAGCUAGCUGAUGAGGUCAACAUGUCCCUUAAGUAAUUUGAGGAUGAACACUGUGUUCCCGAAAGUCUUACUCUAAUGAUACUUAAAGAAGCAAUGAGAAUGGAUGUUGCAGCAGCUUUGCUGAACUCAACCCCAGUUCCAAAAAUGGAACAUGUGAAAAUGCAUUGUUUUUUUUUUUUUUUUUCUCUCUCUUUAUGACUUCUUUGGUUGGGAAUGUAUUAGAUAUUCACCUAAUCAGUAGGCCUUGAAGGGAUCCCAUGUUAGCCCCUUGAUGUUGGUCUGUAACUAAGUAAAUACUUGACCUUGAAAAAGCUUUUGGAGGCAUCAGUUCUCUCUGACUGUGUGCUACUUUUUGGAUCUGUUGAUUUGGUCAUUUGCUGAUUUAUAGUUAUUUUUCUGAUUCAGGAUGGGAUAUGGCUCCAUACAUAUAUAGGCAAUUGAUUCACAGCAGUCGUCAUGCUUCAUUGUAAUUAUAUAUACAAUACAGCAUCAGUUUUUCUUGAUUUUAAAUCUCGUAUUCUGAAGUGGUACUUCUGAUUCUCACAUGAUUUUUCCAUCUUUCAGCUAAAGUUUUUCUGUGAUCUCUUCCGUAUUAGAUGGGAGUUCACCCGUAGUCGCACAAAAGGGCGUGCUUUAGAGAUGAUGGACAAACUGGUAUGAUCUGUGAGCCUUUUCUUCUUAAAUAUUUUGUUACCUAAAUCAUUUUCAUUCAAAUUUACAAGAGUUGCCUAUGGAUCUAUAGAAGAUUCCAAACUUUCUGCAGCUAGUAGUUUCUUGGUUUCCGUACUGUCCAUCGGGUAAAGAUUGAAUGUGCAUCAUUUAUAAACUUGUCGGGAUCUUCCUUCUUAGCUUUGAGAUUGCUCCUGCAUAUAGGUAGAACCAAAGGCACAAAUGGUACUUGUUGCAAACACAAGCUCAUCCAACACUUCUGAUGUCUGCCCUUCAAUAAACCAAGUCAUUCAUACACAUGAUUCUACUAUUGGUGAUGCCUCUGAUGUUUUUGUGACCCCAAAAUUAUUGGGGAAUAGUCAUGAAUCUGAAUCUGGAGUCCAAUGCAUUCAUGCUGGUGGCUCAGCAGCCCAUUUAAAGGCAAUCCAACAGGCAGUGAUCUUGUCGAGGUGCCUUCUAAUAGAAAAGAGCUCACGGCAAGAUGAAAUGCAAAGUAAGUUGUUUUAUGGUUGGGCGGUGUGUGGUCCUCUUGUUAAAGGCCAUAAGAUGUUAAGCAUAUUGCUAUUUAAUUUUUAAAUCAUUCUCAGUAAUAAUUCCUUUAGUAGAUUGAUGAUAAGAGAUUACAUUACAGAUGAUAACUGAGCACAAUUUUUGUAGUUGUAUCCCUGUACAUCCAUCUUAAUAUCCUCAUUAUAUUCACAUGCCUUUCACGGGUGUUAUUUCUGGAUGCUGAAUGCUUUGUUCCACUUUUGGAAACCAAAUGCUUUGUUACACAAAGCUGAGCUGGUUGAAAAGCUAGCUGAUGAGGUCAACAUGUCCCUUAAGUAAUUUGAGGAUGAACACUGUGUUCCCGAAAGUCUUACUCUAAUGAUACUUAAAAAAGCAAUGAGAAUGGAUGUUGCAGCGGCUUUACUGAACUCAACCCCAGUUCCAAACAUGGAACAUGUGAAAACCAAAAAUGCAUUGUUUUUUUUCUCUUUAUGACUUCUCUAGUUGGGGAAUGUACUAGAUAUUCACCUAAUCAGUAGGCCUUGAAGGGAUCCCAUGUUAGCCCCUUGAUGUUGGUCUGUAACUAAGUAAAUACUUGACCUUGAAAAAGCUUUUGGAGGCAUCAGUUUCUCUCUGACUGUGUGCUACUUUUUGGAUCUGUUGAUUUGGUCAUUUGCUGAUUUAUAGUUUGUUUUCUGAUUCAGGAUGGGAUAUGGCUCCAUACAUAGAGACAAUAGAUUCACAGCAGUCAUCAUGCUUCAUUGUAAGUAUAUAUACAAUACAGCAUCAGUUUUUCUUGAUUUUAAAUCUCAUAUUCUGAAGUGGUACUUCUGAUUCCCACAUGAUUUUUCCAUUUUUCAGCUAAAGUUUUUCUGUGAUCUCUUACGUAUUAGAUGGGAGUCCACCCGUAGUCGCACAAAAGGGCGUGCUUUAGAGAUGAUGGACAAACUGGUAUGAUCUGUGAGCCUUUUCUUCUUAAAUAUUUUGUUACCUAAACCAUUCUCAUUCAAAUUGACAAGAGUUGCUUAUUUAUCGAUAGAAGAUUCCAAACUUCUGCAGCUAGUACUUUAUUGGACCCAAAAGCUUUUUUGCUUUUUCUAAGCUGCUAAUCAAGACUAGGUUUCUCUCCCUUAUAUCGCUAGAUAUGCCAUUAAUCGUUUGAUUUAAUUGUCUAGAGAGAUUAGAUACUUGCAUCUUUGCUUUUCACUUCACAAGUGAUUUCAUGUGCUAUCCUGUAUUCUGGUUCAAGAUUUUUGAUGGUUGCUUACUAUCAUAUUUUGCUUUGUUUCAGGUUGAGGGCAUUUCUAACUCUUCUCCCGGUGUGACUCAAAGUAUUCCCUUUUGUUAUGUGAUUUGCAUUCCAACUAUUCCUGCCCUGCGAAAGUAAAACUAUUUCUUCUGCAUCUUUGAAUGAUUGUGAUUUAAUUUUCUUGUCAUUUUGCCAACUAUCAUUAUGCUGUCAUUGUUUCAUAUCUUAUUUGACAUAUGUUGAUUUGGAUAGAUUUUAAUUGCUCUGUUUAUUCUCUUUAUAAUCUGUCUAUUUCGAUUUUUCUUCAUUUUAGGGAAUAUGCUAAACUUUUAGUAAGCCGUGGCUUGAUUGGAGAGGCUAUUAAAAAUUUUGAGGAUCUGGUGUUGUGGGAUAGUCUAAUACUGCAAUUGGUAUGAUGUCAUAGAUAACCAUUACCCUAAUCUCUCUGUCUAUCUCUCUCUCUCUCUCUUUCGUGUUGCUAAUGGGAGUUGGUUUUGUGUAUGAUGUAAAAAACAGCCUAUUGGGGAAGAAAGCAGCAGCUGUUGAACUAAUAAAAGCAAGGCUGUCUGAAAAGCCUAAUGACCCUACAUUAUGGUUUGUUGAUGAGCCUUUUCUAUGAUCCAUUUUAUAGUUACUUCUCAUUUCAGUUAAAUCCAUUGUUGAUGUCACUUAUUGCAAUCUAGGGAUGAUUGUUCAUUGGAUGUGAGGAUAUUGUCAGAAGAAAAUGAAACCUUUUAAUUUUAUCUUUUACUUGCUGUAGCCGACUUAAAAGGUCACUGUGCGUUCUUACUGAUUGCUUUUGGUCUUGCAUUUGAGUCAGUGGAUUUUAUACUCAUAUUCUGACAUGUAUUGUUAGCCUUCUGACGGUUCUGCACCUUGGUCCUAUAUUAUCUUCAGCAGUAUUAUCUAAAAGAUCAUUUUUUGCCGAAGAAUAUUUGCAUUCUAAACUAGAAAAGGAGGGGCCGCCCGGGCCCGGGGGGGGGGGGGGGGGUGUGUGUGUGUGAAGGAAGCAUCAGGAGGUUGUUUUCCACUUAUCCUCUUCCCUGCCUGCAUUUUAGAUGAUUCUGAUGCACCAGGUGCCGUGAAAUGGUUGAGAAAUACAUACCAUCAAGUGAAUUCUGAAAAUCAUAUCCUUUUUGAGAAUAUUUGGUGCUAGACAUUUGAAUAUGUGGCCACAAUUUAAACAAUAAAGAUUUUCUGCACUGAUUUCUUAUAAUGGAUAUAUGCAUGUAAUUAUAAUAUGAUAUCUUUUGAUUAUUGACCCAUUUGUUUAGAAAGAAGGGGAAAAAAAAAACAUGGUUGAAAGACAACUGUUACUUGACCUUAUCUUGGUCUGUUCACUGCCGUUUGUUUCCUAUAACUUCUGGUGAUAAUGUAGCCAGAAUGAUGAGUUGAAUUGUGGUUUACUGACUUGUGAUACAUUUUGUAGGUGUUCAUUUUUGUUUUCUAAAUUUGUUAUCUAAAGGAAUGACAAGUUGACAACUCAGCCUCUCUCUCUCUCUCUCUCUCUCUCUCUCUCUGUGUGUCUGUGUCAGGGAUCUGAUUUGUGGAAAGAAAGAGAUCGGUUUGAAAGGUUUUCAUAUGCAUCCUUGGAACUUUGUAAGGUUUACAUGGAAAUUUCUUCCUCUUCUGGUAGCCGUCAAGAACUCUUUGCUGCUGAGAUGCACCUGAAGAACGUACUUAAACAAGUAAAAUACCUUAUAAUUCGAUAUUUAAGACACUUACAGAUGGUAUUACAUUGACAGCAGUAAAACAAAGAAGCAACUGAAAGUUAUCUUCAUAUGAGAAUGAAAGCUUUUCAGCAGCAUAAGCCUUUCACUAUUCAAUUCCAAACACGUUCCUCAACAUGAUAACAAAUUCGUAGACCUUUUCUGGGUCUGGAAGGAUCCUGUAACAGUUUCUCUUUGCAUGCACUUGUUCAUCCAUGCUGAGAAUUUGGGGCACUCAUUCUCAACCUUAAAUCCCCCAAAUUCCUCAACCGCGUAAAACCAUCAAGUCAGUGGAAUGGCAAUCACAUCAACGAAUCCAAAGCUGUCCCCGCCAAAGAAAUCCUUCUCCCCUAAAGCUCCCUCAAGUUGCUUCAAAAUCUCUAUAAAUUCAUUCUUCGCCGGGGACCUCGCCCUUCGUUUUGCAUAUGUUGCAGACUGGAUCGAAUACCUGCCAAAAAAGUGGUGUCAUCUUUUAAGUUCGCAUUUAGAAAGAUACAAACAUUUACACUUGAGAAUUAUAGACUGACCUUCUUGUCAAUAAAAUCUGCCCAGAACCUUGCCUUAGCUCUCUCAGAAGCACAGGAUGGGAGAAGUGAUGGCGAAGGCCAAGUCUCGUCAAUUUAGUUGACUAUAAUAGUGGAUUAACACAAUGGUUCCCCAUCGUGCAGCAAAACUGGGACUUUCUUGUAGAUGGGGUUUGAUUUGAGCAACAGGUCACUCUUGCCCCCGAACAAGUUCUCAGCUCUGGCUUCAUAUCCAACUCCUUUCUCAGCCAAUGCAAUCUUUGCUCUCAAGCAAAAUGGGCUAACCCAACAGUCCAAAAGAACAACCUCUCCCUUUGACAUAUUCAACUAUCAAGGUUGGUAUUUAUAUAGGAGAAAAGAUGAAAUUCCCAAAGAUUGUGUCGCAAUCAAGGUUUGUUCGUUGGCACUUCGAUAAAGGAUGUGGCCUUGUUCUUAUCAUUUCUUAGUUUUUGAAGCUAAAUGUUUUACUUGGCUUUCAACAGGCACAAGAACAAGUUUGUCUUGUGUAAAUAAAAUAAAACCAUAAAAUUCCAUUAUUAGUGUAAAACCAAAAUAAUUAAAAUAAUAAAAGUGAGUUAGUCGUGCGUGUGGACCUCCUCUUUAUGAGUUUGUUAUCACACCAUAUUUGGUUUCUAUAAAUAAAAUAACUAAAACUCUCUUAUCUAAGUAAGAAUAUUGUUAUUUUGAAAUACCAACUCAAUCUCUAACAAAUCUUGAGAUAUAACUUAAGAUUCUUGAGCUUCCAAUAUAAAACAAGUAAGAUUAACAUAACUUUUUCACUUCCUUCCAUCAAAGAAGGGAAUAAGUUAUAUAAUUUAAUUUAUGUUUAAUUAAAUUAUUUUAAAUGGGUAAUAAUUAUAAAUUUUUCCACUUUAUUUAAUUAACUAGAUAAGACCAUAUUGUAAAUUCUUACAUUUAUCACUUUAAUCUCUUUCCUUUUUCAUUCCAACUCCGGUACAAACUAUUCCUUUUCAAAAAGUUGUACUCAAAUUGAUAAGUCUUGGAAGACCAAAACACUAUUUAAAAUUUAUUAUUUGCUUUAGUAGCUUUCAUGGGUGCAAGGUAAGGAACAAAACUCGGUGGAUUUUAUGACAAAAGCUUUAUCUUAUGUAGCACUUUUUUCGAUAUCUCGAACUUUACUCUUUAAGAAUGUUGUAUAAUAUUUCUACAAUAACAACAAACAAAUUAUAACCCUGAAAGAUCUAUAUACACCUCGAUCUCUAGCUAGUUCUCUACAAAAUAUGGCACUAAGUAACAAUGUAAUCGGAGCCAUCAACUUUGUUGCCGUACUUCUUUCAAUCCCAGUCAUCGGUGCCGGAAUCUGGCUUGCCACCGAGGCAGACAAUUCUUGUGUCAAGCUUCUACAAUGGCCAGUCAUUAUUUUGGGAAUCUUGAUUCUAGUCGUGGCUCUAGCAGGCUUUAUUGGAGGAUUUUGGCGCAUCCCUUGGCUCCUUAUACUUUAUCUCGUUGCCAUGCUCAUUCUUAUAAUAUUGCUGGCUUGUCUAGUUGUUUUCAUUUACAUGGUCACGAUUAAGGGCUCAGGUCACCUUGCACCCAGUAGAGCGUACUUGGAAUACCGCCUCGAUGAUUUUUCUGGAUGGCUACGUAGAAGAGUUCGAAGCCCUUACAAAUGGGAUCGGAUCAAAAGCUGUCUCAGCUCGACACAGAUGUGCCCUGAGUUGAACCAUGUAAAAAUGAGUUGCAAAUACUGUUUGGUUACUGAGAAACAGAGAGAAAAUUGAUGAAUAUUCCAGAUCUUAUUAUUUCAUUAAUUACAAAUGAGUAAAUCACAAGUCUUUAUACUUGCAUUUCAUUAGUAAAAGCUAUUAACGAAACUGAUCUGUAUUAACUAACUAAUACUAACUAACUAAUCACGCGAACUCUCAUUGCUGCAUAACAGAAUCAGCUGACUCAGCAUUGUUGACGUGGCAUUGCUGACGCACCUUAGCUUCUGACUUCUUCUCUCUUCUUAGCUCAGCACAAUGAGCUUUCUUCACAGCCCCUCUCAAACUCAAGGGGCAUAAAUGCACAUUGAGUUUGUUCCUCAGAUAAAUGAACUGAGAAGAGUUUAAGGGCUUAGUCAUUAUGUCUGCUAUCUGUUCUGUACUAGGAACAUAUAGAAUCUUAAGAUCUCCAGUUAGAACCUUAUCUCUGAUAAAAUGCAGAUCGAUUUCUAUGUGUUUUGUUCUUGAGUGAAACACUGGAUUAUGAGCAAGAUCUUUGGCACUUACAUUGUCACACCAUAUAACUGGUUUCUCCACACGACAUAGAUUAAUCUCAAGAAACAAAGAUUUUAUCCAUGUUAUCUCUGAAACAGCUGCUGCAAGUGCUCUGUAUUCACUUUCUGCAGAAGAUUUUGUAACUACAGAUUGCUUCUUUGAGGACCAUGAGAUUAAGUUGUUUCCUAGGUACACACAAUAUGCACCAGUGGAUCUUCUGUCAUCAAGAUCACUUCCCCAGUCUGCAUCUGUAAAUGCUGUAACCUUCAGCUCACCUUUCUUAACAAAUUUCAGCCCAUAGUCUUGUGUUUCCUUCAGAUAUCUAAGCACACGUUUGCAUGCCAUAAGAUGUUGAAGUGUUGGUGAAGAUACAUACUGACUUAGCUUAUGAACUGAAUAGGCAAUUUCAGGUCUUGUCAAAACUAAAUACUGAAGACCUCCUACAAUGCUUCUGUAAUGAGAUGGAUCUUCUAUGUAAUAACCCAUUUCCCCUUCUAUAUUCUUCUGCAAUCUGUAAUCUUUGCUGCUGCUCAUUGGUGUAUCUAUUCCUUUACACUCGAGCAUAUCAGCUUUAGCCAGCAAGUCUCUGAUAUACUUCCUUUGUGAUAGAUACAUACGGCCAAGAUCAUACAAAACUUCAAUUCCAAGAAAAUAAGAUAACUUUCCCAGAUCCUUUAAUGCAAAUGCAGAACUGAAUAGCUUGAUAAAAUCUUCCAGCUCAUCACAAUUUGAUCCUGUAAUCAAUAUGUCAUCCACAUAUAUCAGGAUUAAAAUAAUUGAUCUUUUAUUCUUUUUCAAGAACAAAGAUGAGUCAGACUUAGAAUUCUCAAAUCCCCAUUGCACAAGACUGUUUCUCAGCUUGUCAAAACAUGCUCGUGGAGCUUGUUUCAAACCAUAAAGUGCCUUGUGAAGCUUGCACACAAAAUCAGGUCUUUUGGAAUCAAUAAACCCUUCUGGUUGACUCAUAUACACCUCCUCAAUUAAAUCUCCAUUUAAGAAUGCAUUAUUCACAUCAACCUGUCUUAUUUGCCACUGAUUCAUUACUGCUAGACUCAGGACUAUUCUAACUGUUGCUGCUUUCACCACUGGACUGAAAGUCUCAAAGUAGUUCACUCCUUCUAUUUGCUGAAAUCCUUUAGCAACCAACCUUGCCUUAUAUUUUGCAACACUUCCAUCAGUAUUUGAUUUCACUCGAAAUACCCAUUUGUUGCCAACAAGUUUGUGAUGUUCUGUUCUUGGCACAAGUGUCCAGGUACCAUUUGACAUUAGUGCAUCAUAUUCAGCUUUCAUUACUUGAAACCAUCUCUCAUCAUUGAUAGCCUCCUGAACUGUAUCUGGUUCUUUAUGCAACAAUACUGCAGUAUAUACCUUUGGCUUAAAGAUACCUGCUUUCCCUCUAGUGAUCAUGGGGUGUUGGUUUAGUGAUGGUGAGGUUGUCAUUGUUUGAUUGAGAUGAGGGAUAUUGUUAUUGUGUUGGUUUUGUGAAUUUUCAUUUGAGGGCUGUUCUAAUGUUGUGUCAGGUAUAGAAGGUAACAUUAUAGGUGCAGAUGGAUUAUUUCUGUCUGUGUUUGAGGGUUGUUGAUCUGUUACCUGUGUUGAGACUACUGUUGAAGGAAAAAUGUUGCCACUGGAGUAUGCUUGAGAGAAAGAUUCAUUGCUGGUGACUGAAAAAUCUGUUAUGACAGGUAAUGUUGAUAACUGGAAAACUUGUAUAGGAGUAAUUGUGCAAUAUGUAUCAGACUUAGAUUUAUUUGAAUUAUGAAAGCUAGGAUCAGCUGCAAAUGGAUAAGAGUGUUCAUCAAAGACAACAUGCCUAGCUAUAUAUAUAUGUCCAGAGGGGUGAUAACACUUGUAGCCUUUAUGAGAUGGACUAUAACCAAGAAAAAUGCAUUUGGUUGUGUGAUAGUCAAACUUGUGCUUAUUGUAAUCUCUCAGAUAUGGAUAACAAGCACAUCCAAAGCAUUUCAGCAUUUUAUAAUCAGCCUUGUGUUUAUAAAGCUUUUCAUAUGGAGUAGACAUCUUAAGUGCAGAAGUAGGGAGUCUAUUAAUGUGAUAGACUGAGGCAUGAAAAGCAUCCCACCAGAAUUGAAAAGGGAGUUUGGCUUGAGCUAGAAGUGUCAGUCCUAAUUCUACAAUUUGUCUGUGUUUUCUUUCAACAAGUCCAUUCUGAUGAUGAGUGUAAGGGCAAGAGUGUCUAAAGAGAAUGCCACAUUCAUUUAGAAAGGCAGUAAAUGGUCUGUAUUCUCCCCCCCAGUCAGAUUGUAGAAUUUUGAUAGAAGUUUGAAAUUGUUUUUCAACUUGAAGUUUGAACAGCUUGAACACUUCUAGAGCUUCUGAUUUAAGUUUCAAAGGAUAAAUCCAGGUGUAUCUGGUAUGAUCAUCCACAAAGCUAAUGUAAUAUCUAAAGCCAUCUCUAGAAUAUGCUGGUGAGGGACCCCAUAGAUCAGUGUGAACAAGUUCUAGAGCUGAUGUGGAUUUGAUAUCAGUGAUUGGAAAAUGAAGUUUAUGAAAUUUUCCUAGUUGACAUGCUUCACAGAAAUGCUUUGUAGCUUGAUUAACAAUAUUUGUAGAGCACAAAUUGGGAUGCACAAGCUUAAGCAAAUGAAUUAGACUUUGAGUAUUAGGAUGACCAAAUCGUUUGUGGAGUAAAGACAUUUUAUUGAAUGAAUUAGUGCUACAAGUAUUCUUAUUUGACUGAAAACAUUUUCCAGAACAAGAACUAUUAACUGAAGUGCUGAAAUAACACUGAGAUAGCAUGGACACAGGCUUAUUUAUUGAGCUCUGAGAUAGAAAAGAGGUAAAUGUAGAUUGUGAUGAUGAACUCAGCUGCAAUUUGUAUAAACCUUUCUCAGCAAUACCCAGUAGCAGAAUUUUCCCUUUCAGUAUAUCCUUCACAAAGCAAACAGAACCAAGGAAUUCAACAGAUAAGUCAUUAUCAGUGGUCAGUCUAGAAACACUUAUUAAAUUCUUUGUAAUAGAUGGAACAAGCAGUAUAUCUUUAAGUGCAAUGCAUGUACUUGCAUAUUGUAUUUUAGAGCUUUGAAUUGUAAGAUUGGCAUUACCAACAUGUGUGAUUGACAAACCUUUACCAUCACCAAUGAUAAGCUUGUCAUUACCUCUAAACUCAUUGCUGACAUGCAUAUUUGCCAUACUAUUUGUUAGAUGAUGUGUAGCUCCACUGUCAAGGUACCAUCCUUCAUCUGUUGGUCCUUCAAAGUUAGCAGCAUAAGCAGCUCCAGCUCCACUCACAGGUGAGCUCAUUGAGUCAGAUAUGUAUGAAGAAUAUGGUGUAUUAUACACGUGAGGUAUCCCUGAAUAAUCAGCUGCAGCAGGCCAUGAAUCUUCAGUAGGUGCAUUAAAAUAUGUCAUAUAGGCUGAUCUCUGAUUUCUUCCUCUUUUCAUGUGUUGAGGUAUAUAAUUUUCUUCAAACCUAUGCCAACAUUCUACUGCUGUGUGUCCAGAUUUAAAACAGAUCUGACAAACAACAGUCUGUUCCUCAUUACCAUCAGAAUUCGACAAACCAGAAUUAACACUAUAUUGUCCUCUCAUGAAUUGUGCCUGCUUAUUAUUGUUUCCAAUCAUUUGACCUCUGCCAAGAUUAUUACCAAGAUUUCCAGAUCCAGAGGGAAAGCCUCUUGGAUGAGAAUUGAUAAACAUUCCUCUUCCAGUAUGAAAAUUGUUUCUUCCAAAUUGAUUUCCACCAUGAAAUCCUCCAUUAUAUCCACCUCUUCGAGCACUACCUCUUGUUUGAGCAUAAUAAGCAUUCAUCAUACCAUAGCCAUUAUUAUUAUGAGAAACAUUAGCAAGAUUUGCAUUGAACAUCUGUUUUUCAUUUAGACUCUGUUCUAAUCUUGUUUCAUGCGUGAGCAGCAAUGCAUAGGAAUCAUCAAAAUCUAGCUUACUAGCAGUAAUGAAAGUUGCUAAAUCUAGAUAGCCUGGUCCAAGACCAUUAAGGAUCUGUUGUAACAGAUCUUUGUCAGAAACUGGACUACCAGCACAGGCUAAUUUAUCUGCUAUUUGUUUCAUUUUCAAACAAUAAUCUUCUACAUUUAGUGAAUCUUUUCUCAAAACACUCAUCUCAUAUUUGAGUUGAAGAACUCUAGCUUCAGAUUUUGCACCAAACUUUUUCUCCAAUGUUUUCCACACAUCAUAUGCAGUAUUACAAGAAUGAACAUGACUGAGAAUACCUUCAGUGAUUGAGCUUAAUAGCCAGCUUAGUAAUGUCUGAUCCUGUGACCUCCAGAUUAUAUAUUCUGGAUUUUCAACUUGUUGUGUAACUCUUCCCAUUGUUUCAGCAUAGCUUCCUGAAGUAAGAAAUUGAGUAGGUGCUGCCUUUUCUCCAUUGAUGUAGCCUUCAAGUCUGUUUCCUCUUAUAGAAGCUAAUACUUGAUUUCGCCAGAGCAUAUAAUUGGAUCUAUCCAAUUUGAUUGGCGUAAUGAAUGAGAAGGUAGUUUGUAUUGAUUGAUUCAUGUUUGUUGUGUUUGGAUUUGUGUUUAAAUUGCUUGAGCUUACCAUAUUUCUGGCUCUGAUACCAUGUAAAAAUGAGUUGCAAAUACUGUUUGGUUACUGAGAAACAGAGAGAAAAUUGAUAAAUAUUCUAGAUCUUAUUAUUUCAUUAAUUACAAAUGAGUAAAUCACAAGUCUUUAUACUUGCAUUUCAUUAGUAAAAGCUAUUAACGAAACUGAUCUGUAUUAACUAACUAAUACUAACUAACUAAUCACGCGAACUCUCAUUGCUGCAUAACAGAAUCAGCUGACUCAGCAUUGUUGACGUGGCAUUGCUGACGCACCUUAGCUUCUGACUUCUUCUCUCUUCUCAGCUCAGCACAAUGAGCUUUCUUCACAAACCAGAGUUAUAGGAUGGCUCAAGAUUUCUUCAAUGCACAUAUUACCCCUUUACAGGUAAUUAUAAUUAAUUAAGUUCUCGAUUACCAUUAAUUUUAUUUUAUUUUUUUCCAUUAAUUUCUAGAAAUUAAGAUUUAUUAGAACUCUAAAGUUAAAUUCUGAUUAAAAUUUUAAUUUUUAACGUACACAUUCCUCUUUAUAAUUAUGACCGUACGUAAUUUUAUAGCAGAGGAUAAUUCCUACCCAUUAAUUAAGCUAACCCACACGCCCAUGGAACAAUGAAGAAGUAGCUAAUAAAGUAAAAACACUGUAUUAGAUUCGGAAAACCAAGUUUCAAAUCUUCUUUUCAAAAAUAUUCUUCGUCUUUAUCUUUAUUGCGUGCCUUUGUGCUUUUUUUUUUCUAUUUAUUUAUUUUUCUUGUUUACAGUCUGGAUGUUGUAAGCCUCCGACAGAGUGUGGUUACACAUUUGUAAACCCAACAUAUUGGAUAAGUCCAAUUAACAACGCGGCGGACAUGGAUUGCCUACAGUGGAGCAAUGACCAAAUGCAGCUUUGCUAUAAUUGUGAUUCAUGCAAAGCAGGAUUACUUGCUAAUCUGAAAAAGGAGUGGAGAAGAGUAGAUAUCAUAUUACUCGUUACUCUUGUUGCUUUGAUAUGGGUUUAUCUGAUUGGAUGUUGUGCUUUUAGGAACGCCAAAACUGAAGACCUCUUUCGCAAGUACAAGCAAGGCACUUACACGUAAUUGUUAGCUGCACGUAAACUCUCUUUGAUAGUAAUAUUAAUGUGUAAUUAGGGACUGGCUUGAAUUGUUAUUUUGAUAAUUUUAUGAAUUUUUUGUUUAAGAUCCGUCUUCUUGGUUACUUACAUUUGGUUAAAUUAUGUGUGGGGUUUGAUUUGAUGACGACAUAAUCUUGAGUUGUGCGUGCGUGAUUUGUGGAGGGCGCCGAAAGUAGGUGGCUUUUGAAUAUUUGCUUUUUAAGGAGAAGGGAUUUCGCACUUCCGCUCCCUGCUUGCUCGCAUAGGGCAUUAAUUGUAGCUUUGAAAAAAGUUCUGCUUCAGCAUGCGCAAAAGUCAAAGAAAUGGGACAUGUGCUCAUGCAUUAUGCAGCCAGCAUAUGGGUGAUAGCAGACGUAUUUAAUCUUUUAGUCUUUGUUGACAACUCAGCCUCUCUCUCUCUCUCUCUCUCUCUCUCUCUCUCUCUCGCUGUGUCUCUGCGUCAGGGAUCUGAUUUGUGGGAAGAUAGAUAUCGGUUUAAAAGGUUUUCAUAUGCAUCCUUGGAACUUUGUAAGGUUUACAUGGAAAUUUCUUCCUCUUCCAGUGGCCGUCGAGAACUCUUUGCUGCUGAGAUGCACCUGAAGAACGUCCUUAAACAAGUAAAACACCUUAUAAUUCGAUAUUUAAGACACUUACAGUUGGUUUAAAGAUUGCAUUUUCCGUUUCUGUUUUUGACUGGUUCAGGGUAAAACUUUUUCUCACUGUGUUAGAGUGCAUUUCUGUUAUUAUAUAGUACCUGUCAAAAUUUUCCAUUCCAAUUAGUUACAGAGUGAAUUCUGUAAGGUGUGGCGCCCCCUUGAAGGCCAGGAGAGCCGUGUUUAGGGCUUAUCACCCCUCCAAGGUGUAAUCCCUUGUAUCCCUGUAGCUUAUACCAGAGGUCCGGAGUACUGCAGACUUGUGGAGAUACGGGGCUAUGAGUUUCCAUCUUUCGGACAUCACAACACUUGUUCUGGAGAAAUUAUGGGUUUAUUUCAGAACAGAGGAAGGUUACUUCAUUAAGAGGAAUGAGAGAUUUACAAUACACUAGAUUUAGGCUCCAAGACUCGAUGCCUAGAUACAAACCAAGGGUUCCCUUUUAUAGGCACAAGGGAACCACUAUUACACACUGUAGUCAUUAUUGAUCCUUAUCUCUAAGGAAUCUAUUUUACAACUCACUCCUUACUUUAUGUCACACUCAUACUCUCAUCCUUAUCACAAAGGAUGGUACACAAUACAUACGAAUACAAAUACAUAUAUUAUUAUUAUUAGAGAUACAAAUACAUAUAUUAUUAUUAUUAAAUAUACAAAUACAUAUACGAAUACAAAGGAUGGUACACAAUACACUCUGAUAAUAAUAAUAUAUGUAUUUGUAUUCGUAUGUAUUGUGUAUCAUCCUUUGUGAUAAGGAUGAGAGUGUGAGUGUGACAUAAAGUAAGGAGUGAGUUGUAAAGUAGAUUCCUUAGAGAUAAGGAUCAAUAAUGACUACAGUGUGUAAUAGUGGUUCCCUUGUGCCUAUAAAAGGGAACCCUUGGUUUGUAUCUAGGCAUCGAGUCUUGGAGCUUAAAUCUAGUGUAUUGUAAAUCUCUCAUUCCUCUUAAUGAAGUAACCUUCCUCUGUUCUGAAAUAAACCCAUUUUGGUAUCAGAGCCAUAUUUCCCAAAAGGAAACCCCUGGGUGUGCAACAAUAUUAUGCUCUGUGGUUGCCGAAACACUUCGGAUCCUCCACAUCAGAAAGUUGUUGAAUACUGAUCUACCUGUCAAAAUUUUCCAUUCCAAUUAGUUACAGAGUGAAUUCUGUAAGGUGUGGCGCCCCCUUGAAGGCCAGGAGAGCCGUGUUUAGGGCUUAUCACCCCAAAGAAAACCCUUUGUUUUCUCUUAGCCAUGGAAAACUCAAACAGUAAUAGAUCUGGAAACCAAACAGUUUCUGACCAAGGAUCCACUUCGGCUAUCAGAGUUCUAACUGAUAGUUCACCCUCUAUAAACUUCCAUUACGAAACCCAAGAGGAUGAAAGCAGUGAGAGAGCGGUUCAGUCCUUUAGACUUGAUCCGUUAGAUCCCUAUAGAUACUACCAUAUCAAUUCUACUCUUAAUCAAUUAAGAGCCAUAAUUCCUAUUAGACAACCCAAGCUUAAAACCAUCUAUAAAUCCUCUGAGAUUACUGUCCAGUUCAUCUCCUCCAGUUCUAAAGAAACAUACCUUCCUAUAAUCUCUACCAAUGAGGUUACAAGGUAUAAGCUACAGGGAUACAAGGGAUUACACCUUGGAGCAAUCUAGAUAGGAAUACAACCAUUGUUCCUAGCUGGAAAAGAUAUCACAUGCUUCAUUGCCAUCCUUGACACUAGAUGGCAAACUUUUGAGAAAGCCUUGAUCACUGCUGUCGAAGCAGGACUCAACCAAGGUCAUGUUGUUCUCCAAGUUGAACCCAACUUCACCCUUGACAUACACAAGCCAUUUCUCACAGAUGCCAUUAAGGUAUUAAUUCAGGUCAAUGGUCUAACCAUAAAACCUGAUGAAUCUGCCUUGGCAAUUCACCACACCAUGACCUAUAAAGUCCAAACCCAUCUGUUCUCUAUGAGCAGCUCUGGCAGGCCCAUUACCAGAUUUCUUGCUGGUGAUGGCAGAGUCUUUCAACCUCGGACUUAUAGGCAAAAUCAGCUCAUUUUUCUACCUCAAUGGAUCAAUGAGUAUGAAAAAAACAGCAAGCCUCAACAAAUCCAUGAGGUUCCAAAGAUAAGCCGGUUACAAGAAGGAAGGGUAUCAGUCUCUUUUCCCACUGAGACUAAAGCCCUCUAUCCAUGUGAAAAAUGCCAGCUUGAAGGAAGGCAUCCCUCCUUGUGCACUCAUAUGCCAAGAAGAAUCACCUCCUGCAGAAUCAUGGGUCCAAUUAACAUGAUCACCACUCCGGAUCUUGAUAAUGAAUUCCUCAAGGAUAUUCCUGGAGGAAUGUAUGUUGCCAAAUGGGUAAUACAAAAAACCAACCCAACUGAAUUUGGCCCAAUUGAGAAGGCGAUCAACUGGUCAAACAUCAAUGCUGUUGAACAGAACCAAGCGUUGGGAGACAUCAUGGUUACCCAACAGCAAAUUCUUGCUGACUUAGCUGUUAUCAGAAAACAGCUAAAGAAAACCAGAAAACAGCAUAAGGUGACUACCCAGCAGUUUUCCCAAAUGCAUGACAGUGCCUCCAGAUCUAUCAACAUGAUCGUAAUGACCGGAGCUGCAGAUGAGGACGGAAUGAGAAGAACCAGAGAAAGCUAUCAAAGGACAAAAGUGUCCAGGCACUGGAAGAGCAAGCCCACAAAGCCAUGGCAUGUCUGGGAAGAAAAUGCAUCUGGCAACUGUCAAAAGGCAUUUUGGAGAAGCUAUGCUCCACCUCCACAAUAUCCAUGGCCCACUAAGGCUACAGGAUGGGAUGAGGAUAAAGAUACGGAUACUGAAACAAGUAUCUCCUCUGAUGACCAGAUCCCUCUUAUACCAAUUCUUAUGCAAAGAGCAAAUCCUCCAAAUCCAUUCUAUGUGGAUACUCGAGCUAGAUUUGCAGCAUCCACACCAACACAGGGUCAAACCUCUGAUCCUACAAGACAAGAGCAAACUCAACACCCAUCAGGAACAACCCAGUUCACUGCCCCAGAAUUCGCUAAUCCUGCUGCCCAACCAGAAGCAUCUGGAGUAGAAUCCACAAAUCAAGAAGACAGGGCACCACAUAUUGAUGAGGUAAAUCAGGGAGACGAAUGGGAAACCCGUGUCCAACUUGGGCAUUCUACGACGGGAAAAAUGUUCUGGAACAUCGAUAGAAUGAAGCCAAAAGAAAUAUUGGCUUACUUUGAAAAGAUGGUAGCUUGGUAUGAAGGAGAAUGCCAACGAACUCCCCAGUUGAGCAGAAGAUCGGCAGCAAUGAGACUUGUUGCAGGAUUCGUUGGAUCAUUGAGAAGAUGGUGGGGAAGAAAGCUCAGCAGAGAACAAAAGGAAUUCAUACUCAGCAGAGAAGACCCUUGUGGAAGCUUGGUAGAAAAUCUAUCCUUGGAUUUUCUCGGCCAACACACAAGAGAAGAAGAAGUAGCUGAAAAACAAUUUCUCCAGAACAAGUGUUGUGAUGUCCGAAAGAUGGAAGAGUACUACCUAGAGCAAGAAAGGUUGUACUACAUCUUUGACAAACAAACUGACACCAUCCACAGAACAUUCGUGCUAAACAUGCCAGGCCCAGUAGCGGAAAUGAUGGAGGCUAAAUUCAAAGCUGAUGCAAUUGUUGAUUUAGCACAGCUUAGCCUUGCUCAGCUCUAUCAGAUAUCUAUGGAGCUGAUCCAAAGUCAUUGCAGAUCUCAAGACUUAAGAAGGCACAUGAAGCAGAUUGAGAAAUCCUCUCUGCAAAAAUUCUGUAAUGAGGAACCAAACAAAUUUGGUUGCCACCAUACAGACAAAAUGUGCUCUUGCAAGAACAACAGGCAGAAAAGGCCAAAGAAACCCUGGAAGCCCUACAAAGGAAAGAAAUACCGUUUCAUCAAAAAACGAAAACAAAAGAAAGGCUCGGGGAGAUGUUUCAUUUGCGGAAAGAAAGGUCACUAUGCCAAACAGUGCAAAUCCAAGAAAAGACUUCCAGCAAAACUUCUCCAGAUGAUCCAGCAGGAAGAUUUUGAUGAUGACAUCUAUACCUGGUCAGAUAGCCCUACGGUGUUGUAUACACAAUGGAUAAAUAUCCUCUUUCAGACGACGAUGAUACAGAUUCUCUUUCUAGCACUGACAGUGAUUCUGAUGAUGAUCCUGUCAUGACCAUCCAUGAGCCUCUCCAAGCUAACCUGGCAAUGGCCCCUGCCUCUCUCUUCAGACCACAUAUAAAGGUUAUCCUCAACCCAUCUGAGGAUAAACAGGUAGCACUCACUGCUCUUAUUGACACUGGAGCAAUGUGCUCAUUCAUUCGAGAAGCUUGUGUUCCUUCCACCUUUUAUGUUCCUACUAAGGUCUCGUUUGGCUCCGCUAGUGGAAGUAACUUCUCCAGUAAAAAGAUUACCCGGCCUAUAGAAAUCCAGCCCUUUAUGAUAAGGCAUGGCUUCUUUGCCUUUGAUUAUUCAGGCGAAGAUAUCUUGCCAGGCACCGACUUUUUAAGUCUGAUUGCCCCUUUUGCCUUCUUUCCCGAUGGCUUCUCUUAUACCAUUCGGAAUCCUCACACGGGCACCACUAACACUUUCUGGGUACCCUGGGUUGAAAAACAAUCCAUUUUUGGGGAGGGUGGAAAACUACAAAAUUACACCAUCCAUAAAUAUGAACCCCAAAUUAAAGAACUCCUUGAAUGCUGUGCAGAAGUGCCAAACCAGUUUUGGGCUAGAGAACAACAUUUUGUGUCUCUACCAUACAAGGAUGGAUGGACCAUGCCUCACCAGACGGCCUCUCAUCCAGGCAUUCCUCAUGACGAAGAACUAUGCAAAACAGAGAUCCAGGCUCUUAUGGAUCUAGAGCUCAUCAGGCCCUCUAAGUCUCAUUGGGCUAGCCCAGCAUUUUAUGUCAACAAGCAUUCAGAACAGAUACGUGGAAAAAAGCGAUUGGUAAUUCACUACAGAAAACUGAAUGAUUGCUUGCAGGACAUAAGAUACCCCAUUCCACGGAGGACACACAUUUUAAAACGCAUUGCUGGUGCAAAAGUGUUUUCAAAGUUUGACAUGAAGUCAGGCUUUUGGCAAAUUGGGAUUAAAGAAGAAGACAGACACAAGACAGCAUUUGUGGUCCCCCACGGGCAUUAUGAAUGGAAUGUGAUGCCUUUUGGCCUAAAGAAUACACCGUCAGAAUUCCAAAACAGAAUGGAUGAGGUGUACAAAUCUAUCUCAGGAUUUUGCCUUAUCUACAUUGACGAUGCUCUUAUCUUCAGCAACAGUGAAGAAGAACAUGCUGAACACCUGUCCCAAUUCAAGGCACUAACCUAUAAACAUGGGUUAGCUUUGUCAGAAUCCAAAAUGAAGAUAGGCCUUGAUGAGGUGGACUUUCUAGGAUUACACAUCAAGCAGAGAUUCAUCAUUCCUCAGCCACAUAUAGCUGAAAAAAUAUCCCAAUUCCCAGACCAGCUGUCAACCAGAAAGCAGAUCCACCAGUUCCUCGGGAUAAUCAACUAUGCAGCAGACCAUGUGCAGGAUCUGUCAAAGAUGACGAGAGUCAGAUAUCAAAGCACUUAAAGAAGAGUGCCCCACAAUGGUCGGAAGACGCAACAAAAGCAGUGACAGACUUAAAGCAAAAGUGCCAGUCACUUCCACCAUUAAAGAUACCUGACAAGGGACAGCUCAUCCUCCAGACAGAUGCAAGUGACCAUUAUUGGGGAGCACUGUUGAUAGAGGAAUCCGAGGGAAACAGAAAAGUGUGUGGCUAUAAAUCAGGCCAGUUCAACGAUGCUCAAAGCCACUACCCCUCCUCCAAAAAAGAAGUCUUAGCAGUUGUCAAAGGGAUCAAAAACUUUCAAUUCUUUCUUUCACUAACUCCCUUUGUGAUUGAAACAGACUACAAAUACCUACAGGGAUUACUCAGGAGAAAAGAAGGAGAAAUACCAGAUCCACAGCUUGCAAGGUGGUCUGAGUCUCUCUCGAGAUUCAAGUUUGAAGUAAAGCACAUCAAAGGAGAAUCCAACACUGUUGCGGAUUUCCUUUCCAGACCGAUCACCAUGAUCAAAAGAAGAAGCCUUCCAAAAAGAUGGGACGAAGGCAGUUCUAGUGCUCACGCAGCCCGAGCACACUUUCUCAAAGAUCUUAACAUCUUCAUUGCUUGGCUUCCUUCGGAAGUUCAAGAUGACAUCUUUGAGAAAGUCAUCUGCCACAAAAGAGAUCCAGAAGAUCAAGCUCUGACAUGGCGGGUAUGGCAGCUCAUGGCCAUGCAGGAACACAGACCUGCCCAUAACAAACAAUGUCAAAGAGCUUUUGAUCCACAUCCAAAUCCUGACCAGAUGCAUGAAACGGUCUUCAAGGUCGGUUGCACCUUCCACUAUGUAAUAGACGAGAACUCCAACUGGGGUCACUAUGUUAUCUGCGAUAUAACCCCUCAAGCCUAUUACAUAACUUGGUACUGGCCCAACAUUUACCCAGUGGCAAUCCUGUUUGAACCACAUCUGAUCCAUACCAGCAGGAGAUAUGGGAAGGGAAGAUGGUUCGACCGAAUGUUCGCUCCUAUCUUCGAAGACAUCCUAACACUCCGGCUAAUCAACGGAUAUCACAUCACUCACUCUACUAUAGUGAUUGUGAAACUCACAGAUAUCUGGGGAAGAUACAAGCAGCCUCUUGUGCAGGUGGUCCAGCAUGACCUCAACCAUGAAGAAAUUGAUUCCAUGUGGACAGGCUGUUGGAAUGCUAGAAAAGCUUUAGCUGAGGUAUACGGAACUAUUCCAAUGUAUAAUACUCAUAGCCCCGUAUCUUCACAAGUCUGCAGUACUCCGGACCUCUACUACAGAGAGGAGAUCAGGAAUCUCAAGCUUCAUGGAGAAGAAGAUGAAGCAGCAGACUUGCAGCAGUGGUAUAAUGAUUACCUCACUCGCCAUGGCAGGCCAAAAGAAGUCACUUAUCUGGACACUCCAGAUAUUGAAAGAUGGAGGAACGAGCUUGAAGAAAUGGCCCAUUGGCUAGACCUCCAAGAUUGGCCCCAACCUGAGUUAGACCCCCAGCCGGAUAACAUUGAAGAUCCCAUAUGGCCAAAUAUGGGAGAAGAUAUGGAUGCAGCAUCCGAAGAACGAUGGAACCACAGGUCAGGACGUAGCACACCAACAAGUGGCAACUCUGGACUAUAGCGGAAGCUUAGUGGACCCUACAGUGGAAGCAAUGGUGAUAAUAAUAUAUGUAUUUGCAUUCGUAUGUAUUGUGUACCAUCCUUUGUGAUAAGGAUGAGAGUGUGAGUGUGACAUAAAGUAAGGAGUGAGUUGUAAAGUAGAUUCCUUAGAGAUAAGGAUCAAUAAUGACUACAGUGUGUAAUAGUGGUUCCCUUGUGCCUAUAAAAGGGAACCCUUGGUUUGUAUCUAGGCAUCGAGUCUUGGAGCCUAAAUCUAGUGUAUUGUAAAUCUCUCAUUCCUCUUAAUGAAGUAACCUUCCUCUGUUCUGAAAUAAACCCAUUUCAUGGUUAGACCAUUGACCUGAAUUAAUACCUUAAUGGCAUCUGUGAGAGAUGGCUUGUGUAUGUCAAGGGUGAAGUUGGGUUCAACUUGGAGAACAACAUGACCUUGGUUGAGUCCUGCUUCGACAGCAAUGAGAAGAAAAUGCACUUUUUGGAAUCUCAGGCUGAAGGAUUUUUGGUGCUUUAACUAAUCUCAUUUGACAAUGUAAAUAUAUGGCUUCAAUUUCUUUAAAUGUAAUAGCAAGUGUUGUUUUCGACCUCUGUUCUUUUAUGCAUUGCUUACAUGCCGUGAUUUCAUUAACCUAAAUUUAAGAACUGUUUGAGGGAAAUACAUCGAGGAGACCAGACGUGAUGAGCAGGUGUUUGGUGGUGGAGUUCUGCGAGCAGGAAUAUUCUCCUCGUCCACGAAUAUGCCAUUCGCGAGACCGAAUUCAUGUUAGAGGCAUAAGGUCAUUCCUGCUAAGGGUCGAGGCGAGGAGACCCGGUCAACGGCAGUUGGCAAGACGUGCCUUCCUAUCCGAGAAUCAAGGCACGAGGUCCAUCUCCAUUUGCCCACAAUGACGACAAUGGGGCAUCCACAUCCGAGGGUGGGGAGAAUAACGGGCGUAAACUGCGGAAGAUCGGGACUCAGAGGAAGCCUAUAAAAAGGUAGCCAACAAAGGUAAAAGGGUUAGAUUUUUUGCUAUUUGAACUAAGAAAAUAGAGAACUCGAAGGUCUGAGAUUAGUGAAAAGCCAUAAGAUCCGUGGCAAGCAUUCCCAGAACCUUCAUAUCUGACUUGAGCGUCGGAGGGUUUACGCCGGGAAAACAACCGGCGUGCUCUGACCUGUUUCUGUGGACGCAAGGAUACUUAGAGAAGAAAGCGUACGAGGAGAGAUCCUGAUCGAGGUGAGGUUGAUCGAGCAGACAUCCUGGUCGUUGGAAGGUGUAACCAGAAUCUCGCAUCAACAAGAACAAUUUCAUAUAAUUUUUUUUCUGCUUUUCUUUUAUCAUUUAAAAACAAUACUACGCACACACACACGCAUAUAUUUCAGAAAGCAUUUAAACAAAGCAACCGAACGUUGCUGGUUUCUAUUAUUACAUCGACAACAAUAAAGCAAAGAAGCAACUGAAAGUUAUCUUCAUAUGAGAAUGAAAGCUUUUCAGCAGCAUAAACCUUUCACUAUUCAAUUCCAAACAUGUUCCUCAACAUGAUAACAAAUUCGUAGACCUUUUCUAGGUCUAGAAGGAUCCUGGCAACAGUAUCUCUUUGCAUGCACUUGUUCAUCCAUGCUGAGAAUUUGGGGCACUCAUUCUCAAGCUUAAAUCCCCCAAAUUUCUCAACCGCGUAAAACCAACAAGUCAGUGGAAUGGAAAUGACAUCAACGAAUCCAAAGCUAUCCCCGCCAAAGAAAUCCUUCUCCCCUAAAGCGCCCUCAAGUUGCUUCAAAAUCUCUAUAAAUUCAUUCUUCGCGGUCUCUGGGACCUCGCCCUUGCUUUUCCAUAUGUUGCAUACUGCAUCGAAUACCUGCCAAAAAAGUGGUGUCAUCUUUUAAGUUCACAUUUAGAAAGAUACAAACAUUUACACUUGAGAAUUAUAGACUGACCUUCUUGUCAAUAAAAUCUUGCCUUAGCUCUCUCAUAAGCACAGGAUGGGAGAAGUGGUGGCGAAGGCCAAGUCUCGUCAAUGUAGUUAACUAUAAUAGUGGAUUCACACAAUGGUUUCCCAUCGUGCAGCAAAACUGGGACUUUCUUGUAGAUGGGUUUGAUUUGAGCAACAGGUCACUCUUGCCCCCAAACAAGUUCUCAGCUCUGGCUUCAUAUUCAACUCCUUUCUCAGCCAAUGCAAUCUUUGCUCUCAAGCAAAAUGGGCUAGCCCAACAAUCCAAAAGAACAACCUCUCCCUUCGACAUAUUCACUUUCUUUGUUCUUGUUUCUUUUACUUGGUUGAUAGUAAUUAAACCUUGAGUAUCAAGGUUGGCAUUUAUAAAGGAUAAAAGAUGAAAUUCCCAAAGUUUGUGUCGCAAUCAACGUUUGUUCGUUGGCACUUCCUUAAAGGAUGUGGCAUUAUUCUUAUCAUUUCUUAGUUUUUGAAGCUAACUGUUUUACUUGGCUUUCAACAUGCACAAGAACAAGUUUGUCUUGUGCAUACGGAGUUUACUAUGGACAAGCCGAAUUGUAAGUAACCAUUUACACUAAUCAAUCGGUAUUGUCCAAUGAAAAUAAGUAAUGUAAACUUAUCAAAAAAAAAAGUAAUGUAAAAAGUGUCUAGGAUUUUGCCUAAUAUUUCUUAAAAUAGGCUAAUUAAGCCCAAUUCUGGUGCUAGAUUGGUUCAACUUUGAAUCAAACUUGGAAACAUUUUGCUUUAGAUUAUUAUUAUUAAUUUAGAAGAGUCAAAAAGCUAAGAGUAUCGUUGGUAAAGCUCAAACAUGUGUAAUAUCACAUAUUACUUCUUUUUUUUUUUUAUACAAGUAAUAUCACAUAUUACUAGUGAGUGAGUUUCAUAAACUUUCCUAUUGAAAAAGACACAUUUUGGGUUGUAAAUCCUAACACAAUAUUUAUUCAGUUGUUGAGCCUGAAAUAUUACAGAUAUAUCAAAUAUUAUUUGAUGUGGGCGCACAACCCUGCGUCUUCUUAAUUAGGACAACCAAUGAAACCCUGCGUCUUCUUACAUAACUUGUAUGUACACAUUGGCGGGAUAUCCCAAUUAUGUACUCGUUUGUCUUCAUGUGUUUUAAAAAAAUCUAUUGUAAUGGAUAUAUUGUAAAUUUAUCUAAUUGCUUGUUAUAAUGCUUCUAUUGCGGUGUUAUUCGAGCUGUCAUUUUCAGUUUUAUUUUGUUUUUUCUUUAAACAUAGUUAAUUUGAAAUCCAUUACACUUGAAUCAUCAAAUAAGUGAUUCUCGAACAUAAUUGCUGUUGUUACUCGAAUAAGAAAAGAAAACAAAGUAUAGCUAAGAUAAAAGCAAAUGGAAAUGAGAGCAACGUGAUUUUGCAAAGAGAACUUCACACUAUCAUAAAACCAAAAACAUUAAAAUUUAAAACUUAAAUAACAACACACCAAAGCCAAAUAACGACCCACUAGAAUCAUGGUCCAAAGAUUGUACCAUGAUCACAACAUGAACUACAAAAAAAUAACCAACACCUGAAAAGUAGGAACAGUUUGAAACUUUCAACUAAAGUGGGAAAGACCAGGAUGGCACUGCAUGCCCAGCCCACCAACAUUAAAUGCUUUUUUCCCUUAUAAUUUAUCAGUCACAUAAUUUAGAGUGAAGACUUUAAUGCUGUGUUUACUUGCUGGAGUGGGAGUGAGGAGUGUGGAUUCCUCCCACUCCAGCGUUUACUUUCUCUGAAUGGGAAGGGAGUGGGAAUUCCACUCCGUGGGCCCCACCCAUUUUUGGAGUGGGGAGUGGGAGUGGGACUCCCAUAUUCCCACUCCCACCUCUCCCUUUUUUACCCUUUUAUUUUUUUAAUUUAAUUUAAUUUAAUAUUUUAUAAUUAAUAAAAUAAAAUAAAUAUUAUUAUAUUUAUUUGAAUAAUAAUAUUAUAUUUAACUAAAUAAUAAUUUGCAUUGAUUCUAAGUUAAAAUUAUUUUAAAAUAAUAUUAUUAUAUUAAUAGAGAAUUAAUAAAUAUAAUAUUAUUAUAUUUAUUUUAAAAAUAAUAGUACUAUAUUUAUUUAAUAUUAAUAAAUAGUUUAUUCUAAGAAAAUAUUAAUUUUGUACUAAAUAAUAUUAUAUUAUUAUUUUAUAUAAUAAUAAAUUUAAUAUAAUUAUAUUAAAUAAAAUAAGGUUUCAUUUUGUAUUAAAAUUAAUAAUUUAUUGUUGAUAAUUAAGAAUAUUAAUAAUUAUAAUAAAUUUACAAAUAUAAUAAAAUAAAUAUUAUUCAUUAAAUAUAUUUUUUAUUAGUUUUGUAAUUAAAAAUUAUAAUUCUUUAAAUAAGAAUAAAAUUGUAAUUUGAAACUAUUUACUCCCAAUCCAAGACAAAGUAAACACAUAAAUUGGAUUUUGAUCUCUAUUCCAUGCUUCCAUUCCAGUGUAAGUAAACAACCUACUCUCACUCCCACUCCACACUCUCAAUCCUAGGAUUUCCACUCCUCAGGAUUCCCAAUCCAAUCCAAAAAGUAAACGCUACCUAAAAGCAAAUAAAUGAAUUGGCUGAAUCUAGCUAGGAUGCCAGGAUGGGCACGGAUCCACAGAUAACAAGUAACAGUCUUUAAAUCUUCUGUUGUAAGUUCUUACGCCCCUUUUUUUUUAUACGACGAACCCCCGAUUCUACCCUCCAAAAUCAACAAUAGAGAAUUUAGUCUUAGCCUCUCAAGAUGCACUCAAACCUAAGGAUGGCAAUGGAUCAGAUCUGACCCAAGAUCCAUGUGAUCCAAAUCCAAUUGGAUCGAAUUUGGGUCGGAUUAAAAUAGAUUUGGAUCGGAUUUGGAUAUCGAUGCGUGGAUCUAAGGCGGAUCUGGAGCAAAUUCAGAUUUAUCUUAAUAUCUAUAUCCAAAUCCAUAUCCACUCACCAUUUAAUGUAAUUUUAUUUUAAAAAAUUCUUAACAAUUAUGUAAUUAUAAAUGAUGAUAAAAUUUAUUCAUUAGCAUGUAUUUAAGAAUCUUAAAACUUAAAGGUACUUAAUUGAUAAUAAGAUAAAAAUUUAUCAAGUGUAAAAUAAAAUUAGGAUAGUCUGCCCUAAUUUUUUUAAGUUUUUCACUCUACAAUUUAGUCUCUUUUUUCCUCUUUAGUCUACUCUCGCUUCUCCACUUCAUUUGAAUGCUUGGAUCAGUUCUUUAAUUGUUAGGAAAAUCCAUAGACUUGAGUUUAUUUUUCUAUCAUUUUCUCAUAAUCUUAUUUAUUUUGUAUAAUCACUAAUCAAUGGUGGCUAUCAACUAUAAAAUAAUUAUGUUAAUCAUAUAUUUAGUUAAAUAUGAUCAUAAUAAAAAUAAUAAAGCACUGAAUAUAAUAAAUCAUUUUUAACUUAUAUGUUAUUAUUUAAUGAUAUAGGAAUGAUGAUGGUGUGCAGUGGAUAUCAAGAUAGUAAAUGAGACAUUAGAAUAUUAUAAUGAUCUUAUUCAUGCAAUUACUUUUUAUCGAUAUUUUAUUAUCUUUUUUAUUUGUUUAUUUUGGUGUAAAAGCAGAAGCUACAAUACUUAUUAGAUUUUUUGUACAAAUUAUAUAAUUUAAUUGUUACCAAUGCAUUUUAGUCUUAAAUUUUUUUUCUAAAAAAAAUUGAUCUCUUAUUAUUGAGAUUUAGAAUUCAUGAUGGAUCUAGAGCAUAUUUAGAUUGUAAUUUUUCAAUUUGGAUUUGGAGCAGAUAUAGAUCUUUAUUUUUGUUUCGAAUCUAGAUAUGGAGCGAAAAUAUAGAUCCAUAACGGAUCUGGAGCAGAUACAGAUCUUAAUUUUUAUUACGGAUCUGGAUAUGGAGCAAUGUAGAUCCAAUCCAUAUCUGCUCCAUUGCCAUCCCUACUCAAACCUUGAGUAUGGUUUUUACUUACGUAUUAUCGAUUAUGAUUUUAACUAAUCUCUCUUGUCAACGAACUUUUGGUUGAUUAUGGACGCCUUUUUUUUUUUAAUCUAAACAAUAUAAGAUUUCGUACAAAUUGAAUUUGUAUAGACCUCAUCAUUUGGAACUUGUGUUGUAUCCAAAAAUAUCACCCAACCCAAAGAAAAUAAGUUCAAUUCUAUAACUCAUUCAUUUUUCUUAUAGCCCAAUGGAUUGAGAGAAUAGGCGUCAGAGGAAACUUUAUUUCAAUAUAUAAAUAUAGGCUUGCAUACAAUGCAAAAUCAUAUAUUCGAACCAAUAGGCGAAGCAUUGUCCCUCGUUGAUCCACAUGAGCCAACUAGUCAAAGUGGAUCCACAUGAGCCACUUUACAGACUGGGCAUGCAUUGCAACUGUUCAUUUUUGCUUCUGCCAAUAAAGAGUUGAUAGUAACCAAAGAUUGUAUUCUUUAUUGUCAUUUGAGAGUAACCAAUUACUUAGGCAGUCACGUAAGUUGCUGGUUGGCCUCGCACAUUUUUGACCAGCUUGUUUCUGAAGGAAACCAGCUGAGCUGCAACCUCUUCCAUGCUCAUUCGUUCUCUCGGCAACUCUGAAGAGCAAGUGACUCCGAUUGCCAGUACUGAAACCAAGCACUCUUUAACACUAAAACUUCUGGUCCAUUGUUUGUGAGCAUUGGCCUUGCUUGUCUCCCCUUCUUCUCUUUCUACAAGAAGCACUGGAUCAACAAUUUCAGCGAGUCUUUCAGGAAGAGCUUCCUUGACAAAAUUAUGUAGGGUUAGAUUGCCUGUAAACAUCUCAUUCGUCGGCCCCUUUCCUGUAAACAUUUCCAGCAAGAGUAUUCCAAAACUGUACACAUCUCCACUUGUUGAGACUUCGCUCCCCAUUCCGUACUCUGCAAUUCGAAAACUAAAAUUGUUGGUUCAACUAGUAAAAUCUCUAAGGAUUGAAAGACAAGUUAAUUAAAUUAUUGUAUUUACCUGGUGCAGCAUAACCAACGGUUCCUUUUACUCCAACAGAGCUUGAUUGAUUAGAUGACAAGUUAUUGGUGGCUUCCGGAAGGAAUUUUGCUAAUCCAAAAUCACCUACAUGGGCAGUCAAUUCACCAUCCAGAAGAACAUUGCUUGGCUUGAGAUCACAAUGGACUAUUGGAGUUUCGCAAUAAUGAUGAAGAUAAUCCAAUGCGGAAGCAACAUCAACGGCAAUAUUCAGUCUUUGCAGGAGAUUUAAGUUCCUUGGUGCCUCAGCGUUCGGAUGCAACCAUUCCUCCAGGCUCCCGUUGACCAUGAACUCAUAAACUAAAGCCUCGAAAUCAUUUCCUUGGAAGUCAACACUUGCACAGGAAGUUAUUAUUUUGACAAGAUUCCGAUGCCUAAUACUCCUCAAGGCUUGACACUCCGCUAUGAAACUCUUUGAAGCUCCACGAUGCUGAAGAUUAAGUACCUUAACUGCCACCAGCGUUUCAUGAUCAUCGUGACUGAGGAUUCCUUUAUAGACCGAACCAAAGCUACCGGCACCAAUCAAGUUUUCCAAAGAGAACCCAUCAGUUGCUUUGAACAGAUUCUCAUAGGACACUCGUAAAACCGAAGCCAAGAAUGCUGAUGGAGUGGCCGGCUCCCUUUUUGAUUUGCUCCGCCAGGAAGUAAUUAUAAAACACGACAUCCCUGUCACUAACAAAAUUACUGUAACUACAGGAAUCAUCAGUUUCAGGGAACGGGAACGUGACUGCUUGGAUUCUUUGAUGGAACAAGUAGAUAAAUGCAACUCAGAUAUGCCACCACAGAGGUUAUCAUUUCCAUCAAGAGAUAUAGCACUUGAAUUGCUGAAGACUCCUUUUACUGGUACUUCACCCUCAAAAUGAUUAAAAGACAGAUUUAAAUUCUGCAAAAAGGGAAAGUUUUCCAAAUAUUUUGGAAUCCGGCCGGACAAAUUGUUCCGCGAAAGAUCAAGAUUCUCAAUGCCUCUCAAAGAACUGAAUGACGAAGGUAUAUUCCCUUGAAAGAAAUUACCAUUCAUGAUGAGUUGCACCAACAAAAUGCAACUUCCUAAACUACUUGGAAUUUCACCAGACAAUUUGUUCUCAGAUAUAUCUAUAAAACCCAGAUUUUUCAAGAUACCAAAAUUUGAGGGCAUAGGACCAUUCAACUGGUUUUGAGAUAGAUCAAGAUAGAUUGACAAGGAAGAGAGGCCAAUUACUUCAGUGGGUAUGGUACCACUGAGGUUGUUAUUAGAAAGAUUUAAUGAUAUUAAGUUUUGGCAUUUCCCCAGACUUGAUGGAAUGCUUCCCUCUAACAUGUUUUCCUCAAAAUUUAGUGUAGUUAACAAUGUCAAAUUUCCUAUAGAAGAUGGAAUUUCCCCCCAAAACUUGUUCCCCUUCAGGCCCAACCUCUGCAGCUUUUGAAGAUCUCCUAUACUUUCCGGAAUUCGGCCUGUGAAUUUGUUGCCCCCCAGAUGUAAAAGCUCCAAGUUAACAAGAUUUCUUAAUCCACUUGGGAUAUUUCCGAACAACUGAUUGUUUCCAACUGAUAAUAUUGCAAGUCGGUUUGACAAGUUCCCUACUGUUUCAGGUAACAUUCCACCAAAAUUGUUAUCACUAAUUUGCAGUAGCUCUAGUCUAGAAGCGUUAACCAAAGAAUUGACAAAUUCCAAGUUAUCUUUUUCCCCAUAAUUUCCUAAGUGAUUCUGAGAAAUACUAACCCAUUGGAGUUUAUGUAAAUUUUCCAAACUAGGCACCCUUCCACUGAAUCCAUUCUUUGCGAUUGUAAGUCUCAUUAGAUUUGAGGCAUUGGAUAUUGAAGCCGGAAUAGGUCCGGUAAACUGAUUACCACCAACGUUUAGUACUUCAAGUUUAGGAAGAGUGAAGCCUAAGUCUGAUGGAAGGCUUCCUUGAAGUUGGUUAAAAGGAAAAUAAAAACCACUAAGCCAAGACAAGUUGUAGAUUGAAAAGGGGAUUUCACCUGAUAGCUUAUUUGCUCCAAACGAUAUAUAACGCAUCAUCUUAAGCUCGCUCAGGGUUUCAGGAAUUUGUCCCACAAAUUGAUUUGCAGCUGCUGAGAGGACCUGGAGUGAUGACAAAUUGCCGAAGGAAGGUGGGAUUUCUCCUGACAAAUUGUUGGAGUGUAUUACGAGAAUCCGGAGCUUUGGUAAGGAGCCCAGUUUCCCUGGAACUUUCCCCACUAGCUCAUUGAAGUCUAACCAGAGGGAUUCAAGGUUAACGCAAUGCGAUAUGUUGUCAGGAAUUUGACCUCCGAAUGUAUUGUUGUCCAGCCUUAAAAUUCGUAACCUGAACAGAUAUCCAAUCGCUUGAGGGAUUUCGUUGCGGAGGCUAUUGUUUUUUAGAUCUAACACUCUGAGAAAACUCAAAUUACCAAUGUGAGGCGAAAGAGACCCCUGCAAGAGUAAAGAUGGAAGACGUAAUCCAGUCACCCUUUGGUGCCGUCGACUGCAAGUGACACCUUUCCAUUGACAAAAGUGCCUGGAAUAGUUCCAUGAACUCAAAACCUCAAGAGGGUCAUGAGUAACUUUGGCCUUGAAUUCAAGCAAUGCAAGUUGAUCAGUUUCAUUGCUUUUGAGCAUAUAAUCGGUUGACUGCAAGCUGAAGCUGACGCAACAGAAAAUAAAGAAACAAAUGCUUACAAUGAUUGAACUCAUCAUGUUUACAAAAUCCAUUUAACUGCCGAAAGGAAAUUAAAAUGAUAAAACUUUUAUAGAGGUUGGUAAGAUAAACUAUGUUUGUAUAUUUUUUGCAAUGAUUUAUGGACUCUGUACUUGAUGCUCAAAUGUGAACCGGCUGGCACCGUGACAGUGAAACUAAUGCUUUUUAUUUUUCUAAUAAUAUUAAUUAUCAAAUUUAUUACUAUUGUAAGAAUAAUAUAAUACAGCUUUUCCUUUAAGGAAGACCCGCCACACUAACUUUUGACGCUCUAUCAGUUUCCAGUAUUUUGUCAUUUUGUAUUGUAGUGCUUAAUCCACAAUGAAUAUAAAACAAUUUAAUCAACAUUAUUAGAAAAAGAAAAAAAGUAGGAGAAGAAAGUUAAGUAUGAUGGAUGGAGGGUCAGAUUACUGUUAAAUGACUUAAAGGUUUAAAGCACCACAGGAAUCAACGUUUCACAACGCUUUUUUCCCUUUCUGAAAUAUUCGGUGCAUUAGUUGACUAGAAUUAUAAUAUAUCAAACAACUACAAGAAAUAUUUUAAUUUAUCAUUUUACUAUUAUAUAUUUACAUAACUUAUCAUUUUACUAUAUUUCCGUAGUACCAUUAGUUGACUAGAAAAAUGUUAAUUUUACUUUUGAAAAAAAACACAAAUGGAUAUAUUAAAUAUUUUUAGCUACUUUUUAUUUUGAAUUUAUAAUGUUGUAAUACUUUGUGUUAUUAUUACUUUUUAUUUUGCAAAAACAAAUUAUAUAAAGAGAAAAAUUAAUAUUUUAUCAAUUAACUAAUUGAUCUAUAUUAAUUGAAAUAUAAUAAAUUAAUAUUUUAUCAAUUAACUAAUUGAUCUAUAUUAAUUGAAAUAUAAUAAAAUAAUAUUUUAUUUUUAAAUAUAAUAAAAUAAUUUUCCCAUGAAAGAAAAUGAUGAGUUGUUUCAACGUAAUGCAGCUGCCUAGACUACAUGGAAUUUCACCAGGCAAUGACAAUUUAUUCUCAGAUAAAUCUAACGCCACAACAUUUAUCUAGUCACCCAAAUUUGCAGGCGUUCGUUUUGAGACUUGUCAAAACUUUUUCCAAAAAUUCGGGAUUCAGGUCAUAUCAGGCCGGUUAUGUUUUGAAAAACUUGUAAAUUAUCAGUGAUCAAACUUCAAAACUUUGCAAAUAGGUCAAAAUACGGAAAAAAACUUGAUAUAUUAUUGAAUACUCAUUUUGUUUUGCAUUAAUAUAACGCUAUGGGUGAUAUCUAGUUCUGUUGGUAAAAUUUCUUGGGUUGAAAACAAGAAAACUAGCAUUUCAAACUCACUCAUAUGGAUGGGAAAGAAAUUUAGUUAUUAUUGGAUUAAAAAAUAAUAAUGAGAAUUAGAAAAAAAUUAUAAGGCUUCAACGAGAUUUGCUAAUCAUGUAUAGAUUAAUAUGGAGAUUAAGAACAUCACCUAAGCUAAUUAUUGAACUUGAAAGUUUAGGAGAAAAAAUUAUAUGGGUUUGGCCAUCAAUUUAGCAUUCGGAACUUAUUGUUUAGGAAGCUACGGCGGGUUUCGUAGUGGGACUUAUCCUCUUUAAUGCAUAUGGUGAUUUUAAACCAACAUAUAUAUAAUCCUAUUAUAAAACUCAUCAAACCUUCUAAAAUAACAUGUUGAGAUAGUGUGCUAGAUCCAUAUAAAUAUUUCUCCAACUUCUUAGCUUGAAGCGAUAUUCAUUUCCAUUGAUAGUUUAAUGGGCAAAGCCUUUUGAAUUCUCCAUGUUAUCAAGUUAACUUUUGCUGGAAAAUGCAAUGCGGAUAUGAAUAGAAUUUUUUGUGCAAACAAUUUUUCUAUGUUGACACAUCCUCUGGAACUUUCAGUAAAUUUUAUGGAGAAGCUUCAAUUUCUUGGUUGUUGAUUUCGAAUACAUUAAGCUCUUAUUUGGUAUUAAAGUAUUGUGGGCUAAAAGCUAUAGUUUUUAUGGAAAGAAAUUUGUAAUUGCGAAAUAAAAGUUGAUUCAGUGUGAUAAAUAUAAUUUCAGAAUAAAAAAUAAAGUAAACUUCGAAAUUAUAAUAGUAAGUAUUUAUUAAAUACUUUAGUGUUGCAGUAACUGUUUACUACAAUAUCAAAUAGGGGGCUAGUACAACAAGUUGUUAUAUUAAAAGUCUCCCAAAAAGGAAGAAGUGACUUAAAAAAUUAAAAGAAUGCAGGAGCUGAAGUUGGCAAUUUUGUAAAUUGCAAUGGCGAUUGUGAUAUAGUAAAAUCCUUCAAUGAAUCACAGCACUAGCGAUUUCGUAAUAUACAGUAGCGGCAAUUUUGUAAAAUUGAAGUAGUGAUAGUUUUGCAAAUAAAAGUAAAAACUUUUUCCCAAAAUUUGGCUGAGCAAAAAGCCAGCUUAGCCCACACUCUCCUUCGCCACUGGUUGAUGAGCUCUUCCUUCAAUUUUUGAACUUGAAGUGAUGCCCCAUCAACGUCCAGAAUUUUUAAAGUCUCCCCACUGUACAAGUUAAACAAUAAAGUCAGAAUGAUGACGGAGUUACAAACAAUCAAAUAUGAUCCUAAUGAUUCUUUUUAUACACUCACCCGUGCAUUGAUGUGUUUAAUUGAUAUAUAUUUAAGCAGAAAUUGAAGUUUGAACCUGAUUAAUUAGAUGCGAACACACAUUCAUGAGUAAUUACUUAAAAUUAAUUAACCAAAAGAGUAAAUAUAGGAGGAAAUCGAUCAUAUGCGUGCGGACACCACAAUCGAAUUAUAUAUUUAUAUCACCACAGCACAUAAAUUUUAUUCGAAUGAUAUAUGAUUAAUUAAUCAAUUUUUAAUAACAAUUAAAUUAUAAUGUCAAUUGUGCACAUAAGAUUUUUUUUCUUGAUGAAAUUAUGAAAGUUAGUAAUUAUUUUCCAUUUUUUAAAUAAUAGUUGUUAAUACAAAUCAAAAAAAUAUUGGGACUUGAGAUCAGGGUCUACUUGAGUUAGAAUUUUUUAUUAGAGAAGCUAUUAGCCAGCAAUACAAAAUAAAGAAGCAACACAAGAUAAAGAGUAAUAUAUUAUAGAAAGAUUUUAUUCGUUUCAAGUGUGUAUCAAACAAAGAGAUAUUUAUAGUUACAUAAUUACUACAUGAAAUUAAUGAAAACAUUAUGGAUCAUACUUCCUUGCGAGAUAGUGAAAGUUAUAGAGAAGGCAAAGGUUGCUAGUGGAAGAUAGUAGAGAGAUUAAGAGAUGUAUGUUAUAAACAUCCAGAUUUAUUUUAAUAAAUUCAUAGCAUUUUUUCCCCUCAAAUAAUAGGGUGUAGAGAACAAUUGGAAGGAGUUUACGCAGCCUAUAAAUUAAUACUCUGACGAAUUAAUAUCCUCUAUUAUAUAAUGACUUUUUUUAAGCACACUAAUAGGCUAAAAUGACAGUUCCAAUAAAUAAAUAAAAUAAUAUAUUUUUUUUGAAAACCCUUACAUAAUAUUGUGGUCCUACUCAUAUCAUAAAUUAAUAAUUUUUAAAUUAUAUAUAAUUAUUACACAUAAAUUAUAUAUUUUUUAAUAAAUUCAUAAUAUUUUUUCUCAAAUAAUAGGGUGUAGAGAACAAUUAGAAGGAGUUUACAAGACUCGCCUAUAAAUUAAUACUCUGGCGAAUUAAAAUCCUCUAUUAUAUAAUAAUUUUUUUUAAGGUUGCUAGUAGGCUAAAAUGAUAGUUCCAAUAAAUAAAUAAGAUUAUAUUUUUUUUUAAUGAAAACCCUUACAUUACAUUAUGGUCCUACUCAUAUAAUAAAUUAAUAAUUUUUAAAAUUACAUAUAUAAUAUUUUAUUUUAAAAAUAUGAUUUUAUUUUUUAUUAUUUUUUCUUGAAAUUUAAAUAUAGUUAGAUUUCAUCUCUAAUUUUUCUUAUUACUUUUGAGGUUAAAUUUUGAAAUUGCAAAAAUUUUGAAUUUUUUUGGUUAAUUAAAUCUGCAGUGAGUGUAUAAGAUGAUUAGAUUAGUAAAAUAUAAUAAAUUUUUAGUUGAUUAAAUAUAUGUUCAUUUAAUAUGUCUUGUGUAUACAGAGUUUACUAAGGACAAGCCGAAUAGUAAGUGAGCAUUUACACUAAUCAAUCGUGUUGAGUUGUGUCUCAUAUUGGCUAGUAAAGGGGAGAUACUUGGGUUUAUAAGAAGGUAUGUCACUCCACCUAAAAGACUAGUAUUUUGGGUUGGAUACCUAGAAAUCUUAUGUUAAGUCCCCUCAACAAAUCGGUAUUGUGCAAUGAAAAUAAGUAAUCUAAAAAUUGCCUAGGAUUUUGCCUUAUAUGUCUCAAAAUAAGCUAAUUAUGCCCAAUUAUGGCACUUGAUGGUUCAACUUUGACAUCAAAGUUGGAAACGUUUUUCUCUAGGGUGAGGCUAUUUGCACUUGAAUAUCUACUUUGAACACUCAUUUACUCAGCGCACUCAAUUAAUAAUUUCAAACUAUUAAAUUUUACUUGGAACACUCUUUUGAAUUCCUAUAUUAUCCACAUUUCUUUAAUUACUUUAUUUCUUCUUUGUACCCAAUAAAAUAUUCAUCAUCACAAACAAAAUAUCUAACUUUUUUUUUCCAUUUUUAUUCACUUUUAUUUUCUGUUCAUAAUCUGUUUUGAUAUGUAUUUGUUCUUCUCUUAUUGCUACAAUUUAAUUCUGUUUGUCAACCCAUAAAAGCAUGCGAAUUGAGUGAAAAUCAAAGUGCAAAUUUAAAACAAAAUCCUUUGAUUUACUUGCGUUUUCUUAUGUUGGAGUGGUGCAAUUUGUUGUUUGUCCUCCACCUCUAUUUUUAAUUCCUUUUGUUUCAGUUAUAAAGAUGAUCAUGAACAUGUUACUUGAUGUUUUCCUAGCAAUUCUAUUAACCAAAAAAAUGAAAAAAAAAAGUUUAGUCCAUAAGUAUAGACAAUGUUUUCAUUUGAAUAUUGAUUCAAUUCUUCGUUGUUAAUGUGGUUUAUUGUAGAUAAAAUAUAAUGUUAGAUAAAAAUUUGUUAUACUGUAUUUUAUAAUUGUCCUUAAUAGAAAAUUACAUUAAGGUUAAUUUAGUAAUAUAAAAAUUAUUAAAUGUGAGUGUCCAAAGUAAAUUUUAGAGUGCAUAUAGUCUCACCCUUUUCUUUGUGUUAUUAUAAUUAAUUUAGAAAGAGUUAGAAAGCUAAGAGUAUCCUUAGUAAAGCUCAAAUAUGUAAUACAUAUCACUAGUGAGUGAGUUUCAUAAACUUUCCUAAUUAAGUAGAUGAAUUUUGGGUUGUAAAUCCUAACACAAUAUCUAUUCAGUUGUUGAGCCUAAAAUAUCACAACUAAAUCGAUAUUGUCCGAUGUAGUCAUGCAACCCUACAUCUUCUUAGUUAGGACAAUUCAUGAAACCACUUAUUUGGGAUGUAGGAGAUGAUACAAAAUUUGUAUGUGCACGUUGGCUUAAUAUCCCAAUUACACACUCGUUUGUCUUCAUGUGCUCCGAAAAGAUCUAUUGUAAUGGAUAUAUUGUAUCUUUAUCAAAGUGCUUGUUAUAAUGAUUCUAUUGUGGUGUUAUUCGAGUUGUCACUUUUAGUUUUUGAUUAUCUUUUUUAAACAUAGUUAAUUUGAAAUGUUCUUUAAUAUCCAACACACUUGAGAUCAUCAAAUAAGUGAUUCCCGAACAUAAUUGCCUCUGAUCAUUUUGUUUGUGCCAAUAAAGGGUUGAUACAAACCAAAGACUUCUUGUCUUUAUUGUCAUUUGAGAGUAAUCAAUUACUUACGCAGUCACAUAAGUUACUGGUUGGCCUCGCACAUUUGAGAGUAACCAAAUGGAAAUGAGAGCAACGUGAUUUUCCAAAGAGAACUUCACACUAUCAUAAAACUGAAAACAUUACAAUUUAAAGCUUAAAUAACAACACACCAAAGCCAAAUAACGACCCACUAGAAUCAUGGUCCAAAGAUUGUUCCAUGAUCACAACAUGAACUACAAAAAAAAAAAAAAAAAAAAAACCAACACCAAAAAAGUAGGAACAAUUUGAAACUUUCGACUAAGCAACAUUUAUGAUCACAUCAGCAGUCCUAAACACAUCUUCUAACAAUUGCAACUGUUCAUUUUUGCUUCUGCCAAUAAACAGUUGAUAGUAACCAAAGAUUGUUGUCUUUAUUGUCAUUUAAGAGUAACCAAUUACUUACGCAGUCACGUUAGUUGCUGGUUGGCCUCGCACAUUUUUGACAAGUUUGUUUCUGAAGGAAAGCAGCUGAGCCGCAACCUCUUCCAUGCUCAUUCGUUCUCUCGGCAACUCUGAAGAGCAAGUGACUCCGAUUCCCAGUACUGAAACCAAGCACUCUUCAACACUAAAAUUUCUGGUCCAUUGUUUGUGAGCACUGGUCUCGCUUGUCUCCCCUUCUUCUCUUUCUACAAGAAGCACUGGAUCAACAAUUUCAGCGAGCCUUUCAGGAAGAGCUUCCUUGACAAAAUUAUGCAGGGUUAGAUUGCCUGUAAACAUCUCAUUCGUCGGCCUCUUUCCUGUAAACGUUUCCAGCAAGAGUAUGCCAAAACUGUACACAUCUCCACUUUUUGAGACCUCACUCCCCAUUCCGUACUCUGCAAUUUGAAAAUUAAAACUGUUGGUUCAACUAGUAAAAUCUCUAAGGAAUGCAAAAGAAGUUAAUUAAAUUAUAGUAUUUGCCUGGAGCAGCAUAACCAACGGUUCCUUUAACUCCAGUAGAGCUUGAUUGAUUAGAUGACAAGUUAUUGGUGGCGUCCGGAAGGAAUUUCGCUAAUCCAAAAUCACUUACAUGGGCAGUCAAUUCACCAUCCAGAAGAACAUUGCUCGGCUUGAGAUCACAAUGGACUAUUGGAUUUUCGCAGUAGUGAUGAAGAUAAUCCAAUGCGGAAGCCACAUCAACGGCAAUAUUCAGUCUUUGGAGGAGAUUUAAAUUCCUUGGUGCCUCAGGGUUUGGAUGCAACCAUUCCUCCAGGCUCCCGUUCACCAUGAACUCAUAAACUAAGGCCUCGAAAUCAUUUCCUUGAAAGUCAACACUUGCACACGAAGUUAUUAUUUUGACGAGAUUCCGAUGCCUAAUACUUCUAAAGGCUUGACACUCCGCUAUGAAACUCUUUGAAGCUCCUCGAUGUUGAAGAUUAAGCACCUUAACUGCCACCAGCGUUUCAUGAUCAUCAUCAUUGAGGAUUCCUUGAUAGACCGAACCAAAGCUACCGGCACCAAUCAAGUUUUCCAAAGAGAACCCAUCAGUUGCUUUGAACAGAUUCUGAUAGGACACUCGUAAAACCGAAGCCAAUACUGCUGAUGGAGGAGGGGCCGGCUCCCUUUUUGAUUUGCUCCGCCGGGAAGUAAUUAUCAAACACGACAUCCCUGUCACUAACAAAAUUACUGCAACUACAGGAAUAAUCAGUUUCAGGGAACGGGCACGUGAUUGCUUUGAUUCUUUGAUGGAACAAGUAGAUAAAUGCAACUCAGAUAUGCCACCACAGAGGUUAUCAUUUCCAUCAAGAGAUAUAGCACUUGAAUUGCUGAAGACUCCUUUUAUUGGUACUUCACCCUCAAAAUGAUUAGAAGACAGAUUUAAAUUCUGCAAAAAGAAAAAGUUUUCAAAAUAUUUUGGAAUCCGGCCAGACAAAUUGUUCCGCGAAAGAUCAAGGUUCUGAAUGCCUCUCAAAGAACUGAAUGAUGAAGGGAUAUUCCCUUGAAAGAAAUUACCAUUCAUGACGAGUUGUUCCAACCUAACGCAACUUCCUAGACUGUUUGGAAUUUCACCAGACAAUUUGUUCUCAGAUACAUCUAGAACACCCAGAUUUUUCAAGAUGCCAAAAUUUGAGGGCAAAGGACCGUUCAAUUGGUUUUGAGAUAGAUCAAGAUAGAUUGAUAAGGAAGAGAGACCAAUCACUUCAGUGGGUAUGGUACCAGUGAGGUUGUUAUUAGAGAGAUCUAAUAAUAUCAAGUUUUUGCAUUUCCCUAGACUUGAUGGAAUGCUUCCCUCUAACAUGUUUCCGUCAAAACUUAGUGUGAAUAACAAUGUCAAAUUUCCUACAGAAGAUGGAAUUUCCCCCAAAAACUUGUUCCCCUUCAGUCUCAACCUCUGCAGCUUUUGAAGAUCUCCUAUACUUCCCAGAAUUCGGCCUGUGAAUUGGUUGUCCCCAAGAUCUAAAAGCUCCAAGUUAACAAGAUUUCCUAAUCCACUUGGGAUAUUUCCGAACAAUUGAUUGUUUCCAACGGUAAAUCUUUUAAGUCGGGUUGACAAGUUCCCCACAGAUUCAGGUAACAUUCCUCCAAAAUUGUUAAUACUAAUUUCCAUCAUCUCUAGUCUAGAAGCGUUGACCAAAGAACUGACAAAUUCCAAGUCAUCUUUUUCCCCAUUUCCUAAGUGAUUCAGAGAAAAGCUAACCCGUUGGAGUUUAUAUAAAUUUUCCAAACUCGGCACCUUUCCACUGAAUCCAUUUUUCUGGAUUGUAAGUCUCAUUAGAUUUGAGGCAUUGGAUAUUGAAGCAGGAAUAGGCCCAGUAAACUGAUUAUUACCAAAGUUUAGUACUUCAAGAUUAGGAAGAGUGAAGCCUAAGUCUGAUGGAAGGCUUCCUUGAAGUUCAUUAACAGGAAAAUCCAAAAGACUAAGCGAAGACAAGUUGUAGAUUGAGAAAGGGAUUUCACCUGAUAGCUUAUUUGCUCCGAAUCCUAUUGAACGCAUCCUCUUAAGCUCGCUCAAGGUUUCAGGAAUUUGUCCCACAAACUGAUUUACAGCUGCUGAAAGGAACUCGAGUGAUGACAAAUUGCCAAAGGAAGAUGGGAUUUCUCCUGACAAAUUGUUGAAGUGUACUGCUAGAGUCCGGAGCUUUGAUAAGGAGCCUAGUUUCCCUGGAACUUUCCCCACAAGCUCAUUGAAGCCUAACCAGAGGGAUUCAAGAUUAACGCAAUGUGAUAGGUUGUCAGGAAUUUGACCUCUGAAUGUAUUUUUCUCCAGGCUUAAUUUUUGUAACCUGAACAGAUAUCCAAUCUCUUGAGGGAUUUCGUUGCGGAAGCUAUUGUUUUUGAGAUCUAACACUCUGAGAAAACUUAAAUUACCAAUGUGAGGCGACAGAGACCCCUGUAAGAGUAAAGAUGGAAGAAGUAAUGCAGUCACCCUUUGGUGCCGUCGACUGCAAGUGACACCUUUCCAUUGACAAAAGUGCCUGGAAUAGUUCCAUGAACUCAAAACCUCAAGAGGGUCAUGAGUAACUUUGGCCUUGAAUUCAAGCAAUGCAAGUUGAUCAGUUUCAUUGCUUUUGAGCAUAUAAUCGGUUGACUGCAAGCUGAAGCUGAAGCAACAGAAAAUAAAGAAACAAAUGCUUACAAUGAUUGAACUCAUCAUGUUUACAAAAUCCAUUUAACUGCCGAAGGAAAUUAAAAUGAUAAAACUUUUGUGGAGGUUGGUAAGAUAAACUAUGUUUGUAUAUUUUUUGCAAUGAUUUAUGGACUCUGUACUUGAUGCUCAAAUGUGAACCGGCUGGCACCGUGACAGUGAAACUAAUACUUUUUGUUUUUCUAAUAAUAUUAAUUAUCAUAUUUAUUACUAUUGUAAGAAUAAUAUAUUGCAGCUUUAAAGAAAGACUCACCAUACUCCUUUUCGAGUCCUGUCAGUUUCCAGCAUUUGGUCAUUUUUUUAUUUCACCGCUUAAUCCACAGUAAAUAUAAAACAAUUUAAUCAACAAUAUUGAAAAAGAAAAAAAGUAGGACAAGAGAAAGGUAAAUACUGUUAAAUGAGUUGGGAAACGUUCAAAGCACGACGGGAAUUAAAAUUAUAAACUUUUAUAAAGGUUGGUAAGAAAAAACAUAUUUGUAUAUAUUUUUUUCAAUGAUUUAUGGACGCUAUACUUGAUGCUGAAAUGUGAACCGGCUGGCACCGGGACAGUGAAACUAAUGCUUUUUAUUUUUCUAAUAAUAUUAAUUAUCAUAUUUAUUACUAUUGUAAGAAUAAUAUAAUACAGCUUUUCCUUUAAGGAAGACCCGCCACACUAACUUUUGACGCUCUAUAAGUUUCCAGUAUUUUGUCAUUUUGUAUUGUAGUGCUUAAUCCACAAUGAAUAUAAAAGUUUAAAGCACCACAGGAUGAUGGAUGGAGUUUCACAUUACUGUUAAAUGACUUUGAAAGGUUUAAAGCACCACAGGAACCAACGUUUCACAAUGCCUUUUUCCCUUGUGAAAUAUUCAGUGCAGUCUCUCCCAGAUUUUGCUAGUGCAACAACGAGACGUCAUGCCGUUAACAAUUUUAAACUGUAAAUGACAUGUUGUUUUUACAAGACAUAUUAUGCGUCGAUACAUACCUUUUCUGGUUGUUGGUUUAUAAAAAUAUAUGAAACGGCAUGAGUGUGACAACUCUUGUAAAAUUUUUAAAAACAACAUAAUCAAUGGUAUUCUUAUCUCCCAGCUGCCGUUUGCCGUUUGGAAUUGUUCUGUAUAAGAUCUUGAUCAUCGAAUUUACCACUAGGGCGUAUGCUUUAUUUUCUCGAAUUACAUUGCUGCCUCAUCUUUUGUGUUUUCGGUUCUGUUGUGGAUCUCCUCUGUUUUUUUCUGAUUUUGGGCCCGAAGGGCACGUUAAUUGAAAUCAACAAAUCUGGUAAAAAUGACGUUAAAUUCGAUCAGAUUUACAUAUUUAAUUACAAAUGCAGUAACCCCGAUCAGAUGCAUACACUAAUUUUAUUUAUUUUGUCAGCUUUAACCUCACUGUCAUUUUGAAUAGCCUACAAGAGUCGAAUGACUAGAUUUCCAAUUUGCUAUCAUCCCCCUUGAAUGGGUUCAAGAAAUUCAGCAGGUUGCGAAACAAUAAGAUUCAUUCAAUCCGUGUAGAUAUCUAACUGACUGAAAUUAAAUAAAUGAUGAUGAUAAGAAAUUUGAAAUCAACAAAUCUCGGCACAUCUAUUCUGCAAUUUAGCCGUACUUCAAAUAAUCUUGCGAUAAAAAUUUCUUAAAAAUCUCAGAAAGAGGACAGAACAACCAAGGCAUCAGCGAAAGCAAUCGAUGUUAGGAAAUUGGUGGGUGCAGCAGUACCGCAACUAAAAUAAAAUUGGAAAUAAAAUAAAGAACAAGCACAAUAGAGGACACCAAAAAUUACGUGGUUCGGCUUUUAGCCUACAUCUACGGGCGAAGACAGAAGGAAAUAUUUUACUAGUGAAAUAAGGAUUACAAGUAUUGUAAGAUUUUAGCUCACUACCCAAAACCCCAAUACACCCAAUCUCUCACUCACUACACAUGCAAGAGUUUAUUAAACUCUUGAAAACUCUCAACACUCAAAGAAAGAAAAAUUUCUCUCAAUGGAAUUGAAUACAAAAUGAAAUGAGGAGCUCUGCCUUUUAUAGCCAAAAAAUGGCUAUUAAAUUAUUAUUUUUACCACCGUCUUCAUUCUGCUAUUUUCUUCUUUCUUCUUUUUUCUUCAUUCCAAAUUUGCUGCUGCCAAAUUCUUCAACAUUUUCUUUGGCCGGCUGUCAAAGCCAACUUUGCUUAUUCAAGGGUUCUAGAUGCAGUAGCUUCUAGAUGCAGCCAAAUUUGACAUUCUCCCACUUGGAGAUUAGAUUGAGAAUCAAUCAAUCUCCACAUCAUCCUUUCUGUUUCGCCAUAAUCAUGUUGCCUACGUUGCUGCUAGGCCACAAGAGGAUCUACUCCAGAUAAACUUGUCAGCAUUUAUUGGCUUGGUCAAAACAUCUGCUAGGUUCUCCUUCGUAUGGAUUUUCUGCAAAUCCACACUUCCAUCUUCCACUACUUCUCGAACGAAGUGAUACUGAACUCCUAUGUGCUUUGUCCUGGAAUGAAAGGCUAGAUUCCUUGCAAUGUGCAAGGCACUCUGACUGUCACAAAACACAAGAAUUUUCUGUUGUUUGUGCCCGAGCUCCUCCAAUAAUCUUUGUAUCCAAAUAGCUUCCUUGCAAGCUUGUGUAGCUGCCAUGUAUUCUGCUUCUGUUGUAGAUAAUGCCACAACGGUCUGCAGUUUCAAAACCCAGCUUACAGCUGCUCCCGCAAGUGCAAACACAUAACCAGUAGUGGAUUUCCUUUUAUCAAGGUCUCCUGCAAAAUCUGAAUACACAUAGCCCCUGACAGUAAACUCUGAUCCUCCAUAACAUAAUGCAACAUCUGAGGUUCCUCUGAUGUAUCUCAGAAUCAUCUUCACAGCUAUCCAAUGCUCUCCGCCAGGAUUCGCCAUGUAUCGACUGACUGCUCCCACUGCUUGUGCAAUGUCCGGUCUUGUACAUAUCAUAGCGAACAUUAAACUUCCCACUGCUGAUGCAUACGGUACUCGAGACAUCUCCUUCCUCUCUGCUUCAUUGCUAGGACACAUACUUGAGGAUAAUUUGAAAUUAACAGGAAAUGGGGUAGAAAUUGACUUACAAUCUUGCAUGUUGAAGCGCCGCAAGAUUUUCUUCAAGUAAUUCUUCUGUGAUAGCCAAAUCUUCCUGUUAUUUUUGUCUCGGUGAAUUUGCAUCCCUAGAAUCUUGUUUGCUGGUCCCAAGUCCUUCAUUUCAAACUCCCUAGCCAACUGUGCCUUCAAUUCUUGGAUUCGAUCUUUGUUGGGACCUGCUACCAACAUGUCAUCUACAUACAACAGCAAAAUGAUGAAAUCAUUAUCUUCAAACCUCUUGUAAUAUGCACAAUGGUCUGAACUGAGUCUGUUGUAUCCAAGGCUCAUGAUGAAGGAAUCAAAUCUCUUAUACCAACACCUCGGCGCCUGUUUGAGACCGUAUAGAGAUUUGUUCAACUUGCAAACCAAGUUCUCCUUUCCUGUUUCUGCAAAACCUUCUGGUUGGAGCAUAUAUAUUUCUUCUUCAAGUUCUCCAUGAAGAAAUGCAGUUUUCACAUCUAACUGCUCUAGAUGUAGGUCAAAUGUAGCACACAUUGCCAAGACUAUUCUGACUGUUGUGAGUCGAACCACGGGCGAAAAUAUCUCGUUGAAGUCAAUGCCUUCUUUCUGAGCAUAUCAUUUCACCACCAAUCUUGCACGAUACCGCUCCACUUGGUCAUUGCCAUCACGCUUGAUCUUGUAGACCCAUUUGUUUCCAAUGGCUUUUCUUCCAUGUGGUAGUGGUACAAGUUCCCAUGUCUUGUUCUUGUGUAGAGCUUCAAUUUCUUCCUGCAUUGCUGUCAUCCACAAAGCAACAUCUGAGCUGUUUAAAGCUUCAUGGAAAGUUGAAGGCUCUCCAUCCUCUGUUAAAAGACAGUAUGCAACGUUGAUCUCUGUGACAUACUCAGAGUGCCACACCGGCGGUCGUCUCUCACGAGUUGACCGACGAACUUCUGGAGCCUCGGACUCGACUGGUUCUUGUUCCUCGUGCUCUGGUGCUGCUUCAGAAGAAUCUGAAUCUUCUGGAUUAUUUUCUACAUAUACCGGCACAAUCUCUGACUUUUCUUUUACAGUGCCAUCAUCUCCAUCUUUCAUUUGCAGUUGAUCUUCUACAAAAAUAACAUCUCUGCUGAUGACGAUCUUGUGGGCAGUGGGGUCCCACAGACGAUACCCCUUUACUCCAUCAGCAUACCCCAAGAAGAUACAUCUUCUAGAUUUUGGAUCCAACUUUGUUCUUUCUUGGGCAUUGUACAUCACGUACACAGGACAUCCAAAUGCAUGUAGGUAGGAAUAAUCAGCUGGCUUUCCAGUCCACAUCUCCAUCGCCGUCUUCAACCCAAUCGCUGUAGAUGGUGAUCGAUUUACUAUAUAACAGGCAGUUUUGGCUGCUUCUGCCCAUAAUGAAUUGGGUAAACCAGCAGUCCUCAACAUAGCUCUUAUUCUUUCUGUAAGAGUUCUGUUCAUCCGCUCUGCCACUCCAUUUUGUUGAGGAGUGUACGCCACCGCGAACUGCCUCUGAAUACCUUCUUGCUUACAGAAAGCAAGAAACUCGCCCUCUGUAUAUUCUCCACCAUUAUCCGUCCUCAAGCACUUGAUCUUUUUACCAGAUUCAAGUUCCACACGCGCUUUGUAUUCUUUAAACACAGGAAAUACAUCUGACUUUUUCUUAAUUGGAUACACCCAACAUCUUCUAGAAUAAUCAUCAAUGAAAGUCACUAUGUACUUUGCACCUCCCAUGGAUAUAUCCGGUGAUUCCCAAACAUCAGAAUGAAUCAAGUCUAGAAUGCAUUUACUUCUAGCAAUAGAUCUACUGAAUUUUAAUCUAUGCUGCUUACUUAUAACACAAUGCUCGCAAAAUGGUCUGAAUUUUAAUCUAUGCUGCUUACUUAUAACACAAUGCUCGCAAAAUGGUAAACUUACCGAUUUGAGCCCCGGAAGCAAUUUUCGCUCAGAGAGAAUCUUCAAGCCUUGUUCUGACAUGUGACCAAGUUUGAGAUGCCACAUCAUCGUUGAUUCUUCUCCAUUUGACGCGACACACGUAUUAGCCUCCUGUAGUGUUUCUCCUCUAAGCAUGAAUAGAUUAGCACCGAUCUUUUCUGCUUUCAUCAAUACAAGCGCGCCUUUAACGAUCUUCAUAAUUCCAUUCUCCACAUGAGUUUUGUACCCAUGACUAUCCAUGUGUCCCAAAGACAAUAGAUUUUUCUUCAAGCCAUUGACAUGUCGUACCUCUCCAAUUGUGCGAAUUGUACCAUCAAACAUUUUUAUUUUGAUAGUACCAAUACCAGCGAUCUCCAAGGCAUGAUCAUCUCCCAUAUAUACAGAUCCUCCUGAGAUAGGUUCAUAUGUGUGGAACCAUUCUCUCCGAGAGGUCAUGUGCCAGGUAGCUCCUGAGUCUAUAAGCCAGACAUCAGACAAUCGUUUUCUGCCUUCUGAAACAGUUGUUGCCUCGCUGUAAAGAAUUUCGCCAUCAUCUGAGGUACUUGCUACACAACCCUGAGCAUUUGAUGACUCAGGUUCUUUUCCCUCUUUUCUCUUCUGGUUACUCCAACAUUCUUUCUUGAUGUGCCCUUUCUUGCCACAUUUGUAGCAUUUAACAUUAUUCUUACUCAUGGAUUUUGAUCUACCCUGAUUUUGACUCCCACUGGGGCCACGUUCCGUUGAUCUCCCUCUCGUCACCGAUAGCGCCUCCGCUUGCUGCGAACUUGCUUGUCUGUUUUCCUUAUUUUUCCACCUGCUCUCCUCAUUUAAUACGGAGGCUGCAACAUCGUCGAAAACUAGACUCUCCACUGGAUUGUUGUUCGUCAGGUUGAUGAUGAGUUGAUCAUACGAAUCUGGUAGACUUUGAAGUAGAAGCUCUGCACGUUCAUUUUCCUCUAUAUUAUGACCCAACAUUGUGAGUUGUGAAAAUAGAGUCUUCAAUGUGUUGAUGUGGUCGGUCACCAUUGUAGAUUCCGUCAUUCGAAGAGUAUAGAGUUUUCUCUUCAAGAAGAUUUUGUUGUGUAGUGACUUGGCCUCAUACAAUUUUGUGAGAGUAUCCCAUAUUUCCUUCGCCGUAUUUUUCUCUGCCACACUGGAUAAUACUCCAUCCGCAAGUGCCAAGUGUAGAUCAGAAAUGGCGUUGCCGUCUACCUCGUUCCACUUGUCAUCAGUUAUCUCCAUGGGCCUUUCUCCAAUUGCUGCCAAACAAUUAUUUUUCCUCAAUACAGCUUUCAUCUUCAUUUUCCACAAUGAAAAAUUAUUUCCGUUAAACUUCUCAAUUUCAUACUUUGCCGCCAUUUUGUUGAUAAAUACUGUACACAAGUUAGUGUACCACCUUGAAUAGUUGUGAGUAUGUGUGAUAAUGCACACCAGGAAAGUUCCCAGGAAAGACUGGAGGGGUCACAAUGGUCCCACUUAAAACCCAGACUCCUUAAGCUCUUAUCGCCUUUGUGACAGAACUUUCCUAGACAUGUACAAAACCACAGUUGUUUUUCUCACACUACUAUUCCCUGCUUUGCACCGGAAAAUUCUUGGAUCGCUUCCACCGUUUCACGUGAAUAGUACCGUAUACGUGAACAAUACCAUAUAUGUGAACAAACCCGUAUACGUGAACAACACAGUAUACGUGAAUAGUGUCGUAUACGUGUACAGUGCCGUAUACGUGAAUAGUACCCCUUACGUGAACAGUUCCCGACUCCAAAAAUACAACCAAUAGCUCUGAUACCACUGUUAGGAAAUUGGUGGGUGCAGCAGGACCGCAACUAAAAUAAAAUUGGAAAUAAAAUAAAGAACAAGCACAAUAGAGGACACCGAAAAUUACGUGGUUCGGCUUUUAGCCUACAUCCAUGGGCGAAGACAGAAGGAAAUAUUUUACUAGUGAAAUAAGGAUUACAAGUAUUGUAAGAUUUUAGCUCACUACCCAAAACCCCAAUACACCCAAUCUCUCACUCACUAGACAUGCAAGAGUUUAUUAAACUCUUGAAAACUCUCAACACUCAAAGAAAGAAAGAUUUCUCUCGAUGGAAUUGAAUACAAAAUGAAAUGAGGAGCUCUGCCUUUUAUAGCCAAAAAAUGGCUAUUAAAUUAUUAUUUUUACCACCGUCUUCAUUCUUCUAUUUUCUUCUUUCUUCUUUUUUCUUCAUUCCAAAUUUGCUGCUGCCAAAUUCUUCAACAUUUUCUUUGGCCGGCUGUCAAAGCCAACUUUGCUUAUUCAAGGGUUCUAGAUGCAGUAGCUUCUAGAUGCAGCCAAAUUUGACAAUCGAGGCAGGGCACGCUCAAGCCACGAAUUAGAGGAAUUUUAAAUAUCAAAACCAGCUCAGAAUAAUAAGAAGUAAAAUGAAACUAAAAAAGGCUCAGAUUUUUGGAUGAGUGAAGGGAAGAUGAGAAGAUGAAAUGCAGAAAGUCAAGAAAUGAAUAAACCAAUAUUAAUAAUCUUGGACCCACAUCUCUAAUUUGGAUUAAGCAUCCAUCUGCCUAUGUGGAUAAUAUUUUUGCUAAUUUUUCAGCCAUGCAGCAGGAUCAUGUUCGUCUUGUUUUAUUUGAUAGAAGGAAUUUUCCCUUGGAAGAAAAUGAUGAGUCGUUUCAACGUAAUGCAGCUACCUAGACUGCAUGGAAUUUCACCAGACAAUGACAAUUUAUUCUCAGAUAUAUCUAAAUCUAACGCCCCCACAUUUGUUUAGUCACCCAAAUUUGAAGGCGUCCGUUUUGAGACUGAUCAAAACUUUUUCCAAAAAUUCGGGAUUCAGGUCGAUCAGGCCGGUUAUGUUUUGAAAACUUGUAAAUUUUCAGUGAUCAAACUUCAAAACUUUGCAAAUAGGUCAAAAUAUGAAAAAUUCUUGAUAUAUUAUUGAAUACUCAUUUUGUUUUGCAUUAAUAUAAGGCUAUGGGUGCUAUCUAGUAAUGUUGGUAAAAUUUCUUGAGUUGAAAACAAUAAAACGAAAAUAGCUCUAAUAGAUCCACCCCUGUUUGAAACUCACUCAUAUGGAUGGGAAAGAAAUUUAGUUACCAUUGGAUUAAAAAAUAAUUAUUAUUAUUAGAAAAAAAAUUGUAAGGCUUCGACAAGAUUUGCUAAUCAUGUAUAGGUUAAAAUUUAUGUGGGUUUGGCCACCAAUUUAGCAUUAGGAACUUAUUGUUUAGGAAGCUAUGGUGGGUGUCGUAGUGGGACUUAUUCUCUUUAAUGCAUAUGGUGAUUUUAAACCAACAUUUAUAUAAUCCCAUUAUAAAACUCAUCAAACCUUCUAAAAUAACAUGUUGAGAUAGUGUGCUAGAAGUAUUUCUCCAACUUCUUAGCUUGAAGCGAUGUUCAUUUCCAUUGAUAGUUUAAUGGGCAAAGCCUUUUGAAUUCUCCAUGUUAUCAAGUUAAUUUUUGCUGGAAAAUGCAAUCCGGAUAUGAAUAGAAUUUUUUGUGCAAUCGAAUUUUCUAUGUUGACACAUCUUCUGGAACAUUCAAUAAAUUUUAUGGAGAAGUUUUAAUUUCUUAGUUGUUGAUUUCGAAUAUAUUAAGCUCUUAUUCAGUAUUAAAGUAUUGUGGCCUAAAAGAUAUAGUUCGUAUGGAAAGAAAUUUGUAAUUACAAAAUAAAAAUUGAUAAAGUGUGAUAAAUAUAAUUUCAAAAUAAAAAAUAAACUUAACUUCAAAAUUACAAUAGUAAUUAUAAAGUAUUUACUAAAUACAUUAGUGUUGCAGUAACUGCCCUACCACAAUGACAAAUAGGGGGCUAAUACUACAAAUUGUUCCAUUAAAAGUCACCCAAAAAGGAAGAAGUGACUUAAAAAAUUAAAAGAAUGCAGGAGCUGAAGUUGGCUAUUUUGUAAAUUGCAAUGGCAAUUGUGGCCUAGUAAAAUCCCUCAAUGAGUCACAGCACUAGCAAUUUCGUAAUAUACAUUAGUGGCAAUUUUGUAAAAUUGAAGUAAUGAUAGUUUUGCAAAUAAAAGUAAAAACUUUUUCCCUAAAUUCGGCUGAGCUAAAAACCAGCUUAGCCCACAGUCUCCUUCGCCACCGGUUGACGAGCUCUUCCUUCAAUUUUUGAACUUGAAGUGAUGCCCCAUCGAUGUCCAGAAUUUUUAAAGUCUCCCCAUUGUACAAGUUAAACAAUAAAGUCAGAAUGAUGAUCCUAAUGAUUCUUUUUAGAGAGUCACCUGUACGUUGAAGUGUUUAAUUGAUGUUUAUUUAAGCAGAAAUUGAAGUUUGAUCCUGAUUAAUUAGAUGAGAACACACAUUCAUGAGUAAAUACUUAAAAUUAAAUUAAUCAAAAUAGUAUAAAUACAGGAGAAAAUCGAUCAUAUGCGUACAGAAAUCACAAUCGAAUUAUAUAUAUCACCGCCGCACAGAAAUAACAAUUAAAUUGUAAUGUCAAUUGUCCACAUAAGAUUUUUUUUUUUUUUUUUUUUUUUUUUGUUGAUGAAAGUUAGUAAUUUUUUUCCAUCUUUUUAAAUAAUAGUUGUUAAUAAAUAUCAAGAAAAUAUUGGGACUGGAGAUCAGGGUCUACUUAAGUUAGAAGUGAGAGUAGUGCAGAUAUGUGGGGAUUAUAUGCAAGGUGGCUUAAAAGUAAAGGAGAUCUUACAAUGUGCUCUGAAGCCCUCUUAAAGCAAGUCAGAUCAUAUCAGGUUUCUCCAUAAAUCUCAUCAUCUUAUAAUAAGUUAGCAUUAUGUUUUACUUUGAUGUUGAUGGAAUUUGUUAAUGCUAAUCAAAUUUUGUUAAUCUCCCUCUCUUUUUUUUUUAAUUUAAAAGAAGGCAAAUAAAAAGCUUUGUGAUUUCAUUUUUGUUUUCUAAAUUUGUUAUCUAAAGGAAUGACAAGUUGAUAACUCAGCCUCUGUGUGUGUGUGUCUGUGUCAGGGAUCUGAUUUGUGGAAAGAUAGAGAUCGGUUUAAAAGGUUUUCAUAUGCAUCCUUGGAACUUUGUAAGGUUUACAUGGAAAUUUCUUCCUCUUCCGGUAGCCGUCGAGAGCUCUUUGCUGCUGAGAUGCACCUGAAGAACGUACUUAAACAAGUAAAACACCUUAUAAUUCGAUAUUUAAGACACUUACAGUUGGUUUAAAGAUUGUAUUUUCUGUUUCUGUUUUUGACUGGUUCAGGGUAAAACUUUUUCUCACUGUGUUAGAGUGCAUUUCUGUUAUUAUAUAGUUUCUUAGAAGAAAAUGCACUUUUUGGAAUCUCAGGCUAAAGGAUUUUCUGACAUGGAAGAGUUCAGGGAUCUUCAAGCUUGCCUUGAUGAAGUGAAGACAAAACUCCAAUCUGGUCCCGUGGCUACCUAAGUAUCAGGAAUGUGCUAUUUUUGAAAUUUAGUAACAAGGUUAAAUCUGCAACUAAAAAUUAUUUUAGUUUGUACUGUAGUGGAGACCUUAAGCAGGACUGAAUAUCUUGUAUUGUUGUAUCACCUUUUCUGUAACAAAACGGUCUAGUUUUACUAUUUUUAUUAUUUUUGUAUUUUCGGUGCUGUAACUAAUCUCAUUUGACAAUUUAAAUAUAUGGCUUCAAGUUCUUUAAAUGUAACAUCAAGUGUUGUUUCAACCUCUGUUCUUUUAUGUAUUUCUUGCAUGCGGUGAUUUCAUUAACCUCAAUUUAAGGACAAUUUCAUAUCUUUUUUCUUUCUGCUUUUCUUUUAUCAUUUAAAAACAACACACACACACACACACACAUUUAUAUUUCAGAAGAGGAAAUUGCACGGGAUAUGACUCAAUACUUGCUAAAUGCCAAGACUAUGACCCAAUUAUUUACAUGCCGAGACUAUGACCGAAUAACAAGUGAAAGUACACAAAUAUCCUUAUAAGUAACUAAGUUAAAAAUAUAAAACUUGAGUUAGGAAGUUUAGGAAUGCAUUGAACUUGUAUUCAUUACUUUGAUUAAUCCAUUUACCGUUAUACAAGACAAUAACACGUACCAUAUCCAUUUACAUAAAAAUUAUGAGUUGACAAAGUAAGAAUAUUAACAAAAAUAAGUUGUUAAAAGUUCUUGUAGACUUCUGUGCUUCAGUUCUAGACUUCUAGAUUUAUAGACUUACCUACAUGUCUAUAAGUCUAGAUGUAAAGAAGUCACGAAAACGAUAACAAUGAUAAACAAACUCAAUUCAACAACAAAUUUGAUGUGUAAAAAUUGUGUUGAAGAAUUUUUUGGAAUCUGUUUGAAUUUGUUAAGGGAAUGUGAUGAUUUUAGUAAGUGUUUGAUAACAACUUAGAAUGUUGGACGCAUUAUAGUGCUGGGUGCAUGCUUUUGUUGGAAAAGAUAAGGGCAUUUUAGACUAGGGAUCACCAAAAUGUCAUACAAAUUUAAUUGAGUAAAAUUUGUCAUAUUUAUAUAAAAUGUACAUGAUUUUGUCAUAUAUAAAUAAAAAACCCAUUUCAGAAAGCAUUUAAACAAAGCGAGAGUACAAUAAAAAACCCAUUUUAGAAAGCAUUUAAACAAAGCCAGAGUACAAUAUAGAAAGAUUUUACUCAUUCUAAGUGUGUACCAAACAAAGAAAUGAACUCUCCUUUUCUAGUUAUAUAAUUAUUACAUGAAAUUAAUAAAAACAUGACGAAUUAUAAUUCCUUGCGAUAUAGUGGGGGUUAUAGAAAAGUCAAGAGUUGCUAGUGGAAGAUAAUAGGGAGAGUACAAUAUAUAUAUUAUGAACAUUCACAUUUAUUUUAAUAAAUUCAUAGCAUUUUUUUUGCUUAAAUAACAGGGUGUAUGUAUAUAUAUAUUGACAUAAAAAUUGCAUGACGUGUGGUUUAGCGUUUCUUGGUUGUUCAGUGCUAGUUUUAUGUCAAUUUUUAUUGACAUAAAAAUUGCAUGACACAAAAAAGGCUGUUUUAACCAACUAAAAACCAAAAGCUAAAACCCAAAACCCCCCUCUUUUUCGUUUUCCAGGGACUUCACCUUGAUAUUCAACCAACACUUCUGAUGUCUGCCCUUCAAUAAACCAAGUCAUUCAUACACAUGAUUCUACUAUUGGUGAUGCCUCUGAUGUUUUUGUGACCCCAAAAUUAUUGGGGAAUAGUCAUGAAUCUGAAUCUGGAGUCCAAUGCAUUCACGCUGGUGGCUCAGCAGCCCAUUUAAAGGCAAUCCAACAGGCAGUGAUCUUGUCGAGGUGCCUUCUAAUAGAAAAGAGCUCAUGGCAAGAUGAAAUGCAAAGUAAGUUGUUUUAUGGUUGGCCGGUGUGUAGUCAUCUCGUUAAAGGCCAUAAGAUGUUUAGCAUAUUGCUAUUUAAUUUUUAAAUCAUUCUCAGUAAUAAUUCCUUUAGUAGAUUGAUGAUAAGAGAUUGCAUUACAGAUGAUAACGGAGCACAAUUUUUGUAGUUGUAUCCCUGUACAUCCAUCUUAAUAUCCUCAUUAUAUUCACAUGCCUUUUACGGGUGUUAUUUCUGGAUGCCGAAUGCUUUGCUCCACGUCUGGAUACCAAAUGCUUUGUUCCACAAAGCUGAGCUGGUUGAAAAGCUAGCUGAUGAGGUCAACACGUCCCUUAAGUAAUUUGAGGAUGAACACUGUGUUCCCGAAAGUCUUACUCUAAUGAUACUUAAAGAAGCAAUGAGAAUGGAUGUUGCAGCAGCUUUGCUGAACUCAACUCCAGUUCCAAAAAUGGAACAUGUGAAAACCGAAAAUGCAUUGUUUUUUUUUUUUUCCUCUUUAUGACUUCUCUAGUUGGGGAAUGUAUUAGAUAUUCACCUAAUCAGUAGGCCUUGAAGGGAUCCCAUGUUAGCCCCUUGAUGUUGGUCUGUAACUAAGUAAAUACUUGACCUUGAAAAAGCUUUUGGAGGCAUCAGUUUCUCUCUGACUGGUGCUACUUUUUGGAUCUGUUGAUUUGGUCAUUUGCUGAUUUAUAGUUUGUUUUCUGAUUCAGGAUGGGAUAUGGCUCCAUACAUAGAGGCAACUGAUUCACAGCAGUCGUCAUGCUUCAUUGUAAAUAUAUAUACAAUACAGCAUCAGUUUUUCUUGAUUUUAAAUCUCAUAUUCUGAAGUGGUACUUCUGAUUCUCACAUGAUUUUUCCAUCUUUCAGCUAAAGUUUUUCUGUGAUCUCUUACGUAUUAGAUGGGAAUCCACCCGCAGUCGCACAAAAGGGCGUGCUUUAGAGAUGAUGGACAAACUGGUAUGAUCUGUGAGCCUUUUCUUCUUAAAUAUUUUGUUACCUAAACCAUUUUCAUUCAAAUUGACAAGUGUUGCUUAUCAAUCUAUAGAAGAUUCCAAACUUUCUGCAGCUAGUACUUUAUUGGACCCAAAAGCUUUUUUGCUUUUUCUAAGCUGCUAAUCAGGACUAGGUUUCUCUCCCUUAUAUCGCUAGAUAUCCCAUUAAUCGUUUGAUUUAGUUGUCUAGAGAGAUUAGGUACUUGCAUCUUCGCUUUUCACUUCACAAGUGAUUUCAUGUGCUAUCCUGUAUUCUGGUUCAAGAUUUUUGAAGGUUGCUUACCAUCAUAUUUUGCUUUGUUUCAGGUUGAGGGCAUUUCUAAUUCUUCUCCCGGUGUGACUCAAAGGAUUCCCUUUUGUUAUGUGAUUUAAGUUCCAACUAUUCCUACCCUGCGAAAGUAAUACUAUUUCUUUUGCUUCUUUGAAUGAUUGUGAUUUAAUUUUCUUGUCAUUUUGCCAACUAUCAUUAUGCUGUCAUUGUUUCAUAUCUUAUUUGACAUAUGUUGAUUUGGUUAGAGUUUAAUUGCUCUGUUUAUUCUCUUUAUAAUCUGUCUAUUUCGAUUUUUCUUGAUUUUAGGGAAUAUGCUGAACUUUUAGUAAGCUGUGGCUUGAUUGGAGAGGCUAUUAAAAUUUUUGAGGAUCUGGAGUUGUGGGAUAAUCUAAUAUACUGCAACUGGUAUGAUGUCAUAGAUAACCAUUAUCCUAAUCUCUCUGUCUGUCUGUCUGUCUCUAUCUCUCUCUUUCGUGUUGCUAAUGGGAGUUGGUUUUUUGUAUGAUGUAAAAAACAGCCUAUUGGGGAAGAAAGCAGCAGCUGUUGAACUAAUAAAAGCAAGGCUGUCUGAAAAGCCUAGUGACCCUAGAUUAUGGUUGGUUAAUGAGCCUUUUCUAUGAUCCAUUUUAUAGUUACUUCUCAUUUCAGUUAAAUCCAUUGUUGAUGUCACUUAUUGCAAUCUAGGGAUAAUUGUUCAUUGGUUGUAAGGAUAUUGUCAGAAGAAAAUGAAACCUUUUAAUUUUGUCUUUUACUUGCUGUAGCCGAUUUAAAAGCUCACUGUGCGUUCUUACUGAUUGCUUUUGGUCUUGCAUUUGAGUCAAUGGAUUUUAUACUCAUAUUCUGACAUUUAUUGUUAGUCUUCUGACGGUUCUGCACCUUGGUCCUAUAUUAUCUUCAGCAGUAUUAUCUAAAAGAUAAGUUUUUGCCGAAGAAAAUUUGCAUUCUAAACUAGAAAAUGAGGGGCCGGGGGGAGGGGGGGGGGGGGGUAGGUUGGGAGGCAACGGGAGACUGUUUUCCACUUAUCCUCUUCCCUGCCUGCAUUUUAGAUGAUUUUGAUGCACCAGGUGCCGUGAAAUGGUUGAGAAAUACAUACCAUCAAGUGAAUUCUGAAAAUCAUUUCCUUUUUGAAAAUAUUUGGUGCUAGACAUUUGAAUAUAUGGCCACAAUUUAAACAAUAAAGAUUUUCUGCAUUGAUUUCUUAUAAUGGAUAGAUGCAUGUAAGUAAAAUAUGAUAUCUUUUGAUUAUUGGCCCAUUUGUUCAGAAAGAAGGAAAAAAAAAAAAAUACAUGGUUGAAAGACAACUGUUACUUGACCUUAUGAUACAUUUUGUAGGUGUUCAUUAGGUGAUGUUACAAAUAAUGAUGCCUGCUAUGAAAAAGCUUUGGAAGUUUCGAAUGAUAAGUCAGCUCGAGCUACGGUGAUAUUGUAGUUCACAUUAUGCUUGUGCCGUGAUCAUUUUUUAGUUAACAUAUCUUUAUGUGAAUCAGAGGUCUCUAGCUCGUAGUGCAUACAACAGAGGGGAGUACGAGACAUCUAAAAUCCUUUGGUAUGUUGCUUUAAUGCUUUACUUCUCUUUCUGCCACACAGUAAUUUGCUGCAUUGACAACUGAUACGGCUGAAUGACAAUUUACCCUUGGUUUUGUCUCGGGGAGGCUGCCAUGGCCUUGAAUUCUUUGUAUCCGGAUGGCUGGUUUGCUCUUGGUGCUGCUGCAUUGAAGGUAUCAUAUUUUUGUAUUAGUAUGUGUUUAGUGUGAAGCAAUUUCUUAUCCUUUUGCCCCAAGUUUCUGAAACUCUCGGCUGAAAUAUAAAUACAGGCUCGGGAUGUUGAAAAGGCUCUGGAUGGGUUUACUCGGGCUGUUCAACUUGAUCCAGACAAUGGGGAAGCUUGGAACAAUAUUGCUUGCUUGUAUGCUCUUUUCUUUGUCAUCAUGUCAUUCCAUCCUCUUGCUCUGUAUUCUUUAAUAUUGUGUCAAUCACAUUCAUCUUCUAUCUGCAAGAGUAUGCUUCCCAUAUUUGGUUUACUUUGUUUUGACUUUCUUGUUGCAGUUGUUCUAUAUAAAUUUUAUAUGGUUCCAUAUUCCCUUGAUGAGUGAAUUUAGUUGCUGCAAAUGUUAAGAACUAGAUAGUACUGUUAUAAUUAGGAAUAGGGCAAAUAUUAGCCAGCUCUUUUGAGGAUUAUCCAUAGCAUAUACCUCCGUCGUUUUCAAAGCGAUUGAAGUUCUCCCUUUUGUCUUAUUUAAAAGAAAAAAGCACAAAUUGCUUCCCUCACAUCUAUCUACAGUCUCUUUUCUCUCUGUUUAAUUUUUUCUUGUGCUUAUUAUUUGUCUUUUAAUGCAUCUUUUCUUCUUAUUUUAUACUGUACUAGAAUUUGUGCUGUCUCGAUUUUAUCUUGCAUGUGAGUUACUGUGUUUUUCGCAAUUGUAGAACUUUAUUUAGCAGCAUAAUUAUUAGUUAGUGAGACAUUAAUUGGUUAAUACCACUUGUGAAGAUACGAAGAGCUACUUAUUCUCUCUUCUAGUACAUUUAAAAAAUUCAUGACAAAAUAUCUGGGAUGGUAAAAUUCUCGUCAAUUAUAACUACGGAAGUCUUGAGAUUUAUGUAGUCUUGCAGGCAUAUGAUCAAGAAGAAGAGCAAAGAGGCUUUUACAGCAUUCAAGGAGUCCCUAAAGUUGAAGUUCUGUCUUUUUUCCCCCUGAUCACUACAUUUUUAUUUUCUGUCAUGCACAAUGCAGUCGGACACUAUCUGAUCACAAGAAAACUGUCAUACAUAAUUUGUUGCUGCUAGGCAAAAGGUGAUAUCUAAUGUAAUAACCUAUAACAUGAUUUUGUAACAGACGGAACAGUUGGCAAUUGUGGGAAAACUACAGCCAUGUUGCUUUGGAUGUGGACAAUAUUGGUCAGGUAACCGCGGUUGUGCGCUUAAUGUCCAUCAUUUAUCACUGAAAUCUUUUGAGAUGAAGCUGGCAUUUCCUUAGCCACCCUCUGAUGGUUUUGAUUGCUUCAUGUAUGUUGUCAUCUUUGUCAACUAAUGAAAGCUGCAGAGAUUUUGUCAUCUUUUCAUUUAAAAGAAUUUGAUAGUUUAUAGCCCAUUGUCAUGUUUGCAUAUGUAUGUUAUUGUUCUUUUGACCUUUUUGUACCUCAGCUUCAUCCUUUUAUGCAAGCAAUUCUUUGUCAAGAAAUAUCUGGUUAACAAUUUCUUCGCAUGAAUAUUUUUACGGUCAUCAAGGUCCUUGAACAGUCAUGGUUAAUUGAUUACAGAUUCUCAAAUUUAUAAUUAUUUUUUUCAGGGUCAUUGUCCUUUGAUAUAUGCAAUUGAUGCAUGACUUUCUAACCAUUAUCUCCCUGCCUUCACCAUGGUCGUAUAAAUAUUUUGACAAGUGGGGAUUUUAUGAUUACUGUGUGCUAGGAAUUUUUUUGGUUGGAAAGAAAUGGGAGGAUUUUUCAAGAAGCUAGGGAGGGAAGACACCAAAUUUUUUUUGGUGGAUAAAGCCUGCUGUCACUUUGGGCAUCAAUUUCUAAUGAAUGCAAUAAUGUUCCUUUCUUUGCUAUUCAUUAAAAUUGAGUUGUUCUUCUUGGAUGGCCUUCUUUUUACUUCCCAUCAUUUUGCCAGCUUGUUGAUUGUCAUUUUUGCUUGUUGGCAGUCUUUUCCUGCAGUGUUGAUAAUAUUUAAUUAUAAUAUUAGACAACAGUGUCCUCAACAUGAUCUCUCUCCCAAAUUAUUACUCUUUUAUUCAUUAUACUUUUAGCAGUUUCUUUAUUUUUGUUAUAUUUUAUGUUUUCAGGCUCUAGAGGCUGUGCAGAUGGUGUUGAACAUGACUAAUAAUAAACGAAUUGAUACUGUAUUAUUAGAAAGAAUAGUGCUAGAUAUGGAAGGAAGGACUUCAAUUAUAGAAUCUGAGUCUUGCAGGACUACCCAUAAUCUUAACAGAACUAAUAACACUUGUGCAAAAGAUUAACCUGUAGAAUCUGUCCAUGUAUCAUCACCUGAGGAGUCAAUCAUGGGAAGAUCGCGAGAAAAUGAGCACUUGAUGGAGUUUCUUGGGAAAAUUCUUCAGCAGGUUGCACAUGGCUCCAUGAUCAUCUUUUUUCUGUCUUUUAAUACUGAGCCAAGGGACAGUCUCUCUCUUUCACGCAUAUCCACAACACAUGUACAUAUUUCUCAUAUUUCUAUGCGUAUAUAUUGUCAUUUCUGAUCUUUCUUAGUUUAUAUGAUAAUUGUCUUUGGGCAUAUGAUUCAUAUUUUCUGGGCACCCUAUGGUCUGUGGGUCAAUAAUAAUCCAUAGUAUCUGAAUUUCUAGACAAAAUUGGUCAUUUUAGCAAAUCAUUUGGAUGUAUCUAUGCAGCAGUUUACUAUUUUAGUGCUUGCAGGAAUUGGUAUGCUUAAAUUUUGGGCUUAAAUUGUGUGAAAAUAAUCAAAGUGAUAUGCAAAUUAAUUCAAGCCACAUGAGGAAAGAAUAUCCUUUUUUUUUUUUUUCAGCUUAUGUUACAUGUUUCUGUGUAUGGCAUAGGUAGUUCGAAGUGAGAGUAGUGCAGAUAUGUGGGGAUUAUAUGCAAGGUGGCUUAAAAAUAAAGGAGAUCUUACAAUGUGCUCUGAAGCCCUCUUAAAGCAAGUCAGAUCAUAUCAGGUUUCUCCAUAAACCUCAUCAUCUUAUAAUAAGUUAGCAUUAUGUUUUACUUUGAUGUUGAUGGAAUUUGUUAAUGCUAAUAAAAUUUUGUUAAUCUCUCUCUCUCUUUCUUUUUUAAAGAAGGCAAAGAAAAAGCUUUGUGAUUUCAUUUUUGUUUUCUAAAUUUGUUAUCUAAAGGAAUGACAAGUUUACAAUUCAGCCUCUGUGUGUGUGUGUGUGUGUGUGUGUGUGUGUGUGUGUGUCUGUGUCAGGGAUCUGAUUUGUGGAAAGAUAGAGAUCGGUUUAAAAGGUUUUCAUAUGCAUCCUUGGAACUUUGUAAGGUUUACAUGGAAAUUUCUUCCUCUUCUGGUAGCCGUCGAGAACUCUUUACUGCUGAGAUGCACCUGAAGAACGUACUUAAACAAGUAAAACACCUUAUAAUUCGAUAUUUAAGACACUUACAGUUGGUUUAAAGAUUGCAUUUUCCAUUUCUUUUUUUGACUGGUUCAGGGUAAAACUUUUUCUCACUGUGUUAGAGUGCAUUUCUGUUAUUAUAUAGUUUCUUAGAAGAAAAUGCACUUUUUGGAAUCUCAGGCUGAAGGAUUUUCUGACAUGGAAGAGUUCAGGGAUCUUCACGCUUGCCUUGAUGAACUGAAGACAAAACUCCAAUCUGGUCCCGUGGCUACCUAAGUAUCAGGAAUGUGCUAUUUUUGAAAUUUAGUAACAAGGUUAAAUCUGCAACAAAAAAUUAUUUUAGUUCGUACUGUAGUGGAGACCUUAAGCAUGACUGAGUAUCUUGUAUUGUUGUAUCACCUUUUCUGUAACAAAACAGUCUAGUUUUAUUAUUUUUGUAUUUUCGGUGCUGUAACUAAUCUCAUUUGCCAAUGUAAAUAUAUGGCUUCAAGUUCUUUAAAUGUAACAUCAAAUGUUGUUUUCAACCUCUGUUCUUUUAUGUAUUGCUUACAUGCCGUGAUUUCAUUAACCUCAAUUUAAGAAAAAUUUCAUAUCAUUUUUUUCUGCUUUUCUUUUAUCAUUUAAAAACAACACACACACACAUAUAAGCAAAGAAGCAACUGAAAGUUAUCUUCAUGUGAGAAUGAAAACUUUUCAGCAGCAUAACCCUUUCACUGUUCAAUUCCAAACAUGUUCCUCAACAUGAUAACAAAUUCGCAGACCUUUUCUGGGUCUGGAAGGAUCCUCGCAACAGUUUCUCUUUGCAUGCACUCAUUCUCAACCUUAAAUCCCCCAAAUUUCUCAACCGCGUAAAACCAACAAGUCAGUGGAAUGGCAAUGACAUCAACGAAUCCAAAGCUAUCCCCGCCAAAGAAAUCCUUCUCCCCUAAAGCUCCCACAAGUUGCUUCAAUAUCUCUAUAAAUUCAUUCUUCGCCGUCCCUGGGACCUUGCCCUUGCUUUUCCAUAUGUUGCAUACUGCAUCGAUUACCUGCCAAAAGAGUGGUGUCAUCUUUGCAUUUAGAAAGAUACAAACAUUUACACUUGAGAAUUAUAGACUGACCUUCUUGUCAAUAAAAUCUGCCCAGAACCUUGCCUUAGCUCUCUCAGAAGCACAGGAUGGGAGAAGUGGUGGCGAAGGCCAAGUCUCGUCAAUGUAGUUAACUAUAACGGUGGAUUCACACAAUGGUUUCCCAUCGUGUAGCAAAACUGGGACUUUCUUGUAGAUGGGGUUUGAUUUGAGCAGCAGGUCACUCUUUGCCCCCAAACAAGUUCUCAGCUCUGGCUCAUAUUCAACUCCUUUCUCAGCCAAUGCAAUCUUUGCCCAACAGUCCAAAAGAACAACCUCUCCCUUUGACAAAUUCACUUUCUUUGUUCUUGUUUCUUUUAGUUGGCUGAUAGUAAUUAAACCUUGAGUAUCAAGGUUAAUUGGCAUUUAUAAAGGAGAAAAGAUGAAAUUCCCAAAGUUUGUGUCGCAAUCAACUUUUGUUCGUUGGCACUUCCUUAAAGGAUGUGUUUGAGGGAAAUACUCCGACGAGACCAGACGUGAUGAGCAGAUGUUUAGUGGCAGAAUUCUGCGAGCAGGUAUGUCCUGUAAGAGCCAGGUAGCAGGGGAACAGGGGCAGGAAUAUCCUGCUCAUCCACGAGCACGUCAUCUGCGAGGCCAAUUUCCUGUAAGAGGCAUAAAGCCAUUCCUGCUGUAUUCUCGCUGAGGGUUGAUUCGAGGAGACCCGGUCAACGACAGUUGGCGAGGCAUGCUCUCCAGCCCGAGAAUCUAGGCACGAAGGCCACGCAACCACCCAUGACUACGGAAAUGGGGAAUCCACGUUCGAGAGGUGGGAGGAUAACGGGCGUAGACUGCGGAAAACUGGGAUUCAGAGGAAGCCUAUAAAAAGGUAGCCAACGAAGGUAAAAGGGUUAGCAUUUUUGAGAUUAGAAGAGAGCUAAAGAAAUUCUAAAGAAGAGCAAACUACGAAAAAGCCAUAAGAUUUGUGGCAAACAUUCCCAGAACCCCUAUAUCUGACUUGAGCGUCGGAGGGUUUGCGCCGGGAAAACAACCGGCGUACUCUGACUUGUCUGUGUGCGCAGGAACCUCUGGAGAAGAAGCCUUACGAGGAGACCUCCUGGUCGUGGUGAAGUUGAUCGAGCAGAGAGCCUGGUCGUAGAACGAGGAGAACCAGAAUCUCGCAUCAAUAGGAUGUGGCAUUGUUCUUAUCAUUUCUUAGUUUUUGAAGCUUACUGUUUUACUUGGCUUUCAACAUGCACAAGAACAAGUUUGUCUUGUGCAUGCGGAGUUUACUAUGGACAAGCCGAAUCGUAAGUAACCAUUUACACUAAUCAAUCGGUAUUGUCCAGUGAAAAUAAGUAAUGUAAAAAGUGUCUAGGAUUUUUCCUAAUAUUUCUCAAAAUAGGCUCAUUAAGCCCAAUUCUGGUGCUAGAUUGGUUCAACUUUGAAUCAAACUUGGAAACAUUUUUCUUUAGAUUAUUAUUAUUAAUUUAGAAGAGUCAAAAAGCUAAGAGUAUCGUUAGUAAAUGUCAAACAUGUGUAAUAUCACAUAUCACUAGUCAGUGAGUUUCGUAAACUUUCCUAAUUAAGAAGACACGUUUUGAGUUGUAAAUUCUAACACAAUAUCUAUUCAGUUGUUUAACUUGGAAUAUUACAAUUAUAUCAAUAUUGUUUGAUGUGGGCACACAACCUUGCGUCUUCUUAGUUAGGACAGCCAAUUAAAUCCACUUCUUAGCGAUGCAGGGGAUGAUACAUAACUUGUAUGUGCACGUUGGCGGAGUAUCCCAAUUAUGCACUCAUUUGUCUUCUUGUGUUUUAAAAAAUCUAUUGUACUGGAUAUACUGUAAAUUUAUCAAAUUGCUUGUUAUAAUGCUUCUAUUUGCGUUGUUAUUCGAGUUGUCAUUUUGAGUUUUAUUUUAUUUUUUCUUUAAACAUAAUUAAUUUGAAAUGUUCUUUAAUUUUCAUUACACUUGAGAUCAUCAAAUAAGUGAUUCGUGAACAUAAUUGCUGUUGUUACUCGAAUAAGAAAAGAAAACAACGAUUUGCUAAGGUAAAAGUAAAUGGAAAUGAGAGCACGUGAUUUUGCAAAGAGAACUUCACACUAUCAUAAAACCGAAAACAUUACAAUUUAAAGCUUAAAUAACAACACACCAAAGCCAAAUAACGACCCACUAGAAUCACGGUCCAAAGAUUGUGCCAUGAUCACAACAUGAACUACAAAAAAAUAACCAACACCAGAAAAGUAGGAACAGUUUAAAACUUUCAUUUAAGCAGCAUUUAUGAUUCCACAUCAGCAGUCCUAAACACAUCUUCUAACAAUUGCAACUGUUCAUUUUUGCUUCUGCCAAUAAGGAGUUGAUAGUAACCAAAGAUUGUUGUCUUUAUUGUCAUUUGAGAGUAACCAAUUACUUACGCAGUCACGUAAGUUGCUGGUAGGCCUCGCACAUUUUUGACAAGUUUGUUUCUGAAGGAAAGCAGCUGAGCCGCAACCUCUUCCUUGUUCAUUCGUUCUCUCGGCAACUCUGAAGAGCAAAUGACUCCGAUUUCCAGUACUGAAACCAAGCACUCUUUACCACCAAAACUUCUAGUCCUUUGUUUGUGAGCAUUGGCCUCGCUUGUCUCCCCUUCUUCUCUUUCUACAAGAAGCACUGGAUUAACAAUUUCAGCGAGUCUUUCAGGAAGAGCUUCCUUGACAAAAUUAUGUAGGGUUAGAUUGCCUGUAAACAUCUCAUUCGUCGGCCCCUUUCCUGUAAACAUUUCCAGCAAAAGAAUGCCAAAACUGUACACAUCUCCACUUGUUGAGACUUCGCUCCCCAUUCCGUACUCUGCAAUUCGAAAAUUAAAAUUGUUGGUUCAACUAGUAAAAUCUCCGAGGAUUGAAAAACAAGUUGAUUAAAUUAGAGUAUUUACCUGGAGCAGCAUAACCAACAGUUCCUUUUACUCCAACAGAGCUUGAUUGAUUAGAUGACAAGUUAUUGGCGGCUUCCGGAAGGAAUUUUGCUAAUCCAAAAUCACUUACAUGGGCAGUCAAUUCACCAUCCAGAAGAACAUUGCUUGGCUUGAGAUCACAAUGGACUAUUGGAGUUUCACAAUAAUGAUGAAGAUAUUCCAAUGCGGAAGCAACAUCAACGGCAAUACUCAGUCUUUGCAGGAGAUUUAGAUUCCUAGGUGCGUCACGGUUUGGAUGCAACCAUUCCUCCAGGCUCCCGUUAACCAUCAACUCAUAAACUAAAGCCUCAAAAUCAUUCCCUUGGAAGUCAACACUUACACAGGAAGUUAUUAUUUUGACGAGAUUCCGAUGCCUAAUACUCCUCAAGGCUUGACACUACGCUAUGAAACUCUUUGAAGCUCCACGAUGUUGAAGAUUAAGCACCCUAACUGCCACCAGCGUUUCAUGAUCAUCGUGAUCCAGGAUUCCUUUAUAGACCGAACCAAAGCUACCGGCACCAAUCAAAUUUUCCAAAGAGAACCCAUCAGUUGCUUUGAACAGAUUCUGAUAGGACACUCGUAAAACCGAAGCCAAUAAUGUUGAUGGAGGAGUGGACGGCUCCCUUUUUGUUUUGCUCCACCAGGAAGUAAUUAUCAAACACGACAUCCCUGUCAGGAACAAAAUUCCUGUAACUAUAGGAAUAAUCAGUUUCAGGGAACGGGAACGUGAUUGCUUUGAUUCUUUGGUGGAGCAAGUACAUAAAUGCAACUCAGAUAUGCCACCACAAAGGUUAUCAUUUCCGUCAAGAGAUAUAGCACUCGAAUUGCUGAAGACUCCUUUUAUUGGUACUUCACCCUCAAAAUGAUUAAAAGACAGAUUUAAAUUCUGCAAAAAGAAAAAGUUUUCCAGAUAUUUUGGAAUCCGGCCAGACAAAUUGUUCCGCGAAAGAUCAAGAUUCUCAAUGCCUCUCAAAGAACUGAAUGAUGAAGGGAUAUUCCCCUGAAAGAAAUUACCGUUCAUGACGAGUUGUUCCAACCUAAUGCAACUUCCUAUACUGCUUGGAAUUUGACCAGACAAUUUGUUCUCCGAUAUAUCUAUAGCACCCAGAUUUUUCAAGAUACCAAAAUUUGAGGGCAAAGGACCAUUCAAUUGGUUUUGAGAUAGAUCGAGAUAGAUUGACAAGGAAGAGAGACCGAUCACUUCAGUGGGUAUGGUACCAGUGAGGUUGUUAUUAGAGAGAUCUAAUAAUAUCAAGUUUUGGCAUUUCCCUAGACUUGAUGGAAUGCUUCCCUCUAACAUGUUUUCCGCAAAAUUUAGUGUGAUUAACAAUGUCAAAUUUCCUAUAGAAGAUGAAAUUUCCCCCCAAAACUUGUUCCCCUCCAACCUCAACGUCUGAAGCUUUUGAAGAUCUCCUAUACUUCCCGGAAUUCGGCCUGUGAAUUGGUUUUCCUCAAGAUAUAAAAGCUCCAAGUUAACAAGGUUUCUUAAUCCACUUGGGAUAUUUCCGAACAAUUGAUUGUUUUCAGCUGAUAACAUUCUAAGUCGGGUUGACAAGUUCCCCACAGUUUCAGGUAACAUUCCACCAAAAUUGUUAUCACUAAUUAACAGUAGCUCUAGUCUAGAAGCGUUGACCAAAGAAUUGAAAAAUUCCAAGUCAUCUUUUUCCCCAUUUCCUAAGUGAUUCACAGAAAUACUAACCACUUCGAGUUUAUGUAAAUUUUCCAAACUAGGCACCUUUCCACUGAAUCCAUUCAUCGCGAUUAUAAGUUGCAUUAGAUUUGAGGCAUUGGAUAUUGAAGCAGGAAUAGGCCCGGUAAACUGAUUAUCACCAACGUUUAGAUAUUCAAGAUUAGGAAGAGUGAAGCCUAAGUCUGAUGGAAGGCUUCCUUGAAGUUGGUUGACAGUAAAAUCAAAAUCACUAAGCGAAGACAAGUUGUAGAUUGAGAAGGGGAUUUCACCUGAUAGCUUAUUUGAAUCAAAUGAUAUAAAACGCAUCCUCUUAAGCUCGCCCAGGGUUUCAGGAAUUUGUCCUACAAAUUGAUUUAUAGUUGCUGAGAGGACCUGGAGUGAUGAUAAAUUGCCGAAGGAUGAUGGGAUUUCUCCUGACAAAUUGUUGGAGUGUAUUACGAGAAUCCGGAGCUUUGAUAAGGAGCCCAGUUUCCCUGGAACUUUCCCCGCAAGCUCAUUACUGCCUAACCAGAGGGAUUCAAGGUUAACGCAAUGCGAUAUGUUGUCAGGAAUUUGACCUCCAAAUGUAUUGUUGUCCAGCCAUAAAAAUCGUAACCUGAACAGAUAUCCAAUCUCUUGAGGGAUUUCGUUGCGGAAAAUUAGAAUUAGAUAUAUUGAUUUGGAAUGUUUGUUUACAGAGAAAAUCUGAGCAAGAGAGAAAGAAAAUUUAUUCUUGUUAUUAUUAACAAAAUGGGAUCACCAGCUUAUAUAUGUUGCUUGCUGGAAUCUCUUUUACGCACUCAUCACUUUCACGUGUAUUUCACCUUUUUAGAGAAGCUAAAUAACAAACUAAACAGACUAACGACUACUUUGCUGACUGGACUGCCACGUCACCAUAACUGAAUUAACUAAACUAAUGCUGUUAACACAUAUUCUUAUCAUCCCCCCUCAAGCUUAAGUUCGGGGAAGAACAUUAAGCUUGGUACGAAGAUAAGCAAACUGAUCAAAGAAGAGGGGCUUGGUGAGAAUGUCUGCAAGUUGUUCUGAACUAGAAACAUGACUGAUAGUCAGUUGCUUCUGUGCAAUGUGCUCUCGAAUAAAAUGAAGAUCCAACUCAAUAUGUUUUGUACGAGAGUGAUACUUGGGGUUGCUAACUAGUGCCUCAGCACUCUGAUUAUCACAAUACAAAACUGGACUGUGAGUAGGCUGAAUAUGCAGCUCUUGAAGUAAAUAAGUCAGCCAAAGAAUUUCAGAGGUUGCUGAAGCAAGAGCCCGAUAUUCGGAUUCUGCUGAGGAAUGAGAAACAAUUGUCUGUUUCUUAGAAGACCAGGAAAUAAUGUUGUUGCCUAAGAAGGCACAAUACCCUCCAGUAGACUUUCGAUCAUCUGGAUCAGCUGCCCAAUCAGCAUCAGAAAAUGCUGUUAAAGUCACUGAUCCUGAAUUCCAAAGUGUGAAGUAGCUUGUAGAUAUCGAAGAACCCUUUUGCAAGCUUGCCAGUGUGCAAUAGUUGGAUGAGCUAGGAACUGACUGAGUUUGUUUACAGGGUAAGCUAUGUCAGGUCUGGUAAGCAACACAUAUUGAAGAGAGCCUACAAUGCUUCGAUACAAGGAGGGAUUAUCAAAGGCUGUACCACUGUCCUUUGUAAGCUUAGCACCUGGACUCAUAGGAGUGUUAAAACCUUUGCUGUCAAGCAUAUUUGCUUUGCUAAGGAUAUCACCAAUGUAUUUGGUUUGAGAUAAAUGCAGUCCCUGAACAGAGGGUGUCACUUCAAUACCAAGGAAGUAGUUAAACUCGCCCAGAUCUUUGAGUGCAAAUUCUGAAUGAAGAUAUUGAAUAACAGCCUCAAGAUGUUGAGAAUUAGAACCAGUAACCAAAAUGUCAUCAACAUAUAUAAGAAGGAGCACAAUAUCAUUGCCAAUAUGUUGAAUAAACAUAGAAGUAUCAGAUUUGGAAGAAUGAAAACCUUUAUUGAGUAAGGAACCCUUCAGCCUCUCAUACCAAGCCCGAGGAGCUUGUUUGAGACCAUAUAAGGCCUUGUUUAAUUUGCAAACAUAAGAUGGAUGUGCAGAGUCUAUAAAACCUUGUGGCUGAUGCAUGAACACAUCUUCUUCAAGCAUGCCAUUUAGAAACGCAUUAUUAACAUCCAGCUGUCUAAUUUGCCAAUGAUGCAUCACUGCGAGGCUGAGUACAACUCUGACUGUGCAAGGUUUCACAACUGGGCUGAAGGUCUCAAAGAAGUCCACUCCUUGAGUUUGAUGGUAACCCUUGGCAACCAACCUAGCUUUAUACUUGGAAAUGCUGCCAUCAGGAUUAUACUUCACCCUAUAGACCCACUUAUUGCCAACUAUUUUAGCAGCACUGUCAGAGGGUACUAGAGUCCAGGUUUGGUUCCUUUGUAGAGCAUCAAAUUCCUCCUUCAUAGCAUGAAACCACUUAGGAUCAUGCAAGGCACUUUUUACACUGGCUGGCACAAGAUUUUCAGUAGCUGCCAGAUAUGAUUUGGGUUUGAAAACACCAGCUUUAGCUCUAGUAAUCAUUUGGUGAGAUGGUAAAGAAGAUGAGUGAGGUGGUUCAGCUGAAGAAUGAAAGGAAGGAGAAGGCUGUGCUGAACUGGAACUUGAUGGAGAAGACAUUGCUGGCUGAGGAUUAGGAGAUGAUGACUCUACAGUGCUACUGUCAACCUGAGCAGAACUUUGAAGAAAGGAAAAUUGUACUGGUGAAGAUGAGACAUCAACAGUGGAGACUGAUGAAAUAGAGUGUUUCAAAAACAAUUCUUUGUAAGGAAACUCAGUUUCAUUAAAAACAACAUGUCGAGCAACAAACACUUUACCAGAGGAAUUUAAACAUUUAUAACCCUUGUGAAGGGGACUGUAACCAAUGAAAAUGCAUUUUUGAGUGUGAAAGUCAAGUUUAUGCUGGUUAUAAGGUCUAAGGAAUGGAAAACAGGAGCAACCAAAAACUCUGGGAAACUGGUAGUCAGGUAGUUGAUUAUGUAACUUCUGAAAUGGAGAUAGAUUGUUUAGAACUGAGGUGGGCAUCCUGUUAAUGAGGAAAGAGGCAGUGUGAAAGGCUUCCCACCAAAAGGAAAGAGGCAAUUGGGAUUGAGCUAGAAGUGUUAAACCUGUUUCAACUAUGUGCCUGUGUUUCCUCUCAACAACACCAUUUUGAUGGUGUGUGUAUGGACAGUUAUACCUAAAGCAUAUACCCUCUUGCUGAAGAAAGGUUUUAAAGGCUAUGAAUUCACCACCCAUAUCUGACUAUAGUGUUUUGAUAGACAAGGAAAACUGUUUUUCAACAAGAAGUUUGAAGUGUUUGAAGGUUUCUAAUGCUUCUGAUUUUGUUGUGAGAGGAAAGAUCCAAGAAUAUCGUGUGAAAUCAUCCACAAAGGAGAUAUAAUAUCUGUAUCCAUUCAUAGAAUAUUCAGGAGCUGGUCCCCAUAAGUCUGUAUAUAGAAGCUCAAGUGGUGCUUUUGUUUUAAUGGUAGUAACAGAAAAAUGAAGCUGAUGCAUUUUGCCAUAUUGACAGGCAUCACAAAAACUAAUGAAUUGAUUUGAAAAACAAUGCGUAGAAAGACUCUUAAUAAUUGUUUGCAAAGCAUGUUUAUUAGGAUGACCAUAUCGAUUAUGAAGUAACUGAACUGACAUCUUUCCAGUCUAGAAGAAUUUCCAGAAACAGAAUAUGCAAAAGAUUCAGUAGUAUUUACAUUGUGCAACUUUGACACAUGAUUAUUUGACUCUGGUAGAGAGUUUACAACUUUAUUAUCAACACACAAAGACAGCAUGGAACUUGGUUUAAAAGAAUUUGGAUUGCAAUCUGCAGAAUGGGGAGAGAACACAUCAAGUGACAGUAGCUUGUAAAGACCAUCUUCAACAAUCCCCUGUGCCAGCAAAAUUCCCUUCUUCUUGUCCUUAAUAAAACACAUGGUAGAAUAAAAUUCAAUGAUUAUGUUGUUAUCCAAAAGAAGUUUAGAUAUACUGAUGAGAUUUUUGGUUAUUUUGGGAACACACAAAGUAUUGGUUAAGGAUAAACAGGUGCCAAAAGAAGUAGAAAGAUAAGUGCAGCCAAUAUGUGUGAUAGUGAGACCUUGACCAUUACCAACAAACAACAAUUGAGUGCCAUUAUAAGGGUUACCUUCAACCAAAUUUUGCACAUUGUUGGUGAGAUGAUGAGUGGCUCCACUGUCCAGAUACCACCCCUGAUCAGCAACUCCUUCUGAAGUAGCCAUAUAAGCUGUUCUUGGCCCUUGAUUUGGCAUUGGAGAAUUUGGAAUAAAGUUUCUGUUAAAUCUGUUUCUGCAUCUGCAGCUGAGUGGUUUGGUUUGAAACAUAUUUGGCAGGUGAUAUUUCCUCUGCCACCUCCUCUACCAAAACCACCAGAGGAUGCUGGAUUUCUACCAUUAAAGCCACCAUUUCCAAUAAAUCCACCAGUAUUACCAUUAAAUCCACCAGAGUUUGAGCCUCUACCUUGAUUUCCAAACCAGCCUCUCCCUGAAUUUUGAUCCAUGAAGCCACCUCUGCCAGAUCCAUAACCUCCUUUGUUGUUGAAAUUACCAUUUCUAUUUCUAUUUACAAAAUUUCCAUUCCAAUUGCCCUGAUUAUUAUUAUUCCAAUUAGCAUUGUUUCCUGACUUCUUUUGAUUAUUGCCAGUAUUAGCCACAUUAGCACUAAAAUUCAACUUAGUUUCCUUAGCUACACCAGAAUGAUUACUCUCAAGCCUAGCUUCAUGAGAUAGCAGCAUAGAAUAAGCCUCAUUGAUACUUAUUUUAAGAGCAUUUGCUUCAAUAUAAACCACAACAGGGUAAUAAGACUGUCCUAGACCUGAGAUCAAAUGUGUAAUGAAGUCAAGAGAAGAAACUGAACUUCCAGCCAUUGCUAAUUCAUCAGUUACUGACCUCAGUUUACAAAAAUAUUCAGUAAUGGACAUGGAUCCUUUCUUAAGAUUGUUUAACAACAUCUUUAAAUGCACUUUCUUUGCUGCUGUUUCAAAUCCAAAUUGUUCCUCUAGACUUAUCCAAAGCUCUCGAGAGGUUUUAGAAUUUACCACAAUGCUUAAGAUCUCCACAGUGAUUGAAGACAGAAGCCAGCUCAAGAUCAUCUGAUCUUGCCUUUUCCAAGUGAUGCAAGCAGGAUUCUCUGAGACAACCACUGCAUCUGUGCUUGUUGAUUCUCCAGUCAGCAGCUGGUUUGGACAGGUACGUGAUCCAUCAAGAAAACCUUCCAGAUCAUUUGCUCGAAUGGCUGAAAGGAUCUGAGAUUUCCAUAUGGUGUAAUUCGAUCUGUCAAGCUUGAUUGGUGUGGUGAAAGUAAAUGUUGAGAUUGCGGAAGAGACAUUUGUACUAAGACUUGAAGAGGCCAUGAUCAUGAAGUGAUUCAAGGCUCUGAUACCAAAUUAGAAUUAGAUCUAUUGAUUUGGAAUGUUUGUUUACAGAGAAAAUCUGAGCAAGAGAGAAAGAAAAUUUAUUCUUGUUAUUAUUAACAGAAUGGGAUCACCAGCUUAUAUAUGUUGCUUGCUGGAAUCUCUUUUACACACUCAUCACUUUCACGUGUAUUUCACCUUUUUAGAGAAGCUAAAUAACAAACUAAACAAACUAACGACUACUUUGCUGACUGGACUGCCACGUCACCAUAACUGAAUUAACUAAACUAAUGCUGUUAACACAUAUUCUUAUCACGGAAGCUAUUGUUUUUGAGAUCUAACACUCUGAGAAAACUUAAAUUACCAAUGUGAGGCGACAGAGACCCCUGCAAGAGUAAAGAUGGAAGAAGUAAUGCAGUCACCCUUUGGUGCCGUCGACUGCAAGUGACACCUUUCCAUUGACAAAAGUGCCUGGAAUAGUUCCAUGAACUCAAAACCUCAAGAGGGUCAUGAGUAACUUUGGCCUUGAAUUCAAGCAAUGCAAGUUGAUCAGUUUCAUUUCUUUUGAGCAUAUAAUCGGUUGACUGCAAGCUGAAGCUGAAGCAACAGAAAAUAAAGAAACAAAUGCUUGCAAUGAUUGAACUCGUCAUGUUUACAAAAUCCAUUUAACUGCCGAAAGGAAAUUAAAAUGAUAAAACUUUUAUAGAGGUCGGUAAGAUAAACUAUGUUUGUAUAUUUUUUGCAAUGAUUUAUGGACUCUGUCUUUGAUGCUCAAAUGUGAACCGGCUGGCACCGUGACAGUGAAACUAAAACUUUUUGUUUUUCUAAUAAUAUUAAUUAUCAUAUUUAUUACUAUUGUUAGAAUAAUAUAUUGCAGCUUUAAAGAAAGACUCACCAUACUCCUUUUUGAGUCUCUGUCAGUUUCCAGCAUUUGGUCAUUUUUUAUUUCACCGCUUAAUCCACAGUAAAAUAUAAAACAAUUUAAUCAACAAUAUUGAAAAGAAAAAAAGUAGGACAAGAGAAAGGUAAAUACUGUUAAAUGAGUUGGGAAACGUUCAAAGCACGAAGGGAAUUAGAAAAGAAAAAAAGUAGGAUAAGAAAGUUAAGUAUGAUGGAUGGAGUUUCACAUUACUGUUAAAUGACUUGGGAAAGGUUUAAAGCACGACAGGAAUCAACGUUUCACAACGCUUUUUAGAUUUUUUUCUAAAAGGAAAAAGAUAUUCUCACAAAAGUAAGUACAAAAUUUCACACAAAACGGUGCAUUUAAAUAAAGUAAAAUUGCAAAAAUACUCAAAAUAUAUAAGAUUGAUUAUUUACACCCUCUUUGUUUAUCUUGGGUGAACUAUUUCUGGAAAAUGGGCAGAGCCUAGUUUGGUUCAAAAUUUGAAAUAACAAAAGGUAUAUUGGUGGAAAACCAGCGACAUAUUUUCUAAUGGUUAACCUAAAUGGGAAUUAUAUCGGUUUGUACUGUCAAUAUAACAAACAACUAACUAAAUUAUUUAGAAGUCAUGAAUAAAAAUGGAUAGAACAAGAAGUAUAUUGCUAUUCGAUGCAAGAAGUUGGAUUAUUAAACCAUAAUAAAAUAAUAUAACUACACAUGUGCAAUAUUAUUCACUAGAAAGAUUUAAUUUAGAUAUUAAACAGUUAGUGCAACUGUAUCGAUCUCAUGCUCAUUAAUUUAGAGUUUGAGAACUCAUAAUAAAAGAAAAUAGAAAUUUAAACAUAGAUCCUAUCCUAUUAAGUAGAAUCAGAAAAGAAGUUUACAGAAAUAAUUUUUCAUGGAAAUAAUGAAAUAUUAAUCCUGUUGAUGGAUAUAUUGGUGAAUACAUAAUAGAACAUUAUAAUAGAUUUUUAUCUAUCAAGCAAAGGGAAGAAUAUAAUUGGAAUAACAAAAGAAUUAGAAGUAAAUAGUAAUAUGCUAAUAGGAUAUAGAGGAUUAAUAUUAAUUAUCAUAUUUGUGUGUGUAUGUAUAUAUAUAUAUUUUAAAUGAUUUAGGGACUCUGUACUUGAUGCUGAAAUGUGAACCGGCUGGCACCGGGACAGUGAAACUAGUACUUUUUUUCCCUUAAAGCACCACAGGAAUCAACGUUUCACAAAGCUUUUUUUCCCUUUCUGAAAUAUUCGGUGCAGUCUCCCCCAGAUUUUGCUAGUGCAACCAAGAGACGUCAUGCCGUUAUCAAUUAUAAACUGUAAAUGACAUGUUGUUUUUACAAGACAUAUUAUGCGUCGAUACAUAUCUAUGAAUGGGUUCAAGAAAUUCCGAAGGUUGCGAAACAAUAAGAUUCAUUUAAUUAUGUGGGUUUGGCCACCAAUUUAGCAUUAGGAACUUAUUGUUUAGGAAGCUAUGGUGGGUUUCGUAGUGGGACUUAUCCUGUUUAAUGCAUUUGGUGAUUUUAAACCAACAUAUAUAUAAUUCCAUUAUAAAACUCAUCAAACCUUCUAAAAUAACAUGUUGAGAUAGUGUGCUAGAUCCAUAUAAAUAUUCAUUUCCAUUGAUAGUUUAAUGGGCAAAGCCUUUUGAAUUCUCCAUGUUAUCAAGUUAAUUUUUGCUGGAAAAUGCAAUCCGGAUAUGAAUAGAAUUUUUUGUGCAAUCAAAUUUUCUAUGUUGACACAUCCUCUGGAACUUUCCAUAACUUUUAUGGGGAAGCUUUAAUUUCUUAGUUGUUGAUUUCGAAUAAAAAAUAAACUUAACUUUAAAAUUACAAUUGUAAUUAUAAAAUAUUUACUGAAUACAUUAGUGUUAAUACUACAAAUUGUUCCAUUAAAAGUCUCCCAGAAAGGAAGAAGUGACUUAAAAAAUUAAAAGAAUGCAGGAGCUGAAGUUGGCAAUUUUGUAAAUUGCAAUGGCAAUUGUGGCCUAGUAAAAUCCCUCAAUAAGUCACAGCACUAGCAAUUUCGUAAUAUACAUUAGUGGCAAUUUUGUAAAAUUGAAGUAGUGAUAGUUUUGCAAAUAAAAGUAAAAACUUUUUCCCUAAAUUCGGCUGAGCUAAAAGCCAGCUUAGCCCACACUCUCCUUCGCCACUGGUUGACGAGCUCUUCCUUCAAUUUUUGAACUUGAAGUGAUGCCCCAUCGAUCAAAUAUUUAAGCAGAAUGAUGACGGAGUUACAAACAAUCAAAUAUGAUCCUAAUGAUUCUUUUUAGAGAGUCACCUGUACGUUGACGUGUUUAAUUGAUGUUUAUUUAACCAGAAAUUGAAGUUUGAUCCUGAUUAAUUAGAUGAGAACACACAUUCAUGAGUAAUUACUUAAAAUUAAAUUAAUCAAAAAUAGUAUAAAUACAGGAGAAAAUCGACCAUAUGCGUGCAGACACCACAAUCGAAUUAUAUAUAUCACCGCCGCACAUAAAUCUUAUUCCAAUGAUAUAUGAUUAAUUAAUUAAUUUUUUUAAUAACAAUUAAAUUGUAAUGUCAAUUGUCCACAUAAGAUUUUUUUUUUUGUUGAUGAAAGUUAGCAAUUUUUUUUCCAUUUUUUUAAAUAAUAGUUGUUAAUACAAAUCAAAAAGAUAUUAGCACUUGAGAUCAGGGUCUACUUGAGUUAGAAUUUUUUAUUAGAAAAGUUAUUAGCCAGCGAUGAAAAAUAAAGAAGUAACACAAGAUAAAGAGUAAAAUGAGAGAGUAUGUAUUAUAAAAAAUUUUUAUCCAUUUCAAGUGUGUACCAAACAAAGAGAUGAACUCUCCUUUCAUAAUUACAUAAUUAUUACAUGAAAUUAAUGAAAAUAUUAUGGAUUAUAAUUCCUUGCGAGAUAGUGGGAGUUAUAGAAAAGUCAAGAGUUGUUAGUGGAAGAUAAGAGAGAGAGUAAAAGAUAUAUGUUAUGAAGGUUUACAUUUAUUUUAAUAAAUUCAUAGUAUUUUUUUCCUUAAAUAAUAGGGUGUGGAGAACAAUUGGAAGGACUUUACGUGUGUGUGUAUAUAUUGACAUAGAAAUUGCAGGACGCGUAGUUUAGCGUUUCAAAUAGGUGCUCUCAGUUGGAAUUAUAUAUAGAACAUUAUUUAUGGCAAACAGGUGCUCUCAGGUGCUCUCAGUUUACGGCUUUUUACGGCAAACAGGUGCUCUCAGUUUUCAAAAUCUCGAGCGCGCGGGUUAUUUUUCAUUACCUUUAUCGCCGAAAGGCUGUUUUAACCAACUAAGAACUAAAAGCUAAAACCCAAAACCCCCCUCUUGUUCGUUUCCAGGGACUUUACCUUGAUGGCCGAAAAGCAACUGGAAAUCCUCCGCGGGUACGAGCUGCGGCUCUUGCCCUGCACCCUCGCUCCCCCACCGUCGGACCUUCGCAUUCAAUCGCAACCGUUGAACGAAGAAAGCCAAUGCUCUCUCCUUCCACUCCACGAGCACAUCAACAGCCUCAUCAACUCCAUCGAGUCCGGCCACUAUCUCCAGGCUCUGUCCUCCGACGCGGCUAAACACGCUCUCGACAAGCUCGAUUUCGUCGACAUCAACGACUCAGCCGAGUGUGCCGACCGCGUCUACUCCGAGCUGCUCCAGCUUGUCGAAGCGUUUAUAGUGAACGAUUCCGAAAAUGACGUGGAUAAGGCUUGUCAAGUUAUUCUGCUCAUGUGUCUUUCAAUUGCUGCUCUUUUUUGGUUCACUCAGUGUAACGUGACUGGGUGAGUUGCUUAUUUAUAAAUUUUUAAAUAAUUGCAAUUAAUAUAAUGAAUAUUAAUAAAAAAUUACAAAAAAAAGGUUUAGUGAUGAACGUUUGAACAUGAAUUAAUAGGCCUUUAGUUGAAAUUUGCCAAAGUGUCGGUUUCCACUAGAAGUUUCAACUUUAGAAGGCAACGAAUUGAUAGAGUGGGAGAAUUGGGCGCGUUAUCAGCUCAUGUCUGUUGGCUCUGACUUGCUGGGAAAGUUCUCCUAUCUUCAGGUACUCAGUCUAUCGAAAAAUGAAUAGAUUCUAUUGCUUAGACAGUGUUAAUGUUAAUAUUAUCUUUUUUAACUUAUUUUACAUUUUGUGAUCUUUUUGUAGUAUAUAGUUUUUGCCAAAAUGUUGAUCAUGAAGACAAAAGAUUUGCUGUCUGAUGCAACUGUGUUGCCUGUGAAUGGGAUUAGAACCAUUUCAUGGUGGCUCACAAGACUCCUACUUAUGCAUCAAAGGAUUUUAGACGAGCAGUUGUCUUCUUUGUAUGAUCUAUUGAAAGUUCUUUGUAUGAUCUAUUGAAAAUUUUUAGGGCUGAGACUUUACAACAUUUUGGCACUUUGGAAAAUGUUAGUACUUAUUGGGGCAACCAGUUGCAUGAUAUCGAUCCUUCAGAGAUUAUUUCAACAUUUCAUUUAGAAGCAGGACUGUAAGAACACAUUUACAGGAGAGUUGAUUCUUGCAGGUGAGUUAUCCUGGGAAAGUUUUAUAUUCGAUGGUCUUAUUUCUGGCUUCAUUAGAAAAGUUUUCUCUUGGAAACAUGUUAUUUCCAACAUGGAACUUGCCUGUAGAACUCUCUCCGUCAUCGAAAAUGAUUUUGUGCAUUGUGUGUAAGGGAGAUGCAAGAACAAAGUUUUAUGUUUGGACUUCAUCAAAAUCUCCCAUUUUUUUAAUGUUUAUUGUUUCAAUCAUUAAACAUUAGUUUGAGUUGUUAGCAGUGGAAUUUGCAUUAACUGAUUACUAACUUCCAUCAUUACCAUUAUUAUAGGACUUCUUCUAUAGUUUCUGCUGCUUUCUAAAAUGCUUUACUGUAUCAGGAAACAUUUUGAAUCAGCUGAAGUGGCAGCUGGUUUCCAGCUUUCGGUUAUUGGGGUUCUUGGUUUCCGUACUGUCCGUCAGGUAAAGAUUGAAUGUGCAUCAUUUAUAAAGUUGUCGGGAGCUUCCUUCUUAGCUUUGAGAUUGCUCCUGCAUAUAGGUAGAACCAAAGGCACAAAUGGUACAUGUUGCAAACACAAGCUCAUCCAGCACUUCUGAUGUCUGCCCUUCAAUAAACCAAGUCAUUCAUACACAUGAUUCUUCGGUGAUGCCUCUGAUGUUUUUGUGGCCCCAAAAUUAUUGGGGAAUAGUCACGAAUCUGAAUCUGGAGUCCAAUGCAUUCACGCUGGUGGCUCAGCAGCCCAUUUAAAGGCAAUCCAACAGGCAGUGAUCUUGUCGAGGUGCCUUCUAAUAGAAAAGAGCUCACGGCAAGAUGAAAUGCAAAGUAAGUUGUUUUAUGGUUGGGCGGUGUGUAGUCCUCUUGUUAAAGGCCAUAAGAUGUUAAGCAUAUUGCUAUUUAAUUUUUAAAUCAUUCUCAGUAAUAAUUCCUUUAGUAGAUUGAUGAUAAGAGAUUGCAUUACAGAUGAUAACUGAGCACAAUUUCUGUAGUUGUAUCCCUGUACAUCCAUCUUAAUAUCCUCAUUAUUCACAUGCCUUUUACGGGUGUUAUUUCUGGAUGCCGAAUGCUUUGUUCCACGUCUGGAUACCAAAUGCUUUGUUCCACAAAGCUGAGCUGGUUGAAAAGCUAGCUGAUGAGGUCAACAUGUCCCUUAAGUAAUUUGAGAAUGAACACUGUGUUCCCGAAAGUCUUACUCUAAUGAUACUUAAAGAAGCAAUGAGAAUGGAUGUUGCAGCAGCUUUGCUGAACUUAACCCCAGUUCCAAAUAUGGAACAUGUGAGAACCGAAAAUGCAUUGUUUUUUUUUUUUUUCUCUUUAUGACUUCUCUAGUUGGGGAAUGUAUUAGAUAUUCACCUAAUCAGUAGGCCUUGAAGGGAUCCCAUGUUAGCCCCUUGAUGUUGGUCUGUAACUAAGUAAAUACUUGACCUUGAAAAAGCUUUUGGAGGCAUCAGUUUCUCUCUGACUGUGUGCUACUUUUUGGAUCUGUUGAUUUGGUCAUUUGCUGAUUUAUAGUU